CACCAUCAUCGUAAGUGCUGGGAAACUUACCAAGCAAGUAUUCGGAUUCUUCGCUUACUAAAUUACUUUUACUCCAAGGAUGUUUAGCCAUUGCUUGCAGUCCUGCUAAUUCAUGGGCAACUUCCUUCAUUGUUGGCCUUUCCUCUCCCUUCACUCUCACACAUCUCCUAGCUAAAGUUGCUACUUCCAUAAGCUGCUCAACAUUUUCAUCAUUAAGCACUCGAGGAUCGAGAAUGUCGAGCAAACGGUCUUCUUUCAUCAAAGAAGUGAAGUACAUUGGCAAAACUCGAUUUUCCGGUCUUUUGAAACAUACCACUUUUUGUCCUGUUAACAACUCCAUAAGCACAACCCCGAAGCUGUAGACAUCACUUUUUUCAGUAAGAAGGCUUGAAAGCAUGUAUUCAGGAUCCAAGUAACCGAAAGUUCCUUGCACAAUUGUAGUUAUUUGUGCUUGGUCAGAUGGGAUCAAUCUGGAAGCCCAAAAUCAGAAACUUUUGCGGUGUAAUUGUCAUCUAACAGUAUGUUCGCCAACUUGUUGUCUCGGUGAAUGAUUGGAAUGGAAGCUGCAGAGUGCAAAUAAGAAAGGGCUUCUGCUGUUUCAGUGACUAUUCUCAAACAGGUCUCCCAUGAAAGAUAAGAGGUAGCAUCAUCAUUAUGCAAAUGGUGAAAAUGGGUUCUGUUGGUGAUAUAUUCAUAAACUAACAGCGGAACUUGGGUCUCCAAACAACAUCCUAGGAGUUCGACAACAUUCCUAUGGUUGAUUUGGUAGAGCACCAUUAUUUCAUUGAUGAAUUGUUCAACUUGGCUAGGAUCUCCAAUUAUUGACUUUUUGAUGGCAACUAUUUGAUUAUCAGCCAAUGUUCCCUUGUACACUGUCCCUUGCCCUCCCUGUCCUAAAAUUCUGCGUUCAUUGUAAUUGUUUGUUGCCUUCUCGAGUUCCUCAGUUGUAAAUACUUUAACAUCUUCACGGUACCCUUGUUUUGAAAGUUGUUCCCGCAACAAAAUGCCACCAUUUUGCUAAAAGUAAGGUUCUUUUAAUUUUCACCAAAUUAAAGUUCAUGUAUACAAUUGUACAUGAAACCAAAGUUCAUGUAUAAUUUUGAGAUUUAUCUCUUUUUGAUUUUAAUGAUUUAUAUUUCUCAUCAGCUCACUGGAGUUGACAACUAUAAUAUUUGCAGUCGUGCGAUGCGAAUUGCGUUGAUUGCCAAAAAUAAAUUGGGUUUCAUUAAUGGUACUUGUUCCAAAGAUUUAUUGGCAGAAGAUUUGUACUCAUAGUGGGAGCGAUGCAAAGCUAUCGUGUUAUCUUGGAUAUUGUACACGGUAAGCAAAGAGCUCUCUACAGGUAUCGUUUUUGCUUCAAGUGCAACAGCAGUUUGGCAGGAUCUUAGCAAGCGAUUUAACAAGACUAAUGGUUCAAGAGUCUACUUCUUGCAUUGAGAAAUUUCUUCUCAUCUUCAAGGAAUUUCUUUGAUUUCAACCUAUUUCACAAAGCUUAGGUUGUGAUGGGAAGAGUAUGAUUCCCUAGUUCUCGUUUCUUCUUGUGGUUGUGUGCAAACUAAACAGGUUAUUGAUCACAUUGCGCAGCAGCGUUUGUUUCAAUUUUUGAUGGGUUCAAAUGAAACUGAUAGUGUUGUUUGGAGUCAAAUUUUAUUGAUGAGCCCCUUGCCUAUGGUCAAUCAAACAUAUUCCAUGCUCGUGCAAGAAGAGUCACAAAGGCAGCAUGUAUCAGGUCUAGUUGUUGCUGAUCCUACCUCUUUAUAUUCAGCAAAUGUCAAUCCAUACAUAAAUCGAUUUAAUGGUGUGUGUGAUCAUUGUAAAGUUUAGGGCCAUAAGAGAGAAAAUUGUUAUAGACUAAUUGGAUAUCCACUUGAUUUCAAGUUCACUAAUAAGCGUUUUAUGUCCGGGGCUAGUGCAAACAACGUGGUAGCAAACGAAGGGACAGUGGUUGAUAGCAGUGUGCCCAACAGCAACAUUCGAAGCUCUCUUGGUGUGUUUCAAUCUCUUGGGUUCACACAGGAACAAUAUUAGAAAAUAUUAAGCUUGUUGAACAAAGAAUCUUUGGUCGAGACGACUACAAAUAUGGCAAUUGGGGCAAAUUUAGCAGGUAUGAGUACAUCUUGUGAAUGGAUUUUAGAUACUGGUGCUCCUAAUCACAUGCUUUCUAGCUUCCAACACCUUGAAUUUCCUAUUGCAUGCACUUCUAAUUCACCAAGUGUUCGUUUACCAAAUGACUCCUCCACACCCAUAACACAUACAGGAUCGUAUACCCUCUAUCUCGGUGCCACUCUUAAAAAUGUGUUAUAUAUACCUGAUUUUCAAUACAAUCUCGUUUUUGUUUCAAAACUUACCAAGGAUUUGCAUUGUUUUGUUACAUUUUACUCACACUUUUGUAUUUUCCAAGACCUCUCAAGUGGCAUGAUGAAGGGGAUUGGUAGGGAACAUGGCGGCCUCUAUAUUCUUCAUUCUUCCCUAGCUAUAGUAUCUUCAACUCAUGUACCUUCUUCAACAGCUAAUUCUUUUCAUACAACUCUCGGUAGUUCUUUUAUCUGGUAUGUGCGACUCGGCCAUGCUCCUUUGUCAAGGUAUUUAGUUCGAUGCUUAAUUUUGUAGCGUGUAUUUCCAGAGUUUUUUUAAGUUUUGAAAACCAAAUUCUAAUUUGUCAAAUUCAAAUAAUUUUGCAGUUUACAUUAAGAACACCCAAAAAUUGACGAAUCAAACAAAACCCAAAAGCAAAAACAAAUCCGAAAACUUAGUCCAAAAAUCUUAAUUUCUCAACCAAAACAAACCAUUUUAUGUGAAAACCAAUCUGAACUCCUGCACGCCGUCCGGUCCUAAGCCUGACGAUCAUUUGAAACAUACUAAACAAACGAGUAAGCUAGAUUGUUGCAUAUUGUGACUCGGAUUGGGGAACAUAUCUGAUGACUAGAAAGUCGAUUACAGGGUACUGCAUCAAACUAAGAGAUCCGCUCAUUUCGUGGAAGUCCAAGAAGCAAAACACAAUCUCUCGGUCAUCUACGGCAGCAGAAUAUCGAAGCAUGGCAUUGACAGUUGCAGAUAUAAUUUGGUGAAGUGGUCUGUUGGGAGAAGUUAGUCUCGACAAAUUGGAACCAACAAAAUUGUUUUAUGAUAGUUGUUGCGGAAAGGAUCGAUUCGAGAACUCCGAUAUGACUACAAGUAAAUUGACCGAAACGAAAAAUAAAGUGAACACAAGGAUUUACGUGGUUCGGCUUUAAUGCCUACGUCCACGGGCAGAGGCGAAAAGAAAUUUCACUAUAACAAGAUGAAGAUUACAAGUGUUUUACACUCAAGACACAACCCGAGAACCUCACAACUCUCAACCCCUAUAGAAAACCCGAAAGCUAAAAUCCUAGCUUUCAAAGAACAAGCUUUGCUCUCUCUUGGUUUGGGAUGAUCAAUAUGGCUAAUGAACCUCUCUAUUUAUAAGAGAGUUCAAGGACAUAAUUGUCCAAAACUUUGGCAAAGAUUUGUGGUUGAAAAUGGACACCAACAACCAUCCACUAAUCCACUACCACCAACAACCCACUACCAACAACAACAAUCCACUACCAAUUUUAAGCCAUUUCUUAACAAAUCUCCACCUUGGCUUGAAAUUUACCAAGCUGAACAUCAUAGUGAACUGGAUCACCUCUUCCAAACGCCUCUCUGGCGCUAAUCAAUCCCGAAUACCUAUCAAGUCCAAGCAAUGCUUGAACUUAUAUGCAGGGAUCACCUUAGUUAACAUAUCUGUAGGAUUCUUCUCGGUAGCAACCUUGCUGAUAACAAUGUCACCUUGCGUAACAUGUUCCCGAACAAAAUGAUAUCUGACAUCAAUGUGUUUGGUCCGUUCAUGAAACAUCUGAUUUUUAGUCAGAUGUAUGGCACUCUGGCUAUCGCAAAAUACAACAGUGAAAUCCUGUUGUAAACCCAAACUGCUUACUAGACCUUUCAUCCACAAUGCUUCUUUCACUGCUUCUGCUAACGCCAUAUAUUCCGCCUCAGUCGUAGAUAAGGCUACGGUAGACUGUAACACAGCUUUCCAACUAAUGGCUCCUCCAGAAUAAGUGAAAACAUAACCCGUCAGAGAUCUUCUUUUGUCCAGAUCUCCAGCAUAAUCAGAGUCCGCAUAGCCCGUGACACUGCUAGUGCAGUCACUCUGAUCAUAUACCAAGCAUAAAUCUGCAGAACCUCUCAAGUACCUGAGAAUCCAUUUCACGGCCUGCCAGUGUUCCUUGCCAGGACAACUCAUGUAUCUGCUGACCACACUAACUGCAUGUGAAAUGUCUGGACGAGUGCAAACCAUUGCAUACAUCACGCUUCCAACUGCACUCGAGUAUGGAAUGUGAGACAUUUGCUGCUUUUCUUCCUCAGAUUGUGGUGACAACUCUGCAGAGAGUUUGAAAUGUGGUGCCAACGGAGUACUCACAGUUUUCGCUUUAUCCAUGCCGAAGCGUUGAAGAACCUUUUCAAUGUAGUUCUUCUGCGACACACGAAGCUUGCCCGCCUUGCGAUCUCUGUGAAUAUCCAUGCCCAAAAUUUUCUUGGCAGCACCCAGAUCCUUCAUCUCGAACUCACCACUCAACUGCGACUUUAACUUGUUGAUUUCCGACAUGUUUUUGGAAGCAAUUAACAUGUCAUCAACAUACAGCAACAAAUAAAUGUGCGAACCAUCUGAGAGCUUCCGAUGAUAGACACAAGCAUCAUAGUCACAUCUUGUGUAACCAUGCUGAAUCAUGAAGCUAUCAAACCGCUUGUACCACUGCCUUGGGGAUUGUUUCAAUCCAUAUAAAGACUUCUUUAAUAGACAGACAUGGUCUUCUUUACCAGGAACUGUAAAACCCUCUGGUUGACGCAUGUAGAUUGUUUCCUCGAGCUCACCAUGCAAGAACGCCGUUUUUACGUCAAGCUGCUCAAGUUCUAGAUCAGACUUGGCCACCAUGGCAAGUAAUAUACGAAUGGAAGAAUGCUUUACGACUGGGGAGAAAACUUCAUUGUAGUCAAUCCCCUCUUUCUGAGUGAAGCCUUUAGCAACCAAUCGUGCCUUGAAUCUAGUUGCUUCAACCCCUAGGAUGCCUUCCUUUUUCUUGAAGACCCAUUUGCAACCAACUAUCUUCUGGUUACUUGGCGGCUUAACCAACUCCCAAGUAUGGUUCUUGUGAAGAGAUUCUAUCUCCUCACUCAUAGCAAUUGCCCACUGUGCCGACUCAUCACACGUGACAGCCUCAUUAUAACUGGAAGGUUCUAUACCAAUGGACUCCGCCACACUGAGCGCGAAAGACACCAGAUUAGCGUAACGCGGAUUUGGUUUGAUUUGUCUCUUCGUUCUUCCAGUGGCAAUGCUAUAUGGUUUUUCUUGAGGUGACUCAUCUUCAUCGGAAUCUUGCACCUCAACUUGAUCAUCCUGGACUGAAGUACCUUCCGUAGGAAUUGGAGCGUCCACCUGACACUCCACCUGCUUCUCAACACCGUGAUCUCCCAUUCUAUCUGACUCCUCCUUUUCCCGGGAAUUUGUGGUGGAUCGAAGCAUGGAUGACUCAUCAAAAGUCACAUCUCUGCUGAUGAUGAACUUGGACGAAACCGGAUCAGGACACCACAACCUGUAUCCUUUCACCCCUUGGCCGUAUCCAAGAAAUAUGCAUUUCUUCGCCCUCGGUUUGAGUUUUCCCUCAUUUACAUGAGCAUACGCAGGGCAGCCAAACACUCUUAAACCAGAGUAAUCAGCAGGAGAACCAGACCAUACUUCCUCAGGAGUCUUCAGCUCAAUAGCUGUUGACGGAGAUCUGUUAACCAAAUAACAAGCAGUAUUAACAGCUUCAGCCCAAAAUUCUUCACCGAGCCCAGCAUUUGAUCGCAUGCAACGAGCUCGCUCCAAGAGAGUUCUAUUCAUGCGUUCUGCAACUCCAUUUUGUUGUGGUGUUCGACGAACAGUGCGGUGUCUCACUAUUCCUUCAUUCUUGCAGAACUCAUUGAAUUCACCUGAGCAAAACUCCAAGCCAUUAUCCGUCCGGAAUCGCUUGAUCUUCUUUCCUGUUUGAUUUUCGAUCAAAGCUUUAAAUUGCUUGAAGUUGAUGAGAACCUCAUACUUGCUCUUCAGAAAAUACACCCAAACCUUUCUCGAGUAAUCAUCGAUAAAGGUAAGCAGAUAUCUGUAACCACCUUUAGAAAUUGUCGGAGAAGGCCCCCAAAGGUCAGAAUGGAAGUAAUCCACUGUGCCUUUUGUCUUGUGAAUCCCAGUGCUGAACUUUACCCGAGUCUGCUUACCGAAGACGCAGUGCUCACAGAAAUUCAACUUUCCUGUACACUGCCCAGACAAUAAUCCUCGUUUGCUUAGCACCGAUAAGCCUCUCUCGCUCAUAUGCCCGAGCCGCAUAUGCCAUAACUUCGUGGUGUCAGAAUCUAGAUCAUCUGAUGAUGACACUCCCGCAACACCUGUAACCGAGGAACCAUCGAGGAAGUAAAGGCCCCGCUCCAAAUUACCACGUAUCACAGUCAAAGCACCCGAGAAUACCUUGAGAACUCCACCUUCAGCAGAGUACCGAAAGCCUUUCUUGUCCAACGUACUCAAAGAGAUCAAAUUUUUCUUCAUUUCUGGAAUGUGCCGAACAUCAGUUAGAGUUCUAACAAUACCGUCAAACAUCUUUAUACAAACUGUGCCAAUCCCCAUGACUUGACAUGCGUGGUCAUUUCCCAUUAGUACUGAACCAGAAUGCUUCUCGUAUGUUGAGAAUGCAUCUUUCGAAGUACUUAUAUGAAAUGUAGCUCCCGUAUCAAGAAUCCAUCUCCCACCAGCGUAAGAGUCGGAUACUGCAAGAACGAUCUCGGCAUCACUUGAAGAAUCUGCAUCAGCUACAUUCGCACGAUCAUUUUGUUGCUCCUGUGAUUCUGAUUUCUCCUUCCUUUUCGGACAAUCUACCUUCAUGUGCCCGUACUUCUUACAGUAGUAGCACUGUAUUCUCUUCUUGGACUGCGAUCUAGGAUGGCUUUUACUUGAACUUCCACCCUUUGCCUUGGAUCUUCCUCGAGCAACCAAGCCUUCGCCUUCAUUGUUUUCGACCACCUUACCAGUGAUUUUCUUCCUCAACUCACUGGAACUUAAGGCAUUUUUCACCUCCUCUAGAGUCAGGUCAUCACGACCGUACAUCAUUGUAUCAACAAAAUUCUCAUACGAGGGAGGCAAAGAACACAAAACAAUUAUUGCUUGGUCCUCAUCAUCGAUUUUGUUAUCGAUAUUAUUCAAAUCCAUGAUAAUGGAAUUGAAUUUAUCCAGGUGCUGGGAAACAGGUGUACCUUCCUCCAUCUUCAGGGCAUAGAGUCUUUGCUUGAGGUAGAGCCGGUUCGUCAAUGACUUCGUCAUGUACUUGCUUUCUAACCGGAGCCACAAACCGGACGCGGUUUUCUCAUCCGCUACUUCUCGUAGCACUUCAUCUCCUAGACAUAGCAGAAUAGCACUAUGUGCUCUUUCUAGCAUGUCAUCCUUUUGCUCUUCCGAAAGCGUGCUUGGUAAUUUAUCUUUACCAGACAAUGCUUUUAGCAAUCCUUGUUGAACCAGCACUGCCCGCAUCUUGAUGCGCCAUAAACUGAAACUAUUUUUCCCGGUAAAUUUCUCGACAUCAUACUUAGUCGAUGAAACACUUGUAGCCAUAAUUUGGAACCUUUGAAUGAAUGAUAAUAUUUUCUUCCUGAUGUGAAAGAUCAGACAAAGCUGCAGUCACAGGGCAAUUCAGAAAAUAUUAUCACUCCUUCAACUACGCUCUGAUACCAAUUUGUUGCGGAAAGGAUCGAUUCGAGAACUCCGAUAUGACUACAAGUAAAUUGACCGAAACGAAAAAUAAAGUGAACACAAGGAUUUACGUGGUUCGGCUUUAAUGCCUACGUCCACGGGCAGAGGCGAAAAGAAAUUUCACUAUAACAAGAUGAAGAUUACAAGUGUUUUACACUCAAGACACAACCCGAGAACCUCACAACUCUCAACCCCUAUAGAAAACCCGAAAGCUAAAAUCCUAGCUUUCAAAGAACAAGCUUUGCUCUCUCUUGGUUUGGGAUGAUCAAUAUGGCUAAUGAACCUCUCUAUUUAUAAGAGAGUUCAAGGACAUAAUUGUCCAAAACUUUGGCAAAGAUUUGUGGUUGAAAAUGGACACCAACAACCAUCCACUAAUCCACUACCACCAACAACCCACUACCAACAACAACAAUCCACUACCAAUUUUAAGCCAUUUCUUAACAAUAGUCAAGUAGCCCUUCAGAGAGUAGCCAAUGUAUUCCAUGAACAAACUAAGCACAUAAAAACUGAUUGUCACUUUGUUCGGGAGAAAAUCAAAGGGGGGUUGGUUAAAACACAACACAUAUGCAUCAGUGAGCAAAUAGCAGGCUUAAUGACAAAGGCCCUCGGUGUGCAUCAGCAUGAGUAUUUGCUGUCCAAGUUGGGAGUCAAAGAUCUUUAUCACCCUCCAACUUGAGGGGAAGUGUUAAAGAUACUGGUAAUUGGGUGAAUAAUAGAAAAAUCUUUGUAGUAGUUAGAUUAGUUACUAGUUAAUAGUUAGUUGAACAUAUGCUAUAAAACAUCUUACUAUUGUAAUUUAAGAAUGAAGCAGUAUACUUUUCAUUCAGAUACAAUACUGGUCUAACUUGUAGUUCAUCAUUGUUGGACAUCUCCGACACUUUCAAUAUAUAUAUUUGUAAUUAUAUUCAAUUUUUUUAAAAAGAAAAACUGGUAUUGGAUAUUUGGUUUGCCAAAGUAAGAAUAUACUAUCAAGUUAUUUUGCUGGUAUUUUGUAAGGCUUAGCAAUCAAAUAUAGUAGCUUACUAAUAAAACCCGUUGAAAUCAUUAAACUGGAAUUUGGAACUCAUGCAAGCUUUGGAUAGCAAAUGAAAAAAAUUACCUCUAAUCUCAUUAAUGCAUGAAACAGGAUAAUGUUGAUGAUUAAUUUAACAACUAGGAUUUAUUUUAUUAUGAACGUCUUCCACGUAGUUUUUUAAUUUUUAUUUAAUUACUUAUAAUUUUACUUAAUUGUCGGUAUCACAGAUAAAGAAAUAUCAAUUUAAUUUGAGAAUUUUAUUUAGAAUUCGAAUGGAUUUUUUAUUUGGUAAAUAAAUUUUAAAAGAAAAUUUAAAAAAGAAAAACUAACAACCGAAAAUUCCAUCCAACCAAAUUGAAGAAUUUUAAUUCAAUUAAUUUGAUUUUAACAAUAAAUUAAUUGGAUUAAUAAGUUUUAAUGACUUAUUCAAUUUAGAUUUUUGAAAGAAUUUAUUAAAUUAUUUAUAUAUAAAAAAGGAAUUGACGAACCCACCCAAUAUACGCUUUCAAGUUUCACUCUCCCUUUCAUCUAGAGUUCACAGUUCUAGAGGUGCUCAUGGGCCGGGCCGAGUCCAGAAAAUUUUUUUGGCCCGUGUCCUAGGCCCAGGCCCGGUCCAAGAAAAAUUCCUAAGCCUAAGCCCGGCCUGACCCGACCCGACCUAUAUUUUAAUAAACACCAAUUUCUUUUAAAAAAUAAAAAUAUUUUAAAAAUAUUUUAAAAAUAAAAAAAGUAUUUUAAAAAUAAAAAAUAAAAAUAUAUAUUUAUUAUAUUCGGGCUGGGCCGGGCCCAGGCCAAAAAAGUGGUGCCCGAGGCCCGGCCAAUUUUCUAAACGGGCUUCAUUUUUUCCCAAACCCAUAUUUCGGGCCUAUAUUUUUACCCGAACUCUCUCAUAUUUCGAGCGGGCCGUCGGACCGGGCCAGGUCGCCCGGCCAUGAGCACCUCUAGUUCACACUAGCAAUGCCUCUAUUAGAGAAUAGGAGUUGUUAGUUAGUUAGUGAGUCUAGUAUGGUUGUUGCUCAAUUCAGAGUAGUCACUAAAGUCUAUAAAUACUGUACAUUAAGAAUUCAGAAGCAAGCAAGUUUGAAUAAACAAACAAGAAGUUUAUUCUAUUAUUUUCUCCAUUUCACUCUCUGUCUGGAUAGAUAUUUCUUCCUUUUUAUCUAGUUCUUUCAUGGUAUCAUUCGCCAAUUGAUUCUAGUUAUUGUUUCUCAUGGCUUCUGCUGAUUCCGCAUUUGGUGAACCUAGCUCUAGUGUGUUUGCUGCCGAUCGAGUCACAACCGUUCUUCCUCGACAUGAAGUGGUCAAACUCGAUGAAGGUACUUAUCUUCAAUGGCGUAAACAGGUAAAACUGAUUGUUAAUGGCUAUGGACUCAUAGGUUUCUUAGAUGGCACUGUUGCUCCGCCAUCACGAUUCGUUAUUCUAUCCGAUGGCUCUCGUGCUCCAAAUCCGACGGCUCAGGUGUUUACGCAGCAAGAUCAGCUGCUGAUGUCCUGGCUUUUGUCUACUGUAACUUCCUCUCAUCAAUCCUCCUUUGAUGAUACUUGCACGGCGUGCGACAUAUGGAGUAUGGCCAUUAAUCUUUUUGCAGUUGAUACGGGCGCCAAGUAGUCGAGGAUUCGGCAUGAGCUUCACUCGUAGAAGAAAGGUAAUCUUUCUAUUAAGGCAUAUGUUGCUCGGAUUAAAGAUUUGUGUGCUAUGUUAGAUGCUUUUGGCUCUCGUAUCUCCGAUGAAGAGAAGAUUAAAGUGGUGCUUGCGGGUUUACCGUCGAACUUUGAGGCAGUUAUCUCCUCUGCUCGAUUGUCGCCUGGAGUUUUUCCGUUACAACGUUUGGUGGAUGCGUUAGUCGAUUGUGAGAAUCGCCAAGAUCGAGUGUUGCAGGAGGUAAGUUUGAACGCGAAUCUUGUUCAAAAUGAGCCGUCGAUGGAAGGGGCCGGUCGUGAAGGCCGUGCGUCUGUUCGUGGUCGUGGUCAAUUCUUCAAAUCUCGUGUUCAAUGCCAGAUCUACAGUCGAUUCGGUCAUGUGGGUUAGAAAUACUAUUAUCGGUAUCACCGAGACUCGAAUGAAUCAUCUGGUGUUGAAGGUUCUGAUUCUGGAGUUUUUGUGCAAAAUGGUGAAGACCAGGUGGUGGCUCCUUAUCAGAAAAGUCAAAGAGUUUUUUAUGGUCAAGGGAGUCAUGGUGGUCAAAAUAGAUAUGCUAGUCAAAAUGUGUGUGCUGGCAUGCAAAAUAGGUCAUUGGCACGUGGGCCACAUGUGUCUAAUGCACAACAUUAUGCCUACAAGCCCAAUUUGUGCAAAUUCGGUCAUGAUGAAGGGCAAGGAUAUAAUGGAGACACGUCACAUGGUUUUACUACUGGAAAUGGACAGUGGCAAGGUUAUAAUGGAAACAAGUCACAUGGGCCAAAUAUUCAACAUUCCUCUCAUGGGCCGCAUGUUCAAUUUAAUGCUGGGCCGAAUAUUGUACCAUCCUCUAAUUUUGUUCAAGUUGAUCAAUAUGAUCCUGGCUCACCUGAACCGAUUGGUGAUGGACUAGGUAUUGGUGGUCCGGUUCUGCGAUUUACCAAACCGCGUGCUCAGGCCUAUACUGGGUCUGACUCAUGUAUUGGGCUUCCUCAGCUAUGGGACUUACAUGCGUCUGAUUAUUCUGAUCCUUCAGUAUCAGGCUCUCAUGUUAAUACUGCUCAACUUGGAUCUAGUACUGGUAAUGAUGAUUCGUGCAUUCUAGUGUGCGGUGGCACCACAUCUUGGUAUCCUGACUCGGGAGCGAGUCAUCAUGUCUGUCGCGAUGUGUCAAUUUUACGUGAUGUCACGCCAUAUUCAGGUAAGUCAUCUUUUUUAAUGGGCGAUGGUACUCUUGCGGUAAUUUCGUCAAUUGGUACUGCUAUUUUACCUACUCAAUAUAAAUCGUUACGGUUAUCAAAUGUUUUAUGUGUGCCAAGUAUACGGAAAAACCUCUUAUCCGUCUCACAGUUUGCUCGUGAUAAUGGUGUGUUUUUUGAGUUUCACCCUACCUAUUGUGUUAUUAAGGAUACGGUGACUCAGGAGAUAUUGCUGACAGGCCGUAUUCAUGAUGGUCUAUAUCAGUUUUCUCUGCCAGUGGUUUCUACUUCGCCUACGACUGCUCCAUUUGUUCCUCAUUCGCAAGUUCCACAUACAGUUUCGACUACUUCUGUGUUUGCUUUAUGGCAUAAUCAUUUAGGCCACCCGUCGACUUCUGUGGUCAAAAAUAUUCUAAAUAAAUGUAAUGUUGUUUCAAAUAAAACUAGUUUGGAUGGUAUAUGUAUUGCAUGUCAAAAAGGCAGGUCACAUAAGUUGCCUUUCUCCCCUUCGACUAGUAGCUAUCGUCCUUUUGAGUUGGUUGUGUCUGAUCUUUGGGGUCCUACACCUGUUGCUUGUGGUGAUAAGAGAUAUUAUGUUUCAUUUAUUGAUAUGUGUACUAGGUUUACUUGGGUUUAUCUUUUACGUUAAAAAGCUCAAGCACUAGAAUGCUUUACUCAAUUUUAACAAUUGAUUACAACACAGUUUGGCAAGUCUAUUAAGCAGUUCCAAAGCGAUUGGGGAGGUGAAUACCGUGGUUUUACGUCUGUCUUAGAAUCUCAAGGGAUCAUACAUCGACUGACCUGUCCGUGUACUUCAGAACAAAAUGGAGUAGAUGAGCGUAAACAUCGUCACAUUGUUGAAAUGGGUAUUACAUUGUUGGCUCAUACAAAUUUGCCUAUGGAAUACUGGGGGUAUGCGUUUUGUUGUGCGGUUCAUCUUAUAAAUCGACUUCCUACUGUUUUACUUCAUGAUAGUUCUCCGUUUAAGGCACUAUAUGGAAGUGACCUGACCUAUGAACAUCUUCGAGUGUUUGGCUGCUGUUGUUAUCCUUACUUACGUCCGUUUGUAGGUCAUAAGUUGGAAUUUCAGUCUCAGUCGUCUACGUUUUUAGGCUACAGUCCUCAUCACAAAGGGUAUCAAUGUCUUUUACCAGAUGGUAAGGUUAUAAUUUCAAGGCAUGUGGUCUUUGAUGAGCAAAGAUUUUUGUUUGCUGAGACUAGUCCAGACAAGUCUGUAUCGACAACCAGUCAGACUAGUUCGACGGUUGUUCCUCUCGUGUGGCCAUCCUAUUCCUCAAAUCUUGAGCCUUGCAUGAUGACACCGUCUUUACAAGGGUUGCAGUCUCAGUCCACUGAUCCUGUAUUAGAUGUUAAUUUGGAGCAUCCCCAGUCUCAUGAUUCUUCAGCUGAUGUUGGGACUGGGUCGGGUAAUCUUCCAGCAGUGCAUGGCUCAGGAUCAUCAAGUGAUACCAAUGCUCACUCCCAUUCUACUAUGAGAAUGUCUACAGGUGUUUCGUCGGCAUCUGAUAGUCAGAUUAGUCGGACACCUGUAGGCAAACUCACCCAAUGGUCACUCGAGCUAAAGAGGGAGUUUACAAGCCUAGGGUUUUAAAUGUUGAAGCUGUUGAACUGACUACAAUUGAAGAAGCCUUGGCUACUAUUGAGUGGCGUGCUGCUGCGCAAGAUAAGUAUGAUGCUCUUAUGCAUAAUUCCACAUGGGAGCUAGUUCCUGCUCCGUCUAAUCGUAAGGUCAUUGGGUGCAAAUGGUUGUUCUGAAUCAAGAAGAAUUCUGAUGGUACUAUUGCUCGACAUAAGGCUCGAUUAGUUGCAAAAGGCUACUCUCAAGUUCCAGGUUGUGAUUUUAAGGAAACGUUUAGUCCAGUGGUCAAACCGGCUACUAUCAGAGUUAUUUUGUCUAUUGUUGUGUCUAGAGGGUGGUCGCUUCGGCAAGUGGAUGUGAAUAAUGCGUUUCUAAAUGGCGAUCUUGACACUGAAGUUUUUAUGCAUCAACCUCCCGGUUAUGUUUAAUAUGGCUCAGAUGGCAGACCUUUGGUGUGCCGUCUGAAGAAAGCGUUGUAUGGUCUUCGUUAGGCUCCUCAUGCCUGGUUUGAGAAGCUAAAAGGAUUUCUAGUCUCUGUGGGGUUUGUGGUUUCAAAGUCUGAUGCUUCCUUAUUUGUUCGAGUUGUGCCAGCUUCAACAUUGUAUGUUCUUGUGUACGUUGAUGAUAUUAUUAUUACUGGUGAUGUACCUUCUCUUAUAGAGUGGUUUGUUAAAUUGCUGAAUAGUGAGUUCUCGCUUAAGGACAUGGGUGAUCUCUAUUAUUUUCUUGGGAUAGAAGUUAUUUGUUCUUCGUUAGGUUGCCUUCAUCUUUGUCAGAAGAAGUAUAUACGUGAUAUUCUUAUACGUUGUUUGAUGGAAAAUGCGAAGAGUGUUCAUACACCGAUGGUUAGUUCCUCUAUUAUGACUAGAGAUGGUGGUGAGCAGUUAGAGGAUCCGACUGAAUACAGGAGUCUUGUAGGAGCAUUACAGUAUGUCACUCUUACGUGGCCUAAUGUUGCCUAUGCUUUAAAUAGAAUAUGUCAGAUUAUACAUUGUCCUACUUCCAUUCAUAUGACCGCUCUGAAGCGCAUUUUGAGAUAUCUAGGUGGAACGAUUGAUUUUGGGAUUGUGUUUCGUCUGUCCACCGUUUUGUCCUUAGAUGGAUAUGCUGAUACAAACUGGGGAUUAGAUUUUGAUGACCGGAGAUCCACUACUGGAUACUGUGUUUAUUUCGGACAUACACCUGUGUCGUGGUGUACGAAGAAACAACAGGUUGUUGCUCGGUUUACUGUUGAGGCAGAAUAUCGAAGACUUGUCGCAGUUACUAGUGAGGUUACGUGGCUUUUAUCGUUACUUCAAGAAUUACAUGUUCAGUCUAAUAGUAUUCCCAAUAUUUGGUGUGACAGUUCUGGGGCAGUUGCGGUUGCUGCUAUCCUGUUCUCCAUUCAAAGUUUAAGCAUGUUGAGUUAGAUUUAUUUUUUGUUCGUGAGAAGGUUGCUGAUGGUCCUGUUGCCAUUGGCGAGGUUCCAGCGUGUGAUCAGGUAGCUGAUGUUCUCACUAAGCCACUUUCCCUAUCGAGUUUUACUCAUUUUCGGAGUUUUCUACGGGUCUUGCCUGUGGAGAAGAUGGAUGAAUAUUAGAGAAUAGGAGUUGUUAGUUAGUUAGUGAGUCUGGUAAGGUUGUUGCUCAAUUCAGAGUAGUCACUAAAGUCUAUAAAUGCUGUACAUUAAGAAUUCUGAAGCAAGCAAGUUUGAAUAAACAAACAAGAAGUUUAUUCUAUUAUUUUUCUCCAUUUCACUCUCUGUUUGGAUAGAUAUUUCUUCCUUUUUACCUAGUUCUUUCAGCCUCAAAUGCACCUUUUUUUUUCAAUUGAUAUUAGUUAAAUUACCGUGAGACUAUCUAAAAAUAGAAGUUUUAAAUAAAACUUAUAAAUCUUAUCAUAUUGUGAAACAAAAAUUAGAAUAUAAAUAUAACGUAUUUACUAGAAAUGACAGGUAUAACAAAUCAAAUAUCUGUAUUUCCUGGAUUAUAUAAAUGUAAAUCCAUAAAUCUAUUAUUCGCAAAUUAUUCGGGUAUUAUUAUUUAAAUACAAAUCUAGAUCAUAUAUACUAUUGUAAUAUAAUGUUACAAAAAAUUAAUAAUAAUUGUAAUGCCUAAAUUUUGCCCGGGUACAAAUAAUAAAAGGGCCCCAAAUAAAGACACAGUCCAAUUACAACAAAAUGGGGCCCAAACCAAAAUAAAACACAGGCCCAAUGUGCGGUGGCCCAAAAUCGCCAGAAACCCUAGGGUUUCUAAUCUUCAACAGCACCGCAACUCCAAUCUAGGCCGAAUCUCCAUGGAUUCACCUGCAUAGCAAGAAACAGAGAAAAAGGAAAGAAAUCAAAGAUUUCGAACCAGGAGUGAUUAGUUUCUUUAUUUUUAUUUUAUUAUGGCUAUAAGAAGCCGGUAAACAUAUUGUAAUAAGGAUUGAAAAAUCAAAUAAAAAUCGAGGCUUUUACUUUCGCAAUACAGAGAGAGCAUAGUCGAUUAAAGGUUGAUACUUGCAUUUCUAUUGUAUUUUUCCGUUAUAUCUAUUUGUUUUUAUUAUUUAUGUAAAUAAUAUAAAUAUAAAAGGAAGGAAAAAACCUGUAUUAGAGCCCUAACUGCCGCAGAUGGCCGAGGAAGUCGUCACCGAGAAUUGACGACCGGAAGCCGAAAGGUUUCUCUGUUUUUAGGGGCCCUUUCGUUAAUAUUUUGCGAGAUUUGAGAUCGGAUCUAGGCUCAGGGGUCGAGAAGGUUAAAAGGGGAAUUUUCCCCUUUCCCGGCCACCGCGGACGGUGGUGCCGGUGCCGGAGAUCGGCGACCGGUGCCGUGGCCGGUGAAGGGCCGAUGACCAACCGAUGGCCGAAGGACGGACUGAGGGGAGAGUGUUGCUUUAAAGUUUUUUUGUUUUUUUUUAAAAAGGGUUUCAUAUGAUUUUUUUUUUAGGAUUGGGAUAUUUAUAGGGCACCAAAACGGCGUCGUUUUGGAGAGCCCCCAGACGCCCAAAACGGCGUCGUUUUUAGGGAAGCCGACCCGGCUCCGACCCGACCCGGCAUAGGAUCCGCGUGUUUUUUUAACGGAGGGGUAAAUUGCACUUUCAACCCCUCCGCCUUUUAAUGUUUUCUGCAAUUAAAUUUUUUUAUUUUAUUAAGUUACCCAUUAAUUUAUUAUCGUUUUCAAUUUGGUCCUAAUGUGAAUGAUGUCGUUUAGAGGAGAAUGGAAAAUUGCCCUUCCAGCCCCUUUGUAUUAUCUGCGCGUUCAAUGUGGUCCCUUUGGCUUUAUUUAUUUGUGGAUUUACCUUAAUUUUUUUUAUUUGAAAUUCAAUUUAGUUCUCUUUUAUAUCUUUCUUAAAAUUGGUUGAUUUUUAGGAUGUAAUUAUUAUUUUUAUGUAAUUAUUAUUUAUAUAUAUAUGUAUAUUUAUUGUUUCCUUAUAAACAUAUUUAUUUUCUUUCAACUAAUAUUUUUUUAUUUAUAUAUUCCUACUUUUUUUAUGUAAAUGUUAAUUAAUCCUUUUUUAAUAAAUUUUACAUGUAUACAUACAUAUAUUUUUUUGAAUAUUCUAUUAUAUUUUCAUAUAUCUACGUACAUUUUUUAUUUUCGAAAAUACUAAAAUACAUGUUUUUUUUACACAUAUAUUUAUAUAUAUUUGUUUUUCUUUAUUUUCAUAAGAGCAUUAUAUGAAUUUUAUAAUUAAAAUUUUAUAUGUAAAUUAUGUACUUUAUUUCUCAUAAUUCCAAUGUGUAUAUUAUGCGAUGUUUAUCCUUUAUUGUUUCUUUCAUUUGUUUAUUGACCUUUUUUUAUUUUAUAUUUUGUUCAUUUAUUUAAUAUUCUUGUAUGUCAAAGAUUAUUUCUUUUAUGAAUGUUAGUUUCCUUUAUUUAUAUGUUUAUAUUGUUUCUAUGCCAUUGUGAUAAUUAUUAUUGCAUUGUAUAUUUAAUGUAGCAUCACAUCAUUUUUUACUCGAUUUCAAACUUCUCAAAAUUGAGAUAAUGCUUGUAUUUUGGAUUUUCAAGGAAAUUGAGCCCUAAUGUAUUGGGUUCCGAUUUUCUUCGUUAAAUCUAAGAAUCGAGCAUUUCUCUUUAAUCAAAAAAAAAAAGAACUCAUUAUUGGGAAUUCAACACGUUGUGUCCUAACGUAUUGGAUGUGACGCAUUGAUUUCUCGAAAUAAAUAUUUUUUAAAAAAAUAAUAAAGGAAAUAUUCCGAGUUUGGGAUUCUAGAGGAAUUGUGCCCUAACGUAUUGGGCCGCGAUUUCUUAAAUCUUGAAUAAAUGGAUAUUCUUUUACAUUUUUUAUUGCACUAGUAUUUUGCCCUAAUUCAUUUUUGGGGAAAAUUAGAAUGUCGUGCCCUAACGUAUUGGGUGUGGUAUUUUCUUUCUCUGAAAUGAUAAGGGUCUUAAUACGUAACGUUUUUAAGUUUUUUGCUAAGGAUUAUAUUAUUCAAAUUUUUGACAUUAAAACAUUAAUUAAUUAACUAGGUACCAAUUUUUGGACGUAAUGAGGGUGCUAAUCCUUCCUCAUACGUAACCAACUCCCGGACCCGUUUUUCUAAAAAUCGUAGACCAAAAUCGUUUUUAGGUGACCCAAUCACACCUCAAUAAAAGAUUGGUGGCGACUCCCAAUUUUCAUUUUUUAAAGUCGACAAUCUAAAAUUUUUGUUUUUUUUUCAAAAACAAAAAAUGGUUUCGACAGCUUGGCGACUCCACUGGGGACACAUACGAGAGUCGAGCCACAAAGUUGAUUAAUUUCUGUCUUAUUGUCGAGAAAAUAAAUUUUUAAAAAACUCAUGAUAUCCUUUCGCAUUCAUUAUCUUAUUGCUUAAAUAUUGUUUGCAUUAUACAUUUCAUGAGUUGAACAAUUUUACCCUUUUAAGUGGGAGUGAGAAGCUAUGCCUUCAUGAGGUUUUCACCUCCGUGUAGGGUAGUGGAUUGCUUCCGGGAUACAUCCGUACCUAUUUCUUCGUGAGAUUUUCGUCUCAGUACAACCAUAGGGAAAUGUAUUCCACUGAACCGAACUUGAUCCAUUGAGCCUAUAAUGGGUGAGGAUUGAGGAAUCUGCUGGUUCGGGUACCUUUACCCUAGAAGUCAAACUUCAUAUAAUGAACCUUAGGAAUCCACCCUAGGUAGAACUAUACUAAACCCUAGUAGAUAUCCAAUUAGGAAUUUUACUAUUUCUUAAUUAUAUAUUAUGUUUUAUGAGAUACUGACUUUUUGUGUUUUAUUUUGAUUGCAUGACAUGGCAUUUCAUUUCAUCAUAAAAGGCGUCAGUCUAUAUUCAGUUGCUAGAUAGAAGGCUUAUCAUGGAAAGAGGGUUUCUUGAUAAAGAGGAGGACAAUGCGGCUGUCCGAACUUGGUCUAAAACAACACAGGAAGAAAAGGGUGAUAGUUUGGCUGACGGGCAUGUAUCGGAUGUAUGGGACUUUACGCAUAUCAGUGUAACUCAAAACAAUUUGCAAGAAUUGAAGGAAAUCUGGGGUUAGUGGAGUGAUGAGGUUAGACAGCUCUUUUAUAAUGAUUAUGGGGAUCUACCUUAUUUGCUUGAUGUGAAGGUAGACAAGUGUUUGUUUCAAGCCCUCGCCCAAUUCUGGAAUCAUGCUUACAGCUGCUUUACGUUUGGGAAGGUUGAUUUUGUAUCUACGAUAGAGGAGUAUAUGGAUUUACUCCGUUGUUCAAAGUUUCAAGUGGAUAGGGUCUAUUUAAGAGUGGUAAAUGUGCCAAGAGUGUAACAGGAAUGAGUGAGCAGUGGGUUGUCGCACGAAUUAAGCAAAAGGGGGAUAGUAAGUGCGUUCCUUGGAGAGGCUUGAAAGAUGCAAUUCUCACACACCCAGAUGUAAGGAAAAUGUUAGAUGUUUUUGCUUUAAGUAUAUACGGCUUGGUUGUCUUCCCUAAAGCCUUGGGGUAUGUGGAUGAAGCAGUCACUGAUAUAUUCGAUCGUCUCGAUAAGAAGGUUACACCGAUUCCAGCAAUUUUGGCAGAAACUUUCAGUUCAUUGAGUGCAUACCGGAAGACGGGCGAAGGUAGAUUUAUUGGAUGUGCACAGCUUCUACUCGCAUGGUUUCAUAGUCACUUUUGGAAGGUGGAUAAAGUUUCCUAUCGGGUUUUCUCUAAAAAUUAUUCACCACUAAAGGAGAUAGUCGUUACGCCAAGGAGAGACGACAUUUCGAAGGAGAAGUGGAUGGCAAUUCUUCAAAAUCUUCGAGAGGAGGACAUUGAGUGGAGAGCUCAUUGGUUACUUCCAGAUGAGAUCCUGUAUAGGUGUGGUAGUUUUCGUACAAGGAUGAUGGUUAUAGAAAGAAGAUUCAAUAGAUGGCUAGUGCGUGGAAACAAACUCGCCGAAUGAAGAGGCUAGCUGUGGGUCCAAUAACAACUCCUGAGUAUCAUCAAUGGUGGGCUAGAAGGAUUAAUGAUAAUACACCUAAGUUAAAUCAGGAAGACAGUCAGUCAAUCGAAGAGCAUUUGCGAGUCAUUCCUUCUGAGUUAGAAAUCAUAAGGAAAGAUUUUGAGAGGAGAAAUGCGGAUUUAAAGAAAAAGAUAGAGCAAAUGGAGGCGGAAAAGACGAAUUUAAGAUUAGAUAUAAACGUUCAGAAGCUUGAAAAUGAGAAGUUAAAGAAAGAGAAAAACAAGGCUGAGGAAGAGAUGGGUAGUCUAAAGAUGGAUUAUAAAAAAUGCGUUUGUCAAUGAGAAUUACUGGGAUGGGAAAGACUUCAGAACAAUGGUGAGCAGAAAUCCGAGAUGAAAAGGACAAAGCCGAUAGAUGGGAACAGAAAUGUCAGGAGAUGCAGAGACGAACUGAAGAUUUAGAAAAGAGUUUGUCAGAAAGCCAAAAGGAGAAAUGCGAGCUAAAGGAUAGGGUGGUUGUGCUGGAAGGAUGUCUUCGUCAAUAUCGAAAUCGAAAUUUGGCAAAAAAGUUGAAAGCUAGCUUGAACAAGAUUGAAGAAAUGAAGAAAAGAAUCGAAGAGCUAGAAACGGAGCUGCAAAAUUGUGAGAUCUAGAUCAAGCACUUGAAAGCAAACGAGAGUCGUAAUAAUGAACAGCUUCAUCACUUUCAGAGUCAAGUUAGAAGGAGAGAUCAUCUUAUCGAGGAAGCUGUGGUCCAGAUUCGAGAAGUAGCUGAUCAUAUACAGACUUUAGCAGUACAGGCUGACACGCUGAGUGUAAAGUAUGAAUUAGAAUCGGAUCGGGGACAAGAAUUAGCUUUGUUACUUAGAAAGAUUAGAGUUCUAAGUACUAGGGCAGAGUCUUAUUUGUAAUUCACUUUAUGUAAAGGAAUUUAAUUUCUAGUAAAGUUUUCUUAUAUGGAAUUGAAUCAAAAUUGACGCCUUUCUGCAUUCAUUUCAUGCAUUACAUUGUUUCAUAUGCAUUAAGAAAUAUAUUAAGGGAUUCUAAUUAAUUUUAAUCACUCAUCAGUUAAUCUGGAAACCAACCAACCCACCAAGCACCACUACGGUACCCAAUCGAAAACUAAAGAUAUGGAUCAAAAUAUGGAAAUACUAGAACAAUCCCAAAAAGAAAUGCAGGAGCAGCUUCAAAAGCAAAUGAAUGAGCAGCAAAAGAUGGUAGACAAAAUGAUGGAAUCUCAAGGGAGUGUGAUGGCUCAGUUAACUCAGUGGUUCAGCAAAGGAACUGAUAAAGGAAAAGGCUUUGUGCUCAAUAUUGAAGAAGGAGACAAUGAGAGACCUAUCUAUCCUCCGGACUUUACCCUCCAACAAGUUGAGAUAUACCUACGUAGGUCCUCUGUUACCAUUAAUCCUCCAGGUGACGCUACAACGCUAAUGAAUCUCCAAGCAGGAUCAGGCUCUAACCCUAGAGCCAACUUUGUUAAUCCUGCUAUUCCUGAUUUCGAUGAGACGGCUGGAAAGGAGAAAAUGAAUGAUGAAUUGCCAAAACAGCUAGAGGAAAAGUACAAAUGGCUGGAAGAGAAAUUUAGAGUGAUGGAAUGCGCAGAAGGCUACUAUAGGAUGGAUGCUAAAGAAUUGAGUCUGGUUCCGGAUUUAGUGCUCCCUUACAAAUUCAACAUGCCAGAGUUUGAAAAAUAUAAUGGAACCAGUAGCCCCGAAGCUCAUAUCACCAUGUUCUGCAGACGAAUGACCAGUUAUGUCAAUAAUGACUAACUCUUGAUUCAUUGCUUCCAGGAUAGCCUCACAGGGGCAGCAUCCAAGUGGUACAAUCGAUUGAACCGUACCCAGAUUAAUUCAUGGAAAGAUUUGGCACAGGCGUUCAUAAAGUAGUACAGCCAUGUGACUGACAUGGUACCUGAUAGGAUCACUCUGCAGAAUAUGGAAAAGAAACCAGGUGAAAGCGGGAAAAUAAAUGUUGGAGAAAGUAGUAGAAGGGCGGCAUCAAAGAAGAAAGAGAAUGAGGUCAACAACACAAGUUCAUAUUCAAAGACAGUUACAGUGAAUCAGCCGGGAAAAGUGGCUGUUAACCAGCAAGGAUUAUCAAAGCAGAGAUUUCAUACAAGACAAAAUACAGAGAAGAUUCAAUUUACGCCAAUUCCAAUGAUGUAUAGGGAGCUAUAUUAGAAUCUAUUCAAUGCACACGUGGUUUCCCCUUUCCACUUGAAACCUCUGCAGCCCCCAUACCCCAAGUGGUACGAUGCAAAUGCACAGUGCGACUAUCACGCGGGAAUUGAAGGGCAUUCUAUAGAACAUUGUAUGGCGUUCAAGAAGCUGGUGGAAAGACUUAUAAGCCUGGGUGUGGUUAAAUUGGAUGAUUCACCUAGUACAGAAAAUUCGUUACCUAAUCAUAACGGAGUGAACAUGAUAAGUGAGAGUAUGGGUAGAAAAAUCAAGGAAGACAUAGAAGAAGUAAAAAUUCCUUUGAGGUGGGUAUGGAGAAAUAUGGUAAAAAGGGGAUUGAUUGUUCCGAAUUCAGAGGGAAGCUUUGAAAGGAUGGAAAAUUACUGUGAGCUCCAUCACAAGGAGGGACAUGAAAUCCAGGAAUGCACUGAAUUCAGAGCCCUGGUUCAAGGCCUGAUGGAUAAUAAAGAAAUGGAAUUUUGUGAGGAAGUUAGGGAGGAAGGGAGUAUUUGCACAUCCAAAUCCUCGAAGGUUCCAAGAGUAGCGCAGCCUGUGGUCAUCAUCUCACGACCAAAGAAGGAUGAAGUGAGAACGCCAAUGAUGCCAAGAAUCAUAAUAAAGAAACAUGCAACCUUCUUUUACCAGGACAGUAGGAAGGUUCCAUGGAGCUACAUGUGCAAUACAACUGUCCCUGGAAAAGAGACUACAAAGGACCAGUGUGUGAGUGCCAAACUAGAAUCUAUGAAAGGGGUCAUAAUAGGGGAGUAGAAAGGGAAAGUAGUUGAGCCAGUAAAGGAGGAAGAAGCUGUGGAAUUCCUCAAAUUUCUGAAGCAUAGUGAGUAUAAUGUCGUCGAUCAGUUGCAUAAACAACCGGCUCGCAUAUCUGUACUAGCCUUACUCUUGAAUUCAGAAGUACAUCGAAAUGCACUAAUGAAGAUGCUAAAUGAGACUUAUGCGUCCAAGGAUAUUUCUGUCGACAAACUAGAUCGGUUGGUCAAUAAUAUCAGUGCUGAUAAUUUCAUAUUUUUCAAUGAUGAUGAAAUACCUCCUAGGGGCAUAGGAUCUACCAAAGCUUUGCAUAUCACUGCACGAUGCAAGGGGCAUAUUUUGCCAAGAGCACUGAUUGACAACGGAUCAGCUUUGAAUGUAUUGUAGUUAUUCACACUUAAUAGGCUACCCAUAGACAGUUCGCACAUGAAAACAUGUCAAAAUGUAGUUAGGGCGUUUGACGGUACAGAAAAGAAGGUCAUGGGAAGAAUUAAGAUACCCCUACAGAUUGGCCCAACAGUUUAUGAGGUAGAUUUUAUUGUAAUGGACAUCAAACCUUCCUAUAAUUGUUUAUUAGGAAUAUCAUGGAUACAUUCAGCGGGGGCAGUACCGUCAUCAUUACAUCAGAUGUUGAAGUUAGUGUCAAAUGGUCGGCUAGUGACAAUAAAAGCCGAAGAGGAUAUAAUAGCAGCUGUAUCCAAUGAGACGCCAUACAUGGAGACCAAUGACGAGUCAAUAGAAUGCUCAUUUCGAUCUUUGGAGUUUGAAAAUGCGGCAUUUGUUCCCGAAUGGAGUAAAAUUUUGGUGCCAAAAUUAUCCAAAACUACAGAGAUAGGUUUACAGUUGUUGGUGGGAAAAGGAGAUUUACCCGGAAGAGAGGGCUAGGGAGAUAUCUUCAAGGGAGGACUGAGGUUCCAAUGCUGAAAGAAAAGCAGGAUCACUUUGGCUUAGGAUACAAGCCAGAUAGAGGACAAAGAAGGAAGAAGAUAGAAAAAAGGCAGGAAAGGAGAAAGGCGCGUUUAAAUGGGGAGGAAGCUAAGUGGGAGCCAAUGAUAAUCCCCCACAUAUCCAAAACUUUCAUAUCUGGAGGAGUUAUUCAUCAUGAGAGAAAGAAAUCGGUUGAGGAAAGCAUCGAGGAGACGUUGGGAAGUAUGCACAUCAAUGCCAUUCAUGAGCAUGUGAAUGAGGAGAGGAGCUGGUUGGACAUUCGUCCUUAUGAGCCCGAGAAUGUUCCAGAUAAUUGGACUGCGGAAGAAAUACCCAAAGUCUUUAAAAAUGUCUCAGAGUAAUAUUCAGAACAAACUUGUUGUUUUAGCCUAGAAAUAACGAGAACUCUUUUGUGAAAUAGGCUUAUGUUUAAACAUCAUUAUUUUAAUAAAAUACAUCUUUGCAAUUGUUUCGAGUAAAUAUUCUUUCAUUCUUUCCAUACAAGUAAAUAUAUUCUUUCAUUGCACAAAUAAUUGUACAUAAAUUCAUACAUUCUUUUGUAAUCAUAUUAGGUCCUUGUGUAUCAACGAUGUGAAUGACGCCGCUACGAGCUCAGAAUGCCCUUUUGAACGAAACGUGUGUUUGGAAGGAUCGCACGACUUUGAAGGUGAUGAAGAUGGUGGCUUAUCUUUGGACUUGUUGAGGAUGGUGGAACAAGAGGAAAAGAAAAUCCUACCUCACAAAGAAUCAGUAGAAACUGUGAGCUUGGAAGAAAGAAAAGAGGUGAAAAUUAGAAUUGAGAUUUUUGCAAAGACAAGACGAGGCCUCAUUGAAUUACUACAAGAAUUCAAAUAUGGCUUCGCAUGGUCAUACUAGGAUAUGCCCGGAUUGAGUGCUGACAUUGUAGUGCAUCGCCUACCUAUAAAAAAGGAUUGCAAACCAAUGCAACAGAAGCUCAGAAAAAUGAGGCCUGAUAUUGUGCUCAAAAUAAAAGAGGAGGUUAGGAAACAGUUUGAUGCUGGAUUUUUGCAGGAGGUCAAAUAUUCUGAAUGGGUAGUCAACAUCGUUCCAGUCCCUAAAAAGAUGGAAAAGUACGAAUGUGCGUGGAUUACAGUGAUUUGAACAAAGCAAGUCCAAAGGACAAUUUCCUAUUGCCACAUAUUGAUACUCUGGUGGACAAUACGGCGGGAUUUUCAUUGUUUUCUUUCAUGGAUGGGUUCUCAGUAUAUAAUCAGAUAAAGAUGCAUCUGGAAGAUAUGGGAAAGACUAUGUUUAUUACUUUGUGGGGAACAUUUUGCUAUAAGAUGAUGCCAUUCGAAUUAAAGAAUGCGGGAGCAACAUAUCAGAGAGCCAUGGUAGCCUUGUUUCAUGAUAUGAUGCACAAAGAAAUUGAAGUAUCUGUUGAUGAUAUGAUUGCCAAAUCCAGAACAAAGGAAGAACAUGUGCAGGUCCUGAGAAAAUUGUUCGUAAGAUUAAGAAAGUUCCAACUCAAGCUUAAUCCGACAAAAUGCACUUUUGAAGCCAGGUCAAGAAAGUUGUUAGGCUUCGUAGUUAGCAAAAAGAGAAUUGAAAUUGAUCUAGACAAAGUCAAGGCAAUACGAGAUUUAUCGCCACCACGUACCCAGAAAGAAGUUCGAGGCUUAUUAGGAAGACUGAAUUACAUUGCUCGGUUCAUUUCACAGUUGACCGAAAAAUGUGAUCCCAUAUUUCACCUUUUGAAGAAACAUAAUCCUGAUGUUUGGAAUGAAGAAUGCUAGAGUGCCUUUAAGAAGAUAAAGCAAUACUUAACCAAUACUCUAGUUCUGUCACCACCCAGCCCAGAUAGACCCUUGAUUUUGUAUUUAAUGGUGCUCAACAACUCUAUGGGAUGCGUGCUGGGUCAACAUGAUGCGACUGGAAAGAAGGAAAAGGCGAUUUACUAUCUCAGUAAGAAAUUCACUGACUGUGAGAUGAGAUAUUCGCCUAUCGAAAAAUUGUGUUGCACCCUGAUUUGGAUGACCAAGAGGUUGAGGCAAUACUUACUCUAUCAUACGACUUGGUUAAUUUCAAAAUUAGACUCUUUGAAGUAUAUGAUGGAGUCAACAGCAUUGAAUGGAAGAAUGGCUAGAUGGUAAAUCUUGCUCUCUGAGUUUGAUAUCGUAUAUGUAAGUCAGAAGGCCAUCAAGGGGAGUGCGAUAGCAGAUUUCUUGGCUAGCAGAGCUCUGGAAGAUUAUGAGCCUCUAGAUUUUGAUUUCCCGAAUUAAGAUUUGAUGUAUGUGGCAAAUGCUGAAGAGGAUCCCCAAGAGAAUCAUUCUUGGAGAUUAAACUUUGAUGGAGCAUCAAAUGUACUAGGCAAUGGGAUUGGGGCAGUCCUGGUGUCUCCGAAUGGAGAUUAUCAUCCUUUCACCAGUAAAUUAGACUUUGAUUGCACUAAUAACAUGGCUGAGUAUGAAGCUUGCAUCAUGGGUAUACGGGCAGCCAUAGAGCGGAAAAUCAAGACAUUAGAGGUGUACGGAGACUCAACAUUAGUAAUAUACCAACUAAGAGGGGAAUGGGAGACAAGAGACCCUAAAUUGAUCCAUUAUCAGAGAUUAGUUUUGGAAUUGAUCGAAAAGUUUGACAACAUUACCUUCUGUUAUCUCCCACGGGAAGAAAAUCAGAUGGCUGAUGCUCUUGCUACUUUAGCUUCCAUGAUUAAAGUAAAUCAGUUAGAGGACAUGAAGUUCAUUCAAAGUAGUAUUUAUGAGAUCCCAGCCCACUGUUAUAGCAUUGAAGAAGUGGAGAAUGAUAAUAGUCCCUGGUACCAAGAUAUAUUGAUAUAUGUGAAGAAUCACGAAUAUCCUGAUCAGGCAACAGAGAAUGAUAAGAGGACAUUGAGGAGACUAGCUAUUGACUAUGUCUUAGAUGGGGAGAUCCUAUACAAAAGGGGAAAGGAUCGAGUACUGUUGAGAUGCGUGGACGCUAUAGAGGCUAAGGAAAUUUUAGAAGAAGUCCAUGAGGGUGUUUGUGAAUUCACCAUGGCUAGACAGAUUAUGAGAUUCGGGUAUUACUGGUCCACCAUGGAAGGAGAUUGCAUCAAUCAUUCCAAGAAAUGCCAUAAAUGCCAAAUUUAUGGGGAUAAAAUGCACGCGCCUCCUUCUCCUCUUCAUGUUAUGACUUCUCCAUAGCCUUUCUCCAUGUAGGGUAUGGACGUCAUUAGACCAAUAUCACCGAAGGCUUCUAAUGGACAUCGUUUCAUUUUUGUGGUUAUUAACUACUUCACUAAGUGGGUAGAGGCAGCCUCAUAUGCUAAUGUCAUGAAGUCAGCAGUCAGUAACUUUUUGAAGAAAGAGAUCAUAUGUCGAUAUGGAAUGCCUGAAAGGAUCAUAUCUGACAAUGCGCUGAAUUUGAAUAACAGCACAAUUCAAUAUCAGACACCAUAAUUCGUCACUGUAUUGUCCAAAAAUGAAUGGUGCAAUAGAGGCGGCCAACAAAAAUAUUAAGAAGAUUGUGGCGAAAAUGGCUGAAACUUAUAAUGAUUGGCAUGAGAAGUUACCAUUCGCUCUUUUGGCUUACCGAGCAUCGAUCAGGACUUCUAUUGGGGCAACACCUUUUUCGUUGGUUUAUGGAAUGGAGGCAGUUUUACCCAUUGAGGUUGAAAUUCCUUCUCUUCGGGUAUUGGCUGAGUUAAAAUUGGAUGAGGUCGAAUGGAUCCAAUCUCGGUACGAUCAAUUGAACCUGAUUGAAGAUAAAAGAUUAAAAGCCAUUCGUCAUGGUCAAAUGUAUUAGAAGCGAAUGAUGCGAGCUUAUAAUAAGAAGGUUCGUCCUAGAGAAUUUCAUGAAGGGGAUUUGGUUUUGAAAAAGAUCCUACCUUUACAAAAGGAUUUCAGAGGGAAAUAGAUGCCAAAUCGGGAAGGACCUUAUGUUGUGAAAAAGGCUUUUUCUGGAGACGCUUUGAUUUUAAGUGAAAUGGAUGGCAAAAAUCUUCCGAAUCCUGUAAAUUCAGAUUCGGUCAAGAAAUAUUUCACUUGAAGGAAGAGAGGAAUCAAAGUGAAAACCCACAAAAGGCGCUCUGAUUUCCUAAAAAAAAGGAAAAAGGAGAGGCCAAGGUGAAAACCCAAAAAGGGCGCCUUGAGACCAAAGGGGGUUUGAGUUGAAAACCUGAAAAGAGUGGCUCAAACAUUGUCAGAUUGGGGCAUAUGGGGAUCUUUUUUCACUUAAGUCAACAAUAAAAGGAUAUACGACGUCUUAGGGCAUUCACAGAGUACUGUAGAUCCCCUAAACACAUGCUAAAUUCAGAAUGGUUCUUGGCUUGCACGGAGAAGUUCAAGCGGUGAUAUCCAAAGCACCUAGUCUUCAUUUUAUUUGUACCAAAUUUGUUGGUUCUUGUAAAUACUUCAUUCUUUGCUGUUCUUGAAUACUUUUUCUUUUCAGGACACUCACUAUCAAUGAACUCUUGAAUUAAUUCAUCUCUUACUCAGUAUUUUUGAUCUUUGUGUAAGCAUGUCACAUUAGAAUAAUGAUUGAUGGACUAAUAAACUUUCACAAAAGAAGUUUGGUAUAUUACUCUGGGAAUUUCUAAAUAAUUUGGUAACCUGAAACAGGACUAUUGUUUAAAACACCCCGAGUUCAAAAGAUAAAAAGCCUAAGAAGUAAAAAGUUUAAAUUAAGACUACUUUUUCGAAUUUGGUUGUCCAAUAGUGAAUGAGACAGCAAGAAGUCUUGAUAGGGUAGGAAGAAGUCUCCUAUGGAAAGAAAGCUCCUUAUUUAGGCAUAAGCAUUUGAUAAGACACCCUGAGAGAGGUGUAAACAAAUUUCAUAAUCUGUAUCCUUGAAUUACGAUAGGAGAGGACUGAGAAGAGUCAAAUUUUCCUACUCUUAAGUCACGGUGGAAGAAAUAUAGUACAAACUCUGUGUCCUUGAGAAUUGAGCUUUGAAGUGCACAAUGGGGGCAAUUUGAUUUAGUGUUUUUCGAAGAUAUUAGCCAAGUAAAAGGCGCCAGCGACAAAACCUUAAUAAACUUCAAAAAAAAUGAUAAUUCUUGAAAAAUGACAUUCUGCAUUUAUUCAAAUGUCAUUCGUACAUGUCUAGUUGGGAGCCUUUGAUGCAUUUUAUGCCAUCCUAAUCAUUAGGCAUAAUUAGCUUCAUUAUACAGGUCAUGUUCCCCAGAGAGCAGAUCAGUGAAGAUAACAGAUCGAGUCUUAUCUCCCUGAAGUUACAGUGGAGCAGACUAAGUAGGCAAGUCUUAUCCACCUGAAGUUGCAGUGAGGCAGACUGAAGGUGGCAAAUCUUAUCUCCCUGAAGUUACAGUGGAGCAGAUUAAAGCUGGUAAUCCUAUCUCGCUGAAGUUGCAGUGAGCGGAUUAAAACCUUAGAUCUUAUCUCUCUGAAGUUGCAAAGAACAGAUCACAUCUAGUCUUAUCCUCCUGAAGUUGCAGUGAGGCAGACUGAAGAUGGCAAAUCUUAUCUCCCUGAAGUUGCAGUGGAGCAGAUUAAAGCCGGUAAUCCUAUCCCACUGAAGUUGUAGUAGGCGGAUUAAAACCUUAUAUCUUAUCUCUUUGAAGUUGCAGAGAGCAGAUCGCAUCUAGUCUUAUCUCCCUGAAGUUGUAGUGGAACGGACUAAGUAAGCAAAUCUUAUCCUCCUGAAUUUGCUGUGAGGCAGACUGAAGAUGGCAAAUCUUAUCUCCCUGAAGUGGCAGUGGAGCAGAUUAAAGUCGGUAAUCCUAUCCCACUGAAGUUGCAGUAGGCGGAUUAAAACCUUAGAUCUUAUCUCUCUGAAGUUGCAGAGAGCGGAUCGCAUUUAGUCUUAUCUCCCUGAAGUUGCACCAGGAGCAAGUUGAAGCCAUAAAAGUUACAGUAAAGAAGAUUGAAACAUUAGUUCAUAUACCUCUGAAGAUGCAGUAGGAAGGAAUGAGGCUACUUGAAGAAGAAGAAGAGCGCCAAGGUCCAGCAUGACCGGACAAAAUUGGGCAUUUUAAAGUCUUUGCUCUAUUCCUGUUACACGAUAACGAGCAAAGAGGGGCAACUGUAAUGCCUAAAUUUUUCCCGGGUACAAAUAAUAAAAAGGCCCUAAAUAAAGACACAGUCCAAUUACAACAAAAUGGGGCCCAAACCAAAAUAAAAACAGGCCCAAUGUGCGGUGGCCCAAAAUCGCCAGAAACCCUAGGGUUUCUAAUCUUCAACAACGCCAAAACGGAGGCCCAAUGUACGGUGGCUCAAAUGAUUUUUUUAGAGGAUUGGGGAUAUUUAUAGGGCACCAAAACGGCGUCGUUUUAGAGAGCCCCCAGAUGCCCAAAACGGCGUCAUUUUUGGGGAGGCCGACCCGGCUCCGACCCCACCCGGCAUAGGAUCCGCAUGUUUUUUUAGCGGAGGGGUAAAUUACGCUUUCAGCCCCUCCGCCUUUUAAUGUUUUCUGCAAUUAAAUUUUUUUAUUUUAUUAAGUUACCCAGUAAUUUAUUAUCGUUUUCAAUUUGGUCCUAAUGUGAAUGAUGUCGUUUAAAGGAGAAUAGAAAAUUGCCCUUCUAGCCCCUCUGCAUUAUCUGCGCGUUCAAUGUGGUCCCUUUGGCUUUAUUUAUUUGCGGAUUUACCCCAAAUUUUUUUAUUUGAAAUUCAAUUUAGUUCUCUUUUAUAUCUUUCUUAAAAUUGGUUGAUUUUUGGGAUGUAAUUAUUAUUUUUAUAUAUAUGUAUAUUUAUUGUUUCCUUAUGAACAUAUUUAUUUUCUUUCAACUAAUAUUUUUUUUAUUUAUAUAUUCCUACUUUUUUUUAUGUAAAUGUUAAUUAAUCCUUUUUUAAUAUAUUUUACAUGUAUACAUACAUAUAUUUUUUGAAUAUUCUAUUAUAUUUUCAUAUAUCUACGUACAUUUUUUAUUUUCGAAAAUAUUAAAAUACAUGUUUAUUUUUUUACACUUAUAUUUAUAUAUAUAUUUGUUUUUCUUUAUUUUCAUAAGAGCAUUAUAUGAAUUUCAUAAUUAAAAUUUUAUAUGUAAAUUAUGUACUUUAUUUCUCAUCAUUCCAAUGUGUAUAUUAUGCGCUGUUUAUCCUUUAUUGUUUCUUUCAUUUGUUUAUUGACCUUUUUUUAUUUUAUAUCUUGUUCAUUUAUUUAAUAUUCUUGUAUGUCAAAGAUUAUUUCUUUUAUGAAUGUUAGUUUCCUUUAUUUAUAUGUUUAUAUUGUUUCUAUGCCAUUGUGAUAUUUAUUAUUGCAUUGUAUAUUUAAUGUAGCAUCACAUCAUUUUUUUACUCGAUUUCAAACUUCUCAAAAUUGAGAUAAUGCUUGUAUUUAGGAUUUUCAAGGAAAUUGAGCCCUAACAUAUUAGGUUCCGAUUUUCUUCGUUAAAUCUAAGAAUCGAGCAUUUCUCUUUAAUCAAAAAAAAUAAGAACUCAUUAUUGGGAAUUCAACACGUUGUGUCCUAACGUAUUGGAUGUGACGCAUUGAUUUCUCGAAAUGAAUAUUUUUUUAAAAAAUAAUAAAGGAAAUAUUCCGAGUUUGGGAUUCUAGAGGAAUUGUGCCCUAACGUAUUGGGCCACGAUUUCUUAAAUCUUAAAUAAAUGGAAAUUCUUUUACAUUUUUUAUUGCACUAGUAUUUUGCCCUAAUUCAUUUUUGGGGAAAAUUAGAAUGUCGUGCCCUAACGUAUUGGGUGUGGUAUUUUCUUUCUCUGAAAUGAUAAGGGUCUUAAUACGUAACGUUUUUAAGUUUUUUGCUAAGGAUUAUAUUUUUCAAAUUUUCGACAUUAAAACAUUAAUUAAUUAACUAGGUACCAAUUUUUGGGCGUAAUGAGGAUGCUAAUCCUUCCUCAUACGUAACCAACUCCCGGACCCGUUUUUCUAAAAAUCGUAGACCAAAAUCGUUUUUAGGUGACCCAAUCACACCUCAAUAAAAGAUUGGUGGCGACUCCCAAUUUUCAUUUUUUAAAGUCGACAAUCUAAAAUUUUUGUUUUUUUUUCAAAAAUAAAAAAUGGUUUCACCAAUAAUAAAUAAUAAAGAUUUUACAUUUAUUUGAAGCACUUAUUUACAUUUUGAAUAAACUAUUAUUUUAGUCAUUGCCUUUUAAUUCUUAAUUUUUCUUUUAAAUUUUUUUAUAUGUUAAAUUUUAAGUUGAUUUUAAAUAAAUUAUUUCUUUAUUUUAAGAUAUUACUUAAUUAAAUUAACUUUUAAUAUUAUAAUAUUAAAAUUAAUAAUUAUUAAAUUGGUUAACUUAAAAUAUAAUUUUAAAAAAAGACAUAUUGAUAUUAAAUAUAUUUUCAAAUAUAAUAAGAGUUAAUAAUAUUAAUGAUUAAAGUAUAGCAAGUAUAAAUAUAAAAUUACAAAUAUCAAAAUUUAACAAUUUUAACAUUAAAACAAAUUAAUUUAACAAUAUAUAUUGUUGGAAAAAUUAUAUUUUAUGGGAAUUUUGAGGCAUAUUAUCAAUAAGUAAAGGUUGAGAGUUGAAUAAUAAAAUUAUAGUUCCAUAUUCUACUCUAUGAGACAUUUACAACUGUGUAUCAUAUACUCAAAAUGAUUGAGUGAUGAAUGAGAAAUUGAUGCUCAAAUUAAGCUAUUUAAAAAUAUUUGUUGAGGAAAAGUAAAAGCUUAGACCCCACAUUAGUUAAAUACUAAGUGUGAGAUGUGUAUGUAUAUGGAACCCUCUUAAAUAGUAAUUAAAUGACUAAAUUUGGAACCUUGCCUCACGCGAAAGGUUGGUUAUAGGUCCAAACUCAAUGGGGUAGGGGCACCUGCACAACGUGGGCGACGCAAAAUGUCGGGCUCAAAAUGGGCUUGCGAACAUUUUAGUCCAACACGAAAUUAUUUUUCCUCAACAGAUAAAAUUUGUUUAUAUAAAGAUAUUUCUCUUAUUUUAUUUGAUUCCAAUCAAUUUUAUUUAAUUUUUAAUUAAAUUGAUUUGUUGGCUCCUUUAAUAGUAGAUUUGAUAUUUCCAAAACUCCACCAUACUAAAUGCCUAUAAAAUGAUAUGGAUGAAGAAUUUUUCCACAUUGAUAUCCUCUUAGGCCGAAUUUAUUUUGCUGUCAAAAUUCUUCUUUUCCUCUCCGUAUUUUCCAAAGUUCCGGUGAUAGAAAAAGGUAAUGUUUGUUCGUUGAUCGCUGCAGAGACGCUACUGCUUUGAUCAUUAUGUUGUUGUAUUUUGAGAGACAUUCGACCAACAUUUCUCCAAGUACCGUAGGAGCGGCCGAAUCUAUGUUAAGGAAACCGUGUUAAACAUGCCUCAACGUUUAGUAAAUCUCUAUUCUUCCUUUCGAUUUCAACUUAUUGUUACGGUUUUUUUUUAUUUACGUAUUUGACAAUUUAAAUAUAAAUUAUUCUAUUUAUAUUUUAUUUCAUAUAUAAAUAUGUGUUUAUUUAUAUUUCAAUAUUUUAUUCGCUAAUGUGUUUUGUCCAACGUAUAUAUAAAUAAAUAACUUGUAAUAAAUUAUUAAUAAUAUUAUUUAAAUUAUAAUAUAUUAAUAUUAAUAUUUGAAUCAUAAUGAGUUUUUGUAUUAUUCUAAUAUUAAAUAUUAUUAAAAUUAAAUAACAUUAAUAUAAGUGUUUCUAAAAUAAUUGAAUAUUUUAAAAAAUAUUUUGUAGUUACAUUACUUGUCAAUUUAUUAAUAAAUAUUUUGAAUAAAUUCAUUAAUUUUUUUAAAAAUAAUAUUAUAAAUUUAGUGUACACUACCGACCUGUACAUGAUAUGGGAAUACAAGCUAGUUAAAUACUAUUAUCUACUGGAUAUCCAAUCUGCAAAAAGUAAAAAUAAAAAUAAAAGAUUUUCAAUCAGUUUUUAGAUAUCAAAAUUCACAAAAAUCUAAAUCGAAUCUAGUAAAAUUCUUUAUAUACACAAAAUCAAAAUUAAAAGUACUUUGUAAUUAGUGAAUUCAGAUAUUAAAAUCCACAUCUAUUAUUUGAAUAUGCGAUGCAGGUUUAGAUAAUGGACAUUCGAAGUAUCUAUCUGCAUCCGCAAUAGAUAGUAAUUUCAAAUCCGAAUUUCAAUAUUAAUCAAAUCCGCAAAAAAAAAAAAAAAAAAACUAAUUAGAUAUUUAGCUUCAACUUGAAUUAAGUAUUUUAAAUUUAUAUUUAAUUCAAUUAUAUGUUAAUUUUGGGAUGAAUUCAUUAAAUUAUUUAUUUUUAUGUAAAAUUAAUAAUUACCAUUAUUUAGAAUGCUUUAAUGGAAAAAAUAAAAUAUAAAAGUAAAAAGAAAUUUUAAAAAAUUCAUCUCAAAGUUAAUUAUUGUUACUAUAUAUAAUGAAAUUAAAAUUAAUUUUUUAAAAUUUUAACUAUAAAAAUUAUUAAUAUAUAUGAAUGAUAUGUUUGUUUUAUUAAAUGAUGGGUUACUAUAUCACUUCAUUUCUAACAUUUUUUUUUCUUUUAUGUUAGGAUAUUAAAAAUGAUCUUGUUUGAUAAUUGAAAAAUUAAAUAUAAAAAAAAUUAAAUGUUAAGUUUAAGUUAUGAAACUUGUUUAAUAUAUUUAUUAAAAUUAAGUGUAACAUAUGAUUAAAUUAUUUGAUUAAUGUAAUUUUUAAAAUUUUAAAUGUAAAGUUAUUUAAACAAGAAAUAAAGUAAAUUGAAAUGAAUUGAAAAAAAUUCUAAUUAGUGUACUUAUGGGAGGAAAAAGUUUAUUUAUUGCAUAUAUUACUAUAGUUAGAUAUAAAAUAAAAUUAGUAUAUAUUUAAGCUUAAAAUUAGAAAUAUGAGAAAAAAUUCAAGUAAAAAAAUAAAAUCUCUUGAAAAAUAAAUAAAAAGUUUUCCUUCUAUUUUCCAAAAGCAAGCCAUGGAAGUGACUACAAAUUACUAAUUGAAAUUAGUUUAUGGUUAGCUUAUAUACUAAAACAUAGUAAAAAAAUAAUACUCUUACCAAAGGUAGCAUGAGUGAUCAGAAACUCUUCAUCUAUUUAUUAUUUUUCACUUUUUCUCAUUCUAUCAUUUUCUCUUUAUGUUAGAUUAUCAAAGAUGCUUAUAAAUCACUGAAAAUAUUAAUUUUAGAUUAUUUAAUUAUUUUCAAUCAAUUAUCUAAACAGGGAUCAUGUUACUUUGAUGAUAACCUAUUAGGUUUUUUUGUGAAUAAGUACAUUGCAAUAGGGAAUGAGGAAACGGUUUACAAAUAUUGGAAUUGAAUCCCGAACCUCUUGUUAAUUAACUUGAAAUCCGCACAAAUUUAUCGCUGAGUCGGUGGACGGUCCACAAUAAUCAAUUAGUUUUAUCCUUUUAUAGUUUCGUAUGGUAAAUCGAUUGCUGAACAGAAUAGCCAAAAUCGUAGCUGAACUAAAUAUGCACAAUAUCAACACAUAAUUUGUUUGUAAAUUGAAUCACAAUGAUAAACAUUAUAGCAGUUUGUUUUCUAAGAUGGCUUUUCUAGAACUUGCAAUUUCAUUGAAACAUCACCGGAAACUUGAAGAGAACAAAGGCAGAGUAAUAAUUAUUACAGGAAGAUGACAAGUCUGCUUCAUGUAUAUAAAAUAUAGGAUUGUACUGGUCAAAAUGCAUCAGACAUGUCAAAAUGUAUCAGACAUAAGUGGAUGAACAUCUGAUACAGAUGUAAUGAUGGAAUCCCUGUAAAAUCCGUGUGAGAGUGAAGUACCCGAUCUCAGUUGGUUUUGUGACAACAACCUCUGCUUGUUUUGGCUGAGUCGGAAAAAAACCUCGCAAAACUCUAAUUCUCUCCAGUUCCAUGACCACUUCUUUCAUUGUUGGUCUAUCUUUGCCAUCUAAGUUUAAGCAUCUUUUAGCAAGGUAAGCAACUGCAACUAGUUCCUCCUUUUGGCCAUCCUUCAAAACUUGAGGGUCAAGUGUAUCUAGAAAAUGGUUUUGGUCCACCGAGGAGAUGAAAUAGGAGACUAGGCUUUUCUUUUCUUGCGAUCCAGAUGUUAAGACUGGCUUUUGUGCUAUUAAGAGCUCGACCAGAACCACUCCGAAACUAUAAACGUCACUUUUCUCAGUGAAUUGACUUGACUGAAAGUAUUCAGGGUCUAAAUACCCAAAGGUUCCUUGAACUUGAGUUGUCAAGUGAGUUUGAUCAAUGCCGAUUGAUCUCGAUGUUCCGAAAUCUGAUACCUUAGCUCGGAACUUUUCAUCUAGUAGUAUGUUACUAGACUUUAUAUCUCUGUGAUAGAUGGGGACAGAAGCAGAGACGAGUGUAAGUAAGAAAUUGCAUUUGAAACUUCAGCUGCUAUGCGUAAUCGCAUAUCCCAAGAUCUUGGGUAUUCUUCAUUUUGGUCAUGGAUUAGCUGAGAAAGGGUUCCAUUUGGAAUGAAUUCAUAAACGAGUAGAGAGACUUCGGUCUCUAAGCAACAGCCUAAUAAUUUGACAACAUUUCGGUGAUCAAUUUUGGCAAGAAUAACGAUCUCAUUGAUGAAUGGGUCGAGAUGCUCUUGGUCUACUAUUUUGGACUUUUUUACAGCCACAAUUCUCCCAUCAUGCAACUUUCCUUUGUAAACCACGCCUUGGCCACCACGACCCAGGAUUCUGUUCGUUAUAAGUUUGUAACUCUUUGGAAGUGAAGAAUUUAAUAUUCUCCACACCACCUUCCUUAGAAGACUACUUUUUCUCAAGCAGUAGCCCACCAUUUCUUUUAAAAUGCUCUUGCUUGCAUUUUAUAUUUCUCCUUUUCUCUAGUUUACUAUAAAGCCACCAAACUCCAGCAAACAACAAGAACCCUGCAGCUAAGCAAAUACCUGCGAUCAAAAUGAAAGUCAGUCAUCGAUUAACUUCUGACAUUCUUAAUAUCUCCAUUUUAAGCUAAGAUUUGAAAUAAAAUUUUCCAUUUUAAGUUCUAAUGUAAUACUAUCCUAAGAGGAGAGCAAGAAAGCCAAUACUAGUUUCUAACAAUUAAAUGAAUAGGUUAAACUAUUCUCCAGCAAAAACAGAGAUCUAGUAGACUUGACCUAAUCUUUAUGCAGCUUUUCAUGUAAUACAAUAUAAUUAAAUAGAAUGACCUUAUUAUGAACCAUGAAAUUGUUUAUGAGUCAAGCCGACCCUAUUAAAGCUUAGGGCCUGUUCUUCAUUACUUAAAAAAAGAACUUCUGACUUCAAAAACACUUUUAGAAGAAAAGCUAUGCAUAAUAAACUGCUUUUGGCUAAAAAUUUUAGCUUUUCCUCUUCUAAAAGCACUUUUGGUUCUUAAUUACUUUUUCAUCCCUUUAAUAACAUAGUACUUUCCUUUUUUGUUUUUUUUUUGUGCUUAAUUACAAAUGUAUUAAAAUCAUUAAUUAAAAAUAAAAAAAAUAUUUUUUAAAAUAUUAAUUAUAAAUAUUUAAUGGUUAUAUUUAAAUAUUUAAAAUAUAGUUUAUAUAUUCUAAUUAAAUUUUAUUAAUAAUUAAUAUUCAUUGCUUAAAAAUAUUUAAAAUUUAUAUUUUAUAUAUUAAAAUAUUAACAACAAGUUAUAAUAAUUUUUUAUAUUCUUACUAAAAAAUAAUAAUAUUAAUUAAUUUAAAUAUUAUUUAAAUGCAUUUGUUACUUGAUAAUAACAUGUCUAAAAUGAACAUUUUAUUUCUUAAAAGUACUUUUUGACAGCAAAGCUAAACACUCAAAUUUUAAAUCAAACUUUUCAAAAGCACUUCUCAAAAGUACUUUUCCACAACACUUUUCAAAAGCACUUUUCAAAAAAUUACCAAACUAACCCUUAAAAGUGCAAAUAAGCUUUAAUUUCAUAUUUUAUUCAACAUUUAAUUCACUUUCCAAUAUUUUUUGUGAUUUUCCAAAUUGAUACUAUUGCAUGCUGUCCAUACAAUUUUUAUCGUUAAUUUUAUUCAAUCAAAUUUUCUUUGCAUUAAUUCUCACUUACACUCACAUAACACUAAAGUAUAUUCAUAAUUAGUCAUGCCAAAAGCUAUUCAUCAUCAAUUAAUUACAAAUCUUCAUUGUAACACAUUCUCCAUAUCAACUUCACUCAAAUUUGACCACAUAUCGCUCACAUUGCUCACCACAUAUUCACAUUCAUUUGCACUUAAUCAUUUUCUGGUUGAACACUUAGGAAUAUUAUUGGAUACGUCAGAAGUUUGCACAUAAGUGCCACACUUGUAGCAAAAGCUACUUAACAUCAUUUUUCACAUAAAAGCUCAUUCUCGAGCUAUUCACUUUCAUGGGUCUGCUCACACAAGCUGUCAGUCUUUUGUUACUACUCAGUGCUGCUCACAUAAGCUGUCAGGCAUCCGCAACAUAUGCCGGUAUACCCAGCCACUGGUAGAACUUAAGACCAGCACCCGAGUUCACAUUAAUCACAAUUUUGCAUCACGAGCCUGCUCACACAAGCUGUAAGUCAUUCAUUACUACUCAGUGCUGCUCACACAAGUUGUCAAGUAUCCGCAACAUAUACCGGUAUACCCAGCCACUGGUAGAACUUAUGACCAGCACCCGGAUCCACUUUAUUCACACUUUCACAUAGAUCUCUAACGACAUGUCACUUGUAUCCUAUUCUAUUCCUAAGGUUCAACCGAGAAAAUUUCUCACACUUUAUUAUUUCGUAAAUUUUAUUCGAUAUUCAAUCACAUAUAUCAUAAAAUAUAUCUUUCGUCCACAUAUCAUAAAAUAUAUUAAGACAUAAAAUCAUAAAUAAAAAUUUAUGCAUUAUUUACAUAAAAACUUACCUCGGCUCAAAAUAUAGAAAUUUCUGCAGUUUAAUCCACAACUUUUUCCUUUCCCCAUUCGAGGUUGAUUCUGCGUCUUUCUUCAUCUAUAAUAGAAAAUUUAGCUUGUUUAAUAUUCACAUUUAUCAAAACAGUACUCGGUUCAAAUUUUAGAAAAAUUACGAUUUUACCCCUAAAUUUUUACAUAUUUCCAUUUUUGUCUCAAAGCUCGGAAAUUAAAUUUUAUUCCUUAUUCUUGUGUUUUAUAACAUGCUGAACACUUUUCCCUUCUAUAGCAACAUCCAAUUCUCACUCUAAUACUUAUGUACAUUAGGUAUUUUUAUCGAUUAUGUCAUUUUACUCGUUUCUACUUAAAAUCACUUAGCAAAAGUUGUUUAACAUAAUUCUAAGCUUCAUAAUCUAUCAUGAAACAUCAAAAUACACACUUUUCACCUAUGGGUAAUUUUCCAAAUAUAAACCCUACCUCGAAUUAAUGGUAAAAUAAGCUAAAUCGAGCAACGAGAACUUCAAAAACGUAAAGAAUAUUAAAAACAGGGCUAGGAUGUACUUACAAUAAAGCUUGAAAGUGGCCAAAACCCUAGCUAUGGGAGACUUGUGAUAUUUGGCCAAGGUAUGAGGAAGAUGUACACAUUUUGGCCUUAUUUUCCCUUUUUAAUUCAUUUAAUUUCUAAAUGACUAAAAUGCCCCUAAUUAAAAAAAUCUAUUUUUCUAAUUCUAUGUCCAUUUUUGUCUCACAAACUAACCAAUGGUCUAAUUGUUAUAUAAGGACCCCCAAUUUAUAAUUUCAUAACAAUUGAGCAUCUUUAACAUUAAAAUUCAACUUUUUCACUUUUUAUAAUUUAGUCCUUUUGACUAAAUUGAGUGCUCAAACGUCGAAAUUUUUGAACGAAAAUUUCACGUAAUCUUUUCGUGAAAUUGUAGAUCAUAAAAAUAUAAUGAUAAUAAUAUUUUCCUUUAUCGGAUUUGGGGUCCCAAAACCACUAUUCUAAUUAGGCCCUAAAAUCGAGCUGUUACAAAUUGUAAACUCAAAUGAAAUAAAUAAAGUACAACACAUUGAAUAGUUUUUGUUAACAUUCCAAUUCUCUUAAUCAUCACAACUGUACAUGUUGACAAACAAUCUUCACCAUCACCAAGUAAUUACUCCAAAAUUUGUCGAAACUAAUAUUAAAAACAUCCUUUACCUUCCCUAGUUUAAACCCAUUCUAAGCAAUAAACUUCUUGGAAGUGAUCAUGGCUUGCAAAUGACCCUUAUAAUCAUGCAAAUUCUUCAAAGUAAUAAAAGUAAUAGCAAAACAUUUCUCACUAGGAUGACAACCAACCCAAAGUCCAUUUGUGAUUAUACACAAAAAUUGUAAUAGAAGAAGCAUGCUAAAUUAAAAUGAGAUGUUUUACCAACAUCCUUCAAAAUUAAAUUGAUACAAGGUGCUGCACAUGGUGACCAAAAGAUGUUAGGAUACUUCUCAUGACAAAAUUUCCUAACAUCUUUAUAAUUUGAAGCAUUAUAUGUAAUUAGCUAGACCACAUUGCUCAAACCAACAAUUUUUACAAUCUUCGCAAAUAAAUUUUAAACUAAACUUUUCAAAAGCACUUCUCAAAAGUACUUUUCCACAACACUUUUCAAAAGCACUUUUCAAAAAAAUUACCAAACUAACCCUUAAAAUCCUCGGGCUUCGUUUGGUUUUUGAAAAUAUUUUUUAUUUUAAAAAAUUAAAAAAUAUAUGAUAAAUAAAAAUAAAAUUUUGUUUUCAUUAUUGAAAACAUGGUUGAUAACUAUUUUUCUAUAAUAGAAAUACGAAAAUUAAAAAAAAUUACAUUUAUAUGGAUUUAAAUGAUGAUAAUAAAUUUAAUAUAUGAAAAAUUGUUGAAAUUAAAAUAACCCGAUAUUUUUAUAUUUAUUUGGGUUUGAACAAAGGAUAACUCAUUUAAAGUUAAAAAAAAUUAUUUUGAUCAUUUUGAGUUUUACAAAAUAUUUUUAGUGAAUAAUAAAAACAAAUUUUUAUUAUUUUUCUCAUUUUUACAUAUUUUCAUCUGAAAAUUUACUUUUAAAAUUUCAACUAAAUGAAUGUUUUCCAUUUUAAGGAAAUGAAAAUGAAAAUGGCCUCUAUCUAUCCCCUAAAACUAUAUGGAGUCUUAAUUUUUAGGAUCAUUGAUGUAAGAUUCUUCUAUAAUUAUGCAAAAUUUGGGAUGAGCAACAACAAUAAGAUGUCUUGGACUGAUCCUUGUUGGAUAAACUACAAAUUUAGUAAUAAAGAAAUCAAAAAUAGUAAAGAAGAAACUAGAGAAUAAAAAAAUAAAAAUCAUAAAUAAAUAAGAAAUAAAAAGUGAAAGAUGGACGAGGAAACCGAUAGAUAUGAUGGAUAGAAGGAUAAAUGUAUAAUUGAACCCUUUGAAAUAUAAAUCCCAACAAACUCAAUUAAUGACUCUAAUCAACCCUCUAAGAAAUAAUCCUUGAAGAAUGAAUUGAAGGGUGAAGAAUGAAUUCCCACGACUUCUUAAAGAAAAUCAAGAAUAAAACUACUUCUAAAAAUUACAAGAAAGAAAUCUUGCACAAGAAAAAAACUCCCAGAGUUGAAAACUUUAUUAAUGAAAACAAUUGUCUCCUUAAUAAAAAAUGAAGAAGCCUUUAUAUAAGCUAGCUAAGUACAUCCAAAUAAAACUCUAAAGUAUACUGAAACUCUAAUUAAUCUAAAUAAAAAAGUAGUUUUAAACAAAACUUUCUUGGUAACAUAAAACUCCUAAAUAACUUAAAAUACAUAAUAAAUAUAAAAAAUUCGUAAUAAUAAAAUAAUAAGAGAUUAUAAAUGCAAUAUUGGACUCAUAUAUAAUAAAAAUUAAUCCAAAAAUCCGAACCAAAUAUGAUUUAAACUUGAGUUAAAAGCACAAAACUCGUAAUACCUGUCAUAACCCUGUCAAAAAAUUCUGCCCGCGCAGUUUUCACUAAAAUGGUCAUAAUUUGAGCUUCCGGACUCGAAAUCAAGUGAUUCCAUUCAAAAAGUCGACGCAAGUAUGCUGAUUUCCCAAACUUAAAAAUCGACAAUUUUGGUGACUGGAAUUUAAUAAAUUUCACCCCAUCCAUGCAUGUAUCACAUAUACAUAUUAGGUUACCCGUUCGAGUUUAACCUUUAAAACAAAAUCAGGUUACCAAUCCAAGCUAAACUUGCGUCACAUGUAUCUUCAAGUCCGCAACAAAUGUUGGAUUCUUGAAAUUAUCAAAAAUUGACCUGUAACCAUGUGUACGAUACAUUUACAAAGUUUCAUCAGGGUAAUUUGCAUCAUGCAAGUUCAUAUUUAUUCUCUUUUUUUAAUUUAAUCCAAAUCUCACACUUUAGUACUAAAUUGCAAACAAUUCAAAGUUCAAUAAAACAUACAUGUAUUCACAAUAUAGCAUACAUAAGGGUCUAAGCAUAAUUACACCAUAUGAACGUACCUGGCAAAAUGAAAUUAAACACAACAUACUAUUAUGUAGGCUACAACAUUAGUGUCAUUAAAAUUUUAAUGGUUCAACCAGUUUUCCAUCCACAAAAAUAAUUUGACUAAAAAUUGAAAGUUGAUGGCCAAGGUGAUCCAAAAAAAUAAGGUUAAAGUAACAAAAUAGAUACACAGUAGGGGUUAAAUUUAUCAUUAUGCCUUAAGCUUUUUAAAAUAAAGAUAAAAUUAUUUUAAUAUGUAGUGGUUUGAAAUUUUAUAAAUUAUAUGAAUUCUUUUAUGUAUUUUUACCAUAAAAUUAUAUUAUAUUAUUAAAUAUUGCUAAUAAUAAAUAUAUUAUAUAAUAUACACAGUAAUAUCUUUCACCUGAGUUAAAACUAAUUCCAAUUUUCACAAAAUGAGACAUGUCCAAAGCAAUUCAAUUAUUUAAUCAUUUGAAACUUGAGUCUUCAACCUUGCAACUUAGUUAUGCUUCAAUAAAUGAACCCCACUCUGAGAAAUUUUGAGGAAACAAAGUAUUUAUAGAAAUAAUUAUAAAAUGCAUAUUAAAAUAAAACAAGAUGUCAAGAAAUAAAUUGAAACAACGCAUAUAGAUUAAGCUCCAACUAUUGUAAUUUAACAUUAUAUUUCUCUCGAAACUAGGAAAUUUAGAAGCAAACUAUUUAAAAUCAUACACCAUCGAGCUGCUUGAGGUUCAAAUGUGAUUAUGUACAAAUGAUAAUCUGAUUACAUGCUUAGCGAGCACCUUCAAGUUCAAAUGUGAUUUUGUUAUUUAUGCUAUCAUACCCCAUCCCUGUCGAGCUGCUUGUUACACCAUCAUCAUAAGUGCUGGGAAACUUACCAAGCAAGUAUUCAGAUUCUUCGCUUACUAAAUUACUUUUACUCCAAGGAUGUUUAGCCAUUGCUUGCAGUCCUGCUAAUUCAUGGGCAACUUCCUUCAUUGUUGGCCUUUCCUCUCCCUUCACUCUCACACAUCUCCUAGCUAAAGUUGCUACUUCCAUAAGCUGCUCAACAUUUUCAUCAUUAAGCACUCGAGGGUCGAGAAUGUCGAGCAAACGGUCUUCUUUCAUCAAAGAUGUGAAGUACAUUGGCAAAACUCGAUUUUCUUCCGGUCUUUUGAAACAUACCACUUUUUGUCCUGUUAACAACUCCAUAAGCACAACCCCGAAGCUGUAAACAUCACUUUUUUCAGUAAGAAGGCUUGAAAGCAUGUAUUCAGGAUCCAAGUAACCGAAAGUUCCUUGCACAAUUGUAGUUAUUUGUGCUUGGUCAGAUGGGAUCAAUCUGGAAGCCCCAAAAUCAGAAACUUUUGCGGUGUAAUUGUCAUCUAACAGUAUGUUCGCCAACUUGAUGUCUCGGUGAAUGAUUGGAAUGGAAGCUGCAGAGUGCAAAUAAGAAAGGGCUUCUGCUGUUUCAGUGGCUAUUCUCAGACGGGUCUCCCAUGAAAGAUAAGAGGUAGCAUCAUCAUUAUGCAAAUGGUGAAAAAGGGUUCUGUUGGUGAUAUAUUCAUAAACUAACAGCGGAACUUGUGUCUCUAAACAACAUCCUAGGAGUUUGACAACAUUCCUAUGGUUGAUUUUGUAGAGCACCAUUAUUUCAUUAAUGAAUUGUUCAACUUGGCUAGGAUCUCCAAUUAUUGACUUUUUGAUGGCAACUAUUUGAUUAUCAGCCAAUAUUCCCUUGUACACUGUCCCUUGCCCUCCCUGUCCUAAAAUUCUGCUUUCAUUGUAAUUGUUUGUUGCCUUCUCGAGCUCCUCAGCUGUAAAUACUUUAACAUCUUCACGGUACCCUUGUCGUUUUGAAAGUUGUUCCCGCAACAAAAUGCCACCAUUUUGCUGAAAGUUAGCUUCUCUUAAUUUGGAAAUUUGCCUUUGCCUCAGCAUCCAACACCACAAUACUAUCCCCAAGAGAAGACCAAGAAACCCAAUGGCAACCCCUAAGGUCAAAGCAUAAAAUAAUAAUAAUAGUUACAUUAGCCAUGGUAAUGUAAUCUAAAAGUGAAAAGUCAUGCAAAAUUGUAUAUUGAGAGUAAUAAAUAACGAAAUUGUUUGUGUCAAGCAGAUCCAAUUGACUCAAGAUUGAGUUGGGUAAGUUAAGGAUAUGAGUCCUGCUUGUGAAUGUAGUUCCACUUGUUUACAAAUUACUUCAUAAAAAUAUAACCGAAAUUAUUGUUAGAUAUAAAAAAAAAUUAUUCCAUAAUGGGAAAUUGUGGUUAAAGAUGAGCAUGGACUCACGCCAAGGCUGCAGAGAAGUUUAUUGAUUUUUUGAAGGAUAAAUUUUAAAAUUAUACAUGAAUUAUGGUUUAAUGUGUAAUUGUAUACAUGAAAUUUUGAUUUGAUUCAUUUUUUAAUUUAUUAAUACAGUUAUUGAUAUAACAUCAUUUUAUGAUUAUGUAUUGUAUACAUAAAUAGUUAUAUUUAUCCAAUAUAAAAAUAAAUUGAUGUAUUUAUUUCUUUAAAUGCGUAUGAUUAAAUCAAAAUUAAAGUUUUAAAUAUACAUAUGAACCACAAUUAGAGUUUCAUGUGUAUAACUGCACCAAAUUAAAGCUCAUGUAUACAAUUGUACAUUAAACCAAAGUUCAUGUAUAAUUUUGAGAUUUAUCUCUUUUUUAUUUUAAUUAUUUAUAUUUUAAAUAAUUUAACUAGAGUAAGAGAACAAGUUGGAUAAGGAUAAGUGUAUAAUAAUUUCGCGUCUUUAAAAAUUGAUAACGAGCCAAAAUUUUAUUGAUUCUUAAAAUCUUUCAACUUCAUUUAAUUUUUGAAAAUAUUUUCUAUUUUUUAAAAAUUAAAAAACAUGUUUGAUAAAGAGGAAUAAAAUUUUGUUUUCAAUAAUGAAAACAGGACUGGUAAUUAGUUUUCUAUAAAGAAAGAUGAAAAUUGAAAAAAAAAAUAAUGAAAACAAAUUUUUUCUAUUUUUAUUUACAAAGUCUUUUUAGUACAAAUAAUGAAAACAAAAUUUUAUUAUUUUUCUAAAUUUUACAUAUUUUCAUAAUUUUUUAAAAAUUAUUUUCAAAAAUUUGAACUAAACACAAUUUCUUGAAUGUUUUUCAUUUUUCAAGGAAAUGGAAUUGGAGUUUACUCCCUGAAACCAAACGGAGUAUUUUAAUUUAUAUUUUGGGGUUACUAACCUAGAGCAACAAUAAGAGGAGAUGUCUUGGACUGAUCCUUGUUGGGUAAACUGCAACCUGUUCCACUUUUCUUACCAUCGCCUUCAUAACCCACCGGACAUGAACAAUUGUACGUCCCAGGUAAGUUGGUACAUCUUGCCGUUCCAUUGCAAGGGCUCAUACUUUCACACUCGUUUAUAUCUGAAAUUUGCAGAUUGUAUGCAAGUAAUAAGUAACACUAUCUUUAAUGUUAGAAACUACAAAUCCAUGGGGUAUAUAUACCUAUAGUUACCUUGACAUCCAUUAGGGAGGUAAGGGUUCCCCACGUAACCCUCAAGACACUUGCACAAAUAUCCAGAGUUAUUUUCUGAAUCAACGCAUUUACUAUACUCUUUGCAUGCAAAAUUGUUUACAUCCAUAUUCGCUUCGUUGCAACUCGUAUUCCCGAUGUUCCAAUCAAGAGUGAUUGGAAACUGCCUGCUUUGAAACUCAAAACCACGAAGAUCUGAAGCAGAGAAGGUAUAACUAUCGAUCUCUGCAACAAAUGCAUAGCUGCAGGGGUUUUCGGGCAACACAUUGGUAUGGUUGGCGUAGCUGUCGAGACUUAUGUUGUAGCUCCUCGCAUCAUUUGGGAUACUUGUCUGACAGCAGCCAAUCCCAGAGCAAGACCCGUUUGAAACAUCAGUGAUGUUGUUACACAACGACAAACAACCAGUUGCGUAACGUUGUCCGUAGGAACCAACUUGCUGCACGACAGCAUACGUGUCGCACCCGAUUGCAGUAAACUUGUUCUUGUUAUUGUUUAUUGAAAAUUCAGAAAUCCAAAGGUAGUAAAAUAACCAAUUCCUGUAUGAUGUGUUGUAACAAUCAUAGCUUGUAUUAUAAAGUAUGCGCAAUCGACCAUCGGUAGAUAUGUUGAUGACUUCGAUGUCACCGUAGAACGGUUUGUGGGGUAUGAAACUGGUGUUACAGUUGAUGAAAAAGCCUGCAGUGAUGUUGCAAUCGCCGCCGGUACCGAACGGGUAUGGGAUGAUAACAUCUCCGCAGCGGCUUCGGCAGCCAGGUUUUGCUACCGCUGGUGUUGAAGCUUUUACCGUCAAUAUAACAUUAAGCAAGAUCAUCAGCUGCAUACGCGCUAGUGAUCUGAUGGAACCCAUGGAUGUUUUUUCUAGACUGGAGGAUACCAAUGCAUCAAUUUACAAAUUCAGAAAUAUAUAAAAAGGGUUAGGGAAGCCUGCUUGACCUUACUAAAUACUAACAGUAGGGAGGACGUAAAGUGACCCAAAAGACGAGCGGGGAAUAUCAGUGUUGUCUGUUCUUUGGCUUUCGCUGUUGAAUAACGCGUGGUGACUUUGGAUUGUCCAUAAUUUCUUGGAAUUGAAAUGCUAACUUUGAUUCUGUCAAAUUAUAUAUAUACACAUAUUUAGUGCCUGAUGGCUGUCUAUGGCAGAUAUAAGCUUGUUCUAAAUGUUAGAUGAAAAAACAUUUUGCAUUAAUAAUACAAGAUAAAUAAAUAUUGAAAAUUUAUUCGGUAAAGAAUUUUUAAAAUUCACGAGUUUCCAUAUGUGACAUAAAUAUUUAAGUAUUAGAAAAAAUAAAACACAUUCGGAUUAAGUAUUGCUACUCCAAAAAAGAUAUUAAGUGAUUAUUAAGAAAAGAUAUUUAAUAUAUUUUAAAAUUUGAAUAUAAUUAAAAAUUUAUUGAAAAGUCAUAUCUACCUAAAUCAAGAUUGUGUAUGUUAAUGAUAAAUAUUUAAAAGAAAAUCAAAGCAACAUCAAUUUUUACUACUCCAGACAAUUAUAUGAAGCGAUAGAUGAAUGCAGUUACAACGCAAUACUUUCACAUGGAUUAUAAAGUAAAGAUAUUAGAAAUUAUAUCACUUACCUAGUGUUUUCUUUUAGAAUUUUUGCCAUUUAACUAAGUGAUAACUAUCUGAUACCGGACAUUCAAUCCCCUUUGGUUUAUAUGUAAUUUGCUUUUAAAAUUAUUGUUUUCCUCUGCUUGCACAAGCAUUAAUAAAUAAAAUUAGUAAAAGAAGUGAAACACAUCUUCAUCUAGUGGAUUCCAUUCUCGUAAUUAAAUCAUAAUCUUUGAGAAAAUUAGAAGAUUGAUAAAAUAAUUUAUUAAUAUUCAAACUUAAAUAAAGAUAAAAUAUGAAUACAUAUCUAAAAGAAAGAUAUUUAAUUAUAAAAUAUGAAUACGUAACUAUACAAUUCUUACAUUUAGACAUAGACAUCUAAAACUUGAUAGCAAACAUACAUGUACAAAGUUCUAAUAAGUAGAAAACUUAGGUCUUUUCACUUGGUUUUGCUUGCAAUACAAGUAGAUUUUAUGAUUUUCUUUUACAUUGAUAAUAUAAUACAACAAAGUGAAGUUAAAAAUAAUUGAAAUGCGGAUAAAUUUGAUGUGAAAAUGAUAUUAAAAUUAUAAAUUUUAAGUUAUCAAGGUUGACUAGGUUUUAAAUUAGUUUGAUAUAUAUUAGCUGUAAGAUCUAACCUGAAUUCUAUAUUAAUUAAUUAUGAGAUGAAUAAAGAUGUCGUAUGUAAAUGAUAUUAAAUAAUUAAUCAAACAUAAAUCAAAUCAAAGUAAUUGGAAAAAAUAUUUUAGUUUAAGUUGAUUUGAUUUGAUUUGAAUGUUAUGUUUGAUGAUGAAUUGAUUAGUUUGAUCUUUAAUAAAGAAAAGUUCCUGUAAGUAUGUUUACUUUUUUUUUUAAUAAAGAAAAUGAAGGUCAUAAAUAAAUAGUGAAAGAAAAACUAAUCAAAUGAAGAUUUUUCAUUUUAAAUAGAGAUGAGCUUCCAUCAAAAUAAUUUGUUAGGAAAUAAAAAUAGUAUGAAUGGACCACAAAAUUAAUUGCAUUCUCUUUUAUUAAAAAAAUAUUAAAAAGUCCAAACUACAAUUCCAAUUGUAAACUCAAAUGGAUUAAAUAAAGUACAACACAUUGAAUAGUCUUUGUUAACAUUCCAAUUGUCUUAAUCAUCACAACUGUACAUGUUGACUAACAAUCUUCAUCAUCACCAAGUAAUUACUCCAAAAUUUGUCUAAACUAAUAUUAAAAACAUUCUUUACCUUCCCUAUUUUAGACCCAUUCUAAGCAAUAAACUUCUUGGAAGUGAUCAUGGCUUGCAAAUGACACUUAUAAUCAUGCAAAUUCUUCAAAGUAAUAAAAGUAAUGGCAAAACAUUUCUUACUAGGACGACAAUCAACCCAAAGUCCAUUUGUGAUUAUACACAAAAAUUGUAAUAGAAGAAGCAUGCUAAAUUAAAAUGAGAUGUUUUACGAACAUCCUUCAAAAUUAAAUUGAUACAACGUGCUGCACAUGGUGACCAAAAGAUGUUAGGAUACUUCUCAUGACAAAAUUUCCUAACAUCUUUAUAAUUUGCAGCAUUAUAUGUAAUUAGCUAGACCACAUUGCUCAAACCAACAAUUUUUACAAUCUUCGCAAAUAAAUUGCAAAGAGUAUCGACAUCUAAAAUCAUGUCUGAUGCGUUAAUGGGUUUGAUAAAGCAUAAUCCUUUAGGAAAAUAGACUAGAAACUUGGUUGAUGACUUUUGUCUCGUAUCUUUCUACCCACCUCCCAUUAUGGUGCAUCCACAUUCUACCUCAAUGCUGUAAAUCCCUUUUUGAGUAUUCUAGUAGAUUGGUUCACAAUGCAUGAUAUGAUGGAGCUUUGUAUCUCAAUCCCAUAUAUGCUAUGGCAUCAAGGCACAGUUGAAACUUGUGAAUCUUUGAUCCUAUUUGUAGAGUCUAAAAACUCCGUUGGCAAUAUAUCAAAUAAAUUAUUUUAUUUUUUUAAUAUUUUAACACUUGUCAAUCUCCUGACAUUGGUUAUGGAGUCUAAAAACUUUAUUGGUUAUGUACCAAAUAAUAUUCCAAAUAAAAAAGUAUUAACUUGACAGUGUACUUUUUUUAUUCCAUAAGCAUUCUUAAAAAAAUUGACAUUGUCUUUCUUUUUAAUAUCUAUUUUUUUUUAAUAUUUCACUAUACUUUUACAAGACAUUUGUCCACCCCUGAUCAUGCUUAUGAAGUCUAAAAAUUCUACUAAUUGUGUUUUGUUAUAAAAUAAAGAAAGAUGGAAAGAAUAUUGAUCAAUUGGGAUGAUUACAAUGCUUCAUCAGAGUCUCUAUUUAUAGGCAUAAGAAGUAUAAAAGAAGUAGAGAUCUAAUUCUAAUAACUAUUAGAAUUUAAAGUACAUUAAAACUUUAUCUUGAUCAUGAUAGACAUCCACUUAAUAAGAUAUUCAUAACACUCCCCCUUGCAUAUCCAUUGGUAGAUAAUAUACCUCGUUAAAACCUUAUUAAGAAACCCUGUGGGAUAAAAACCUAAUGAAGGAAAAAGAGUACACAAUCUAUAAUACGCAUAAUAUGCUGCCUCAUUAAAAACCUUACUAGGAAAACCCAAUUAGACAAAACCUCGAUUAAGGGAAAAAGAGUAUAACACAUAUUUACUCCCCGUCAUGAAAACAUCACAUACUUUCUCAUAUUUUACGUAUUCAAUCUUGAAUACUAGUUUUUCAAAUGUCUAUUUGAAUGUAUUGCUAAGUAUUUAUAUCACUAUUCUUUUAAAAGUCAUGAGUGAGGGAAAUUUGGGAAAAUACAUUUUGAUCUCUUUAGGAGAUUCAACAAUAAUCAUAACAAACUUUAAUUCUUUUGUAAAAACACAAAUGGGUAUUUUGGAUCAUUUUAUAAUCCUCCUUCAAUUACUAUUCACUAAGUCAAAUUUAACACAUAUAUUCAAAUUAUUUCAAUUCAUAUAAAUGAACAAUUUCUCGAGAAGUUCAAUAUGCUUCUAGCAUCCUAAAUCCUUUAAAGAUUUUACUAUAAACUUUACUAUAUAGUGAUUCAUAAAAGGUUGUAAUAAUAACCAUUAGACGCAAGUUAAAUCUUUUAUGAAUUGUCAAUUUAAUAAUAUAUCUAAAGGUUAUUGCAUCCACCACAAAAGAAUAUUAUAUCUUUUCAUAAUUAAUGGCAGAACUUAGCGAAAAACUUUAUAUUUUUAUUCUGCUUUUGCAGAACUACUUCAAUUGAACCCUCACUGACUUUAUACCUUUAGAUAUUUGGACUACUGGUCCAAAAACUCUAGAAAUUUAAUUGUACUUGAGUUAUGUCUUUUUAUUUUGAUCAAUUUAUUCCAUAUCUAUAUUUCUCAAUAGAUUUAUUCAAGAUCCUCCUUUUACCUCAUUAUUUCAAUAGUAAUAUUGCAUGCAAAAUCAUUGUCGACCAAUUUUAUUAUUUGGUUCCACAUUUUCUCGAAUUGACAUAACUUAUCGAGAUCUCUUAUUUUUAUUAUUUUAAAAUUCAGUUUCAGGUACCUGAAUCUCUUGUAAAGUUUUACUUAUUAGUUAUGUCUUAGGUCUCUUCUAGAGCACCCGCCUCUACUGUAUGACCAUCUAGAAGAAUUUUCAUUUUGGAACCGAUAAAUCUAUUAUUUAUUAUAACUAAUUGUCCUACUGGGACUUUGAUUCAAAUUAAAAUAUUAGAUGAUAUAUAACACUUGGUUAUUCUCAUUAUUCAAAUUAAAAUAAUAUCAAGAAAUGAAAAAAAAAUUUUAAAACGUGACAUUAUAAGCACAAUCAUUUCUGGUUAAUGAAAUAUAAGCAUAACUAAUUGGCUUUCUAAUUCCAGCUUGAGUUUAUCAUUUCACUUUGUAAUUAAAUCUUUAAUUAAGCUUGUAAAUUGACGUGAUAUUAUGAGUUUUAUCGUUUCACUUUGUAGUUAAUUUUUUUUAAAUGAGAUGAAAAUAAUAUUUCGACGACUAAGAAUAGUGAUAGUAACUGAUUUAUUUGGUUUACAAACUAAGUUUUUAGAUGUAUAUUUGAGGGAAAAUGGCCCCGAUAACAGCUUUUGUUCAUAAUAUCAUGGAAAAGUUAUUAACGCAUUCAUUCCGGUGAAAAAAAAAGUAAGAGUGGAAAAAAGAUUUGGUUUUGUCAGAUGUAGUAAUAUGACGGAUGGGAGAAGGGCUAUUAGUCGAUCAAACGACUAUGAUAUUUUAGGAAAUGUUAGACUUUCACAAAAUAUUCAUAAAAGAAGACUUUAUUACUGUUUAUUAUUUCUCCUUUAAUGCAUGCAGAAGUCUCAUGCAUUUAUAGACAUACGUACAAUAAAGAAACUCUGGUAACAGACUAACUGCAAUCGAUAACUACACUAAUAGCCUUAACAACUUUAACAACUUUGAUAACUACUCUAACAUUCCCCUUGCUUAUUUGUUUUUGUAUUACAAAGAUCUCUUGAUGGCAGCACUCGAAGAGCACGUCUGAAGGAAGAAAAUUGCUUAGGCGUGAUCGGUUUUGUAAGGACAUCUGCAAUUUGUUGAGCAGAGGGAACAAAAUUGACUUGUAAACAACCAGCAAGUAUUUUUUCCCGAACAAAAUGAUGGUCUAUUUCAACGUGUUUCAUUUUGGUAUGAUGAGUGGGAUUUUCAGCAACAGAUAUUGUGGAAGAGUUGUCGCACCAGAUGGUUGGUAUCUUAGACAUUGACAUUCCAACUUCAUUUAGCAACUGUUGAGUCGAUAGGAGUUCAGACACGCAGUUAGCUAAGUUGCGAUAUUCUGCUUCAGCAGAGGAACGAGAGACUACGGACUGUUUCUUUGAACACCAAGCCACAGGAUUUGACCCAAGAUAUAUCACAUAUCCAGAAGUGGAACCCCGAUCUUCGAUGGAAGAGGCCCAGUCAACAUCCGAAUAUCCUACCAGUUCUAGUUGUCCUGCUGUAAGACACAAACCAUGAUCCAUGGUGCCAGCUAAAUAUCUUAAUACACGUUUGACUGCCCUCCAGUGAGUGUCACUUGGUGCACUCAUGUAUUGGCUAAGUUUAUUGGUGCAAAAUGACAAUUCGGGUCGUGUAAUACAAACAUACUGAAGCAUGCCCACAACACUUCUAUAUAAGUGCACAUCAGAGAAUGGAGGACUGCCAUCAGAAGCUACCAGCUUAGGCGUGCUUACCAUCGGAGUUAGCGUGGAUGUUGCUCCAAGCAUUCCAGUUUUCUCAAGUAGUUCAGUAACAUAUUUCUUUUGACUGAGCAUCAGUCUCUGUGAAGUGCGGCGAACAUCAAUGCCCAAAAAAAAACUGAGUGCUCCCAUGUCCUUGAGAGCAAAUUUGCUGUGAAGACACUGCACAACAUCUUCAAUGUCUUGAUCAUGACUUCCAGUAAGUACAAUAUCAUCAACAUAGACCAUGAGUAGAAGACACUUCCCAUCAGACACACGAAUGAACAAGGAGGAAUCAGCUUUAGAUGCUCGAAAAUCGAGUUGAGUCACGAGAUACUCCUUAAGAGUCUGAAACCAGGCGCGAGGAGCUUGUCUCAACCCAUACAGUGCUUUAUUUAGUUUGCACACCAGUUUUUGACCAGAGACACUUGGGACUUCAAAGCCAGGAGGUUGGUCCAUGUAUAUUUCUUCAGUAAGCUUACCAUUGAGGAAAGCAUUGUUAAUGUCGACUUGGCGUAGAGACCACCCCUGCAUAACUGCAAGUGAAAGAACAGUGCGAAUGGUGGAAGCUCGAACCACUGGACUAUAUGUAUUAUGGAAAUCAAACCCAGCAUGUUGAGAAAAACCUUUUGCAACUAACUGAGCUUUGUAUCUGUCAAUGGAGCCAUCAGACUUUCUUUUAACCUUAAACAAUCAUUUGCACCCUACUGCCCUCCGAUUCUCUGGAAGGGAACACAAAGUCCAGGUAUUAUUUCGAGCCAAGGCUUGGAGCUCACUAUAAACUGCUUCCUGCCAACACUCAAACAUCAUUGCCUCAUGAAUAUUGGAAGGAUCAUCUUUUUUGGAAGAAGCUGCUGUACUAAGAUACACCUUUGGCUUAAAAACUCCAGCCUUGCUUCUAGUAAUCAUGUGAUGAUUAUUGAGGGUCAAGGGUUGGAGAGGUUGCUCCUGUUGUUGAAGAGAAGUCAACAUAGGUGCGGAUUGUGGGGAUGGUAUUGUUUGUUGAGAAGAGGGUGUUAAAGGUGAUAAAGUAGGUGUACUAUGUAUUACAUUAUGGGAAGCAGAUUGUGAGUGAGACAUUGCAUGUGAUGGGAUAGGUGUAGUGGAGGUAGGUGGCGUAUUUGGUGGAAGUGUAGACAAAGUGCUAGAACACGACACAUGGGGUGAAGGAACAACUAAAAGUUUAGCACUAACUUGUGAACUAGAAACAGGUGAUGUAACUGGUGAACAAUGACUUUUGUAUGGAAAAGUAUUUUCAUUAAAGGUGACAUGACGGGUAACAUAGACUCUACCAUUGGGGUCUUUACAUUUAUAACCUUUAUGUACUGAGGAAUAACCUAGAAAAACACAGGGUAUUGAACGAAAUUGUAACUUUGCUUUGGUAAACGGCCGAAUGUUGGGAAAGCAUAAACAACCAAAAGUUCUAAGGUAAGAGUAGUCGGGUUUUGUUUGAAAUAGUUUUUCAUAUGGUGAGACAUCACCCAAAGGAUGAGAGGGUAACCUGUUAAUCAAGAACACGGCACUGCAGAAGGCUUCAUUCCAAAACAUCAGAGGCAUUGAUGCAUGAGCUAACAUAGAAAGACCUGCUUCAACAAUCUGCCUGUGUUUACGCUCAACAAGGCCAUUCUGAGCAGAUGUGUAGGGACAUGUGAGUCGGUGCACAAUACCUUGUUGAUUCAGAUAAGUUUUCAAAGCCUGAAACUCUCAUCCCCCGUCUGUCUGCAGAGACUUGAGCUUUGUACCAAGUAUUCUUUCAGCUUGGCGAUGAAAUUGUGGAAACACAUUUUAAACUUCAGAAUUGUUCUUCAGAAAAUAAAGCCAUGUAUACCGAGAAUAGGCAUCAGUGAAGGCAAUGUAAUACCGAAAACCAUUGGAAGCAAUUGGAGCUGGUCCCCAAACAUCAGCCACAAUCAGUUGUAGAGGUGAAGUAUACACAGUUGCUGAUUUUGUAAAAGGAAGCUUACAUUCCUUACCAAGAUGGCAUGCCACACAAUCAACAAAUUUAUUACUAUCAGUAAAUGGUAUAUUACAUCUUAUAAGUGCUUUUCUAAGAUUAGCACGACAGGGGUGUCCUAGUCGAUAGUGCCAAACACUAAGAGGAAGUUUGACACUAGUCGAAAAACACUGAGCAGACUUGAAAGGCGCAUGAGCUCCAGUAGAUUGAUUAAUAUGAAGUCUGUAUAACCCAUGAUGAACGGAACCACGAAGUAAAAUCUCCCUUGUCUUCAAAUCACGCACUUGGCACUGAUCAGGGAAAAAUUCAAACAUGACCUGAUUGUCUUUAGCAAACUUGGAGACAGAUAAUAGAUUUUUAGUAAUUCCAGGAAUGAGUAACAAGGAUCGUAUGUACAGAGGUCGAGAGUGAGUAAGCAAGGACGACUGUCCAGCAGACAUAACAGGCAAAGCCGAACCAUUGCCAACAAAUACCUUACCUGGGCUUUUGAAAGAUCCAGAUUCACCAAUGGAGCUAGCUGAAUUUGUUAAAUGAUGCGUGGCACCUGAAUCCGGAUACCAAGAAUUAUCAGCCACAGUUUCAGGGGUUGCUACAUACACCUGAGGUGGUGUUUGAGCUGUACCAGAGGACGGCAUGGGAACCUGUUGUGGAGAACUACCAACAAACGGAUUAGUCCAAGUAGACGAUGGAGGAGUGGAAAAACACCAACCUGAUGAAUUCCAUUGAGGUUGAGAAGAAGUGAACCAAGGCGUAGUAAAAGAACCGGAGCCAGCCAUGCUGAUGUUUGCUUGUAGAGGAGGCCUGUAGUUAGUACUCUUGUAAGAAGAGUCAAACCGAUGAUAACAGCGAUCAACAAGAUGACCAGCCUUCCCACACAACUGACAUUGAAUCUUCGAGUGAAAAAAAUGACCUCGCCCACGCCCCCGAUUCAUAGAUGAUGGUUGAUAAGAAGGAAUGGGAUCAUUAGAAGCUGUGGAGUCAGACGUUUGAUGCAAUACCACGUUAGCAGAACUAGAAACUUCAGUACUCACAAGCUGUUGUCGUGCUUCAGCAUCAAGAAGCAUAGACACUACUCCUUGAACUGUGUAGGGAACUUGGCUGGAAGUAACAAUGGUAAUAACAGAUUCAUAGUCUGGAGGAAGUCCAUUGAGAAUUGCAGUGAUGUGCUCAUGCUCACUAAUGAUUUCACCACAACUGGCAAGAUGAUCACAACAGCCUUUAAUCUUGACCAAAAAAUCUUUCAUGCUCAUUUCACCCUUGCGCUGAGAGUGCAAAGUCCGCCGAUAAAACGUUAAUUUGGAAGUGGUUUUACUCCUAUACAAGGCAACAACUGCUUUCCAGAUCUUCGCACUUGUAUCCAUGCCAAUAAGGUGAGGGAGAACAGACGGACUAAUAGAAGAUAAUAGCCACGACGCAAGCGCACUAUCUUGUUGCUCAAAAUGCGCAAACUCCGGAUUUUCACAACAACCCCCAUUGUCAUCGGAAAUAAACUGAGUAGGAGGAUCUUGAUUCUCAUCCAAGAAACGCUGAAGCUUGUGUGCUUUCACUGCUAAAAGAACUUGCUGUCUCCACAACAAAUAGUUGCUAUCAUCAAGAAGAACACUGAUCUUCUUUGAUGAAAAAAUCUUACUAUCGACAACUCCAUCAACAGAACUGCAGGCCAUACUGAAUAUACACAGCGGAAAAUCAAGUAAAAAACACCAAGAAACACUUUAAAUCUGAUACCAUGUUAGACUUUCACAAAAUAUUCAUAAAAGAAGACUUUAUUACUAUUUAUUAUUUCUCCUUUAAUGCAUGCAGAAGUCUCAUGCAUUUAUAGACAUACGUACAAUAGAGAAACUGCUGGUCACAGACUAACUGCAAUCGAUAACUACACUAACAGCCUUAACAACUUUAACAACUUUGAUAACUACUCUAACAGGAAAUAGAUUAUUGGUGACUUAGCCAAGUUUAAGGAGGGAGAUAGAUAUGGAAAAAAUCUUCAACGGAAGGAAAUGCAGAACAGAGACAGAACGAAAAAAUAAAAUGGGGGAGAAUGAAAAGUUGCAAGAAUUUAGCAAAACAGAAUUAGGAGAAAGUUCCUCGAGGAGUAAUAAUGAUCCAAAUAAGAUAGAAAAGGAGGAUGACAAGGUAAAGAAUAUCAGCAUAGUGGUUCAAGGACAUGUUGAAGAGGAGCAACAUUGGAAGCUUCAUAGAUGUUUGGUGGGUACAACAGCAGCGUGUUGUGAUACAAAAAGUUUAUUUGAAAGAAUAGUUAGGAAUGGAUUAGGGGAAAAUUACAGUCAAAAGAAUUCAAGGAAGAUAAUUUUUUAUUGAAAUACCAGAUGAGGAAUUGUUUGAUGUGUUAAAGCAAAACGAUUGGGCGUACUUAAGAGAGUUCUUUAUUAACAUAUAACUUUGGUCAGGGACAAUAAUGGUAGAGGAAAAAGUGUCGUGGAUUGAAGCAUAUGGUAUCCCCCUACACUGUUGGAACUAUACUUCCUUCAAAAGAAUAGCAAUUGUAUAGGGUGAGUUAAUAUCCCUUGGAGAGAAGCCGGUAAUGGUUAACAGCUUGGAUAAAAUGUUAAUGUUGGUAUCCAUCAAGCAACCGAAAAGAAUAAACGAGAUAAUUUAUUUAGAGGUGGGGAAGACUAAAUUUCCCAUAAGAGCCACUGAAAUGGGAUUAUCGAAAUUUAAAGGUGAUAACAGAAAGGUCUAUAGUGUGAAGGGAAGAGAAGAGCAUGAAUUAGUACAGGAAAGGGAUGACACUUUCGUGUCUGAAUCUGAAUCAACGAUGAGAUUAGGAUUGGAACAGAAUCCAGAGGAGAGACAAGGUUGGGAAAAUGAAGCAAUCAAUGCGAUUAUUCUCAAAAAAUCAAACGAUAAUUGCGGAUGUCAGAACAUUUCUCAAAACGUGAUUAAGUUGGAAGAGAAACUGAUCAGUGGAAUUAGGGUCGAAACUAGGGUGGGGGAAGGAUUUAAAAAGUGUGCAACAACCGGGCCAGGGAAUAUAUGAGUAAUAUGGGCUUCGCAAUAGAUGAAUUAGGAUUGGAAAAUGUGGAUGGGGUCUAAGAUGAGCAACGAAAUAGUGAGAAGGGUAUGGGCUUGGUGAUGGAUGUGGGCUUACAGAAAGUCAAUCCAAAUAAGUUAGAGGGGAACAGAUUGCAACAAACAAAAUGAAAAAUUGGGUGAUUUGGGAGGAGGAGGAGUAGAUAGAGAAAAAAAGGUUUCAGUUGAAGCACCUUCAAAUUUUCUUAAACAGAAGAAACAAAAAAGUGAUGGAAGAAAGAUUUGAUUUAGAAUAGAAUUCUUUUAGCAAUGGAGAAGAAGAAGAGAGAUCGGGCGUUGAAAAAGUAGAAAGGCAAAUGAAUUGUGGGCAGAGAGAAAGUUAUUGUUAAUGCUUCUCUCUCAAACUCUGACAUUAGCAAUAGAAAUAGAUUGAUUCUUAGGGAGGCAAGGAACGCAUGGAAAGUGGGGAAAAAUCUUGGGUUCAGCAUUCGGGGCAACGAACGAGAUGUUGUUAGAGAGAAUAUGAAAUUGGAAGAAAUGUAAAUCUGAGAAAAAAAGAAAAGUACAGAGGUCAAUAGGCCACAGGUUAGGUUAGUACCAAUUAUAAUCGUGAUUUUUUACUGUGAAUAAGAGUCUUUGGGGGAAAGAAUGAGGAUUUUAUAAUGGAACAUUAGGGGUAUGUCUUCAGAUUUGAAAAAAAAGUUAUCUCAAAAGAGUAAUCUUUAAAGCUAGAAUAGAUGUUUGCUUCAUUUAGGAAUCAAAAUUAGAAGAGGUUACGUAGGGAAUUCAACUAUUGUAAGGAAUUUAGGAGGUGUAAUUACAGUAUGGGAUAAAGGUAAGUUUUGAGUAGGUAGUUAUAUAUGUUCUAAACAUUUUGUACUAGUGGAAGGAAAAUGGUUAGAAGAAGGUUUGGAAGCUACGUUGAUUAAUGUUUAUGCACCUAAUGGGACUUCAAAUCAAAAAUCUUUAUGGGAGGAAAUUGUGGAGUUGAAGGGCUCGUUUGCCUACUCAUGGAUCAUGCGGGUGAUUUUAACACAGUAAGAAAAAGGAGUGAAAGAAGUAAUUGUGUGGGACUGGUGAAUGGUUCAAAGGCAUUUAACAGUUUUAUUGAUGAUUGUAAAGUGGUGGAUUUACUUCUGAUGGGUAAGAAGUUCACUUGGUUCGGGCCAAAUAACAAGAUGAGUAGAUUGGAUUGAUUUUUAUUGGAUGAAUAAUGGUUAAUUCGCUUCAAAGACUUUACUCAGAAAGGCUUUUAUAGAUCGGUUUCCGAUCAUAUUUCGUUACUACUAUAUAAUGAUUUUGUGGAUUGGGGAUCGCGCCCAUUUAAUUUUCUUAUUGCAUGGAUCAUAAAAAAGGAGUUCACGAAUCUUAUUAAUGAAGUAUGGGGAGGGAUGGGUGAAGCUAAAAUAAGGAUGUUCGGAAAGCUAAAGAGGUUGAAACUGGUUAUCAAAGAAUGGAAUGAAAAAUCUAGUAGGAAUGAAGAUAAAAGAAAUAGAAAUGAUUGAAAGAAAAUUUUCGGAAUAGGAUGAUAUUGGCAGCCACAGAAAUUUGAAUGAAAAGGAAAUAGAAGAAAGUAGCUGAUUGAAUAUAGAGUUGUGGGAUGCAAUUAGGUUCCAUGAAUCAGUGUGGCGUCAAAAAUCAAGGUUGUUAUGUUUAAAAGAAGGUGAUUCCAACAUUGUUUUUUCAUAAAGCAGUGAAAUUUAGAGCUAAAAAAAUUAUUCAAAGGCUCAGAUUUGAGUCUUAUUGGUGCAAAGAACCGGAGCUACUGAAGAAAAAAAUGUUCGAGUACUUUAGCAACCAUUUUAGUUGUCCAGUUAGAAAAUGAGUAGUGAAGAUGGAUCUAAAUUUUAAAAGAUUAAUAGAGGAAGAAGCUUCAAGGCUUGAAAUGCCUUUCACGAUGGAGGAGAUUAAAGACGCAGUUUGGGGUUGCAAUGAGUUUAAAGCUUUAGGGCCUGAUGGGUUUAAUAUGUUCUUCUUUAAGAAAUGCUAGUAGGUGAUGAGGGAGGAUUUAUUCAACAUGAUGAUGGGGUUAUUUAGACUUGAAAAGCUUGAAAAAAAGUAUAAAGUCAUCCUUCAUAGCUCUUAUUCCCAAAACCGAUUUGUUUGAUAGGAUCUUUAUAUAAAAUAGUGGCUAGCUAAGGUGCUGUCUAGACGAAUUCGAGAGGUGAUUGAUGGUGUAGUGAGCGAUACUCAGUGUACAUUUAUAAAAGAGAGACAGAUUUUUGGCAAAAUUCUGGUGGCAAAUGAAAUUAUUCACUCAAUUGUGAAAAAUUCGAGCUCGGGUGGUAGUUUAAUUUUGAAGUUGGACUUUUCAAGAGCCUAUGAUUGUGUUAGAUGAGGCUUUUUGGAUUUGGUACUUUUUUAGAUAGGGUUUGGGGUGAAUAGAGAGGGUGGAUAUCUAAUUGCGUAUCUACAACAAGAGCAACUAUUCUUGUCAACUGAUUGACAACAAAUGAGUUCAGAAUAAGCAGGGGCUCAGACAAGAGAUCUGCUUUCUCCAUUUCUGUUUAUUCUAGUAACAUAAGUGUUUCACUUGAUGCUUGAGAAGGCUGAAGAUAUUGGGUUAAUUGCUAGCAUUUAGAAUAUAAUCCCGAAUCAAUCAUUCUCUCUUCUACAAUUUGUAGAUGACACCAUUCUCUUUUUGAAAGCUGAGGAAGAGUAUGUUCUAAAUAUUAUAUAUAUUUUAAGGUGUUUCGAAUCUUUUUUUUGUCUUAGUAUUAAUUUUCAGAAAUCAUGCUUGGUGGGAUUUUGGACGAAAGAGGAGUUUCUUUUGCGCAUGGCAGCAUUUGGUGCUGAUCCGAGAAAAAUAGCUACUUGGGAGCCAAUUGUGGAAAAAUAUCGGAAGAAACUAGCUGGUUGGAAAUGUCAGUCGCUCUCUUUUGUUGCAAGAGUAAUACUAACUAAUUUGUUACUGUUAGCCCUCCCUAUAUAUUUCAUGUCAUUAUUUCAAGCCCCUAUCACGGUGAUAAAUAGAAUCGAUAAAAUCAGAAGAAAAUUUAUGUGGUGAGGUACAAAUGAAAGAAGAAGAAUGGCAAGAGUUGGAUGGAAUCAAGUGUGUUUACCAAAACAAUUAAGAGGGGUUGGUGUGGUAAAUCUUAAAAUUAGAAUCGGGCUAUUGUGGCAAAAUGGGGAUAGAAAUAUGCUACGAAAAAUAACGCUUUGUAGAAAAAAGUUAUCCAUUCGAAGUAUGGCUCACCUAUGCAACAUUGGUGAUUUAAGACAUCUAAACCAAAAGAGAUGUCGAUUGUAUGGCGCGAUAUUAUGAAAAAUUCAAAAUUAGAGGAAGUAUCAAAAUGGAUUAGGACAGAAUCUUUUAGGUAGGUGAUUGGGAAUGGGAAAUCGUUCCUCUUUUGAGAGGAUAUUUGGUGUGGUAAUUGACCUCUGAAGGUGGAGUUUCCUAGAUUGUUCAGACUUGCUAUUGUGAAGAAUAUUGUGGUCAACAAUGUAGUAAGGAAUAAUGGGUUUGAGGAGGUAUAUUGGGGAGGACGUUUUCUCAAGGAAGUUGCUGGGUAAAGAGGUAAUUAUGUUGAACAAUUUCAAGAAUUUGAUUAGGAGUUUUGAACUAGAUCUUGAAGUGGAGGACUGUAUCAUUUGGAUUCAUGAUAGUGCCAGAGAGUUUACAGUUAGGAAGUUGUCUCAAUUGUUGUCUUAUGAUGGAAUAGGAGCUAUUGAUUUCCCAUUUGAAAGGAUUUGAAAAUUGAAGGUACCACCAAGAGUCCAAAACUUCCUAUGGAUGUUGUUUAUUAAGAGUUGCAACGAAGGAUUUUUUGAUUAGCCGGGGGGUAAAUCUGGAUAGGUGUACAAAAAAUAUUAUGGUGGAUUACGAUUUCGGUGUCAUGUUGGACCGUGUAGUUAGCUUGGAACGAUAAAGUGUUCGACAGGACAUCGACGAAUCUAGAUACAAUAUUGUACCACUCUAAAAUGAUAACUUUGAUGUGGGCUAGGGCAGUGCAUGAAGAAUGUCAAUUUUAGGAACGUUAUUGGUGGUAUUGGCGAGCGAAAUUUAGCUCCUCAAAAAGCAUGACAAACAUUAUUGUUUACCAUUGGAAGCCACCUCCUCCCGAAUGGAUGAAAUUCAAUAUGGUUGGCUUUGUUUUGGAGGAUGAAGCGGGUUGUGGUGAGGUUUUGAGAGAUGAUAAAGGAGUGACUUGUGCGUUUUUCUCGGGUCGGAUCGAAGCUAAGGGAACAAAAAAUGGCAAAAAUAAUAGCAAUUAAAAUAAUAGUGGAUAUGGAUAUUGGAUCGAGUCCGAAGGCACAUGUUCCAUUAAUAAUUGAAUUAUGCUCGUUUGUUGCUUCAGAAUGGUUGAUAAAUAGGAGUUAUAGACCUUGGUUAUUACGUAAAUUGUUUGGUGACAUCGACUAUGGCAUUAAACAGUUGGCUCAAUUUCAGAUCGCAGUUAUUCAUCGACAAAGUAAUGGUAUGGAGGAUGCUUUUGCAGAAACAGGUAUAUCGAGAUCUUCUUUUUUUAAAGCCUUGUGGUGAAUUUGUUAAAUGCAUUCUUUUGCUUUUUGUGCGGAGGUUUUUGUAUCUGGUUGUUUGUUGUAUUAUUGUCGUAUUCUUGCUAUUCUUGAAACAGCUAGUGGUUCCAAUGUCUUUCUUGAAUUAUUUUAUUCGACUGAGAAAAAAAAACUUUAUAUUAUAAAUUUCUUUCUACUUUAGCAAUUAUUUUGGAAUUAGAAUACUUCUCAAUUCAUAUUAUUUGUUUAUAUUAAAUUAUAAAGUAAAAAUUUAAAACUUUAAAAAUACUAUAAACCUCUACAAUUUGUACAUUUAGACAUAGACUUCUAAAACUUGAUAGCAAACAUAUAUGUACAAAGUAUUAAUUGGUGGAAAACUUAUGUCUUUUUACUUAGUUUUGCAUGCAAUAAAUUUUAUGAUUUUUUUACAUGAUACUAUAAUAUAACAAAGUAAAAUUAAAAAUAAUUGAAAUGCGGAUAAAUUUGAUGUGAAAAUAGGGAUAAUAAAAUUAUAUAUUUUAAGUUAUCAACAUUGAUUAGGUUUAAAAUUAAGUGUAUAUAUUAUCUAGAUUUAAGUUCUAACAUGAUUUUUUUAUUAUAUUGAUUAUGAGAUGCACCAAUAUGUAAAUGACAUUAAAUAAUUAAUAAAACAUAAAUCAAAUCAAAAUAGUUGGUAAAAGUGUUUUAGUUGAUUUGAUUUGAAUUGAAUAUUUUAUGUUUGAUGAUCAACCGAUUAGUUUGAUCUUUAAAAACUUGAGUCCCCGAACGUAUGUUUACUUUUAACUUUUUAAUAUAAAAAUAAAAGUUAAAAUAUAUAGUAAAAGAAAAACUAAUCAGAAGAAGAAUUUUCAUUUUUUAAAUAGAGAUGAGCUUUCCUACAAAAUAUUUGGUGGAAAAUUCAUUAGGAAAGGAUAUUGUAUGAAUGUACCACAAAAUUAAUUGCACUCCCUUUGAUUAGAAAAGUAUUAAAAAGAUAAAAACGUCAUAAUCCAAACUCCAACCUUCAAAAUCCAAUACCAAUAUCAUUCAAAAUUGCAAACUCAAAUGGAACAAAUAAAGUAGAAUACAUUAGAAUAGUAUUCAUUAACAUUCCAAUUGUCCCAAUCAUCACAACCAAAAUAAAAAAGAUAAUCUUCAACAAGUUGGCUAACAAUCUUCAUGAUCACAAGUAAUCACUCAAAUAUUUGAUGUCUAAAAUAAUAUUUUGAACAUUCUUUGCCUUUACUAUUUUAGACCCAUUCCAAGCAAUAAAAUUCUUAAAAGUGACAUGACUUGCAAAUGGCACUUACAAUCAUAAAAAUUCUUUAAAGCAACAAAAAUAGUAGCAAAGCGUUUCUCACCAAGAUUACAACCAAUCCAGAGUUCAUUUGUGAUUAUACACAAAAACUAUAAAAGAAGAAUCACGCUAAACUAAACUCUUAACAUGAUAUAUUUACCAAUAUUCUUCUAAAUUAAAUUGAUGCAAGGUGCUGCACAUGGUGACCAUAAGAUGGUAGGAUACUUCUCAUUAAGUAAUCUCCUAGUGGCUUUAUAGUUUGCAGCAUUAUAUGUAAUUAGUUAGACCACAUUUGUAACACCCCAAAGAUUUAAUUCUUGCUUUGAUAAAACUUUGUCAUAGUUAAAUACCUACUUUAGUGGUUAAGGGCAUUGGGUGUGAAGGGUGGGUUGUGAGUUUAAGUCUUUUGGAGAGUAUUUUGCUAAGUAAUUUUUGGUUGUAUUACUUAGUAGAAUUUGAGUUAAAGUUUAACUCUAAGAGUGGGGGGGAUAUAUGUUGCUUGAUUAUGGGGAUAGGAGGUGGGUAGUUGUAUUGGUUUAAAUUAUAAGUUUUAAUUUAUUAAAACAAACAAACAAACAAAACUUCUUCCCUCAAACCCACAUUUCCACUUUCUUUCUUUUCUUGUUUUUUUUCUCUCUUCUUACACCACUGUCAUUUUGGAAGUGGGUAAUUUUUAAUCUUUCUUUUUGCUAUCCUAUUGACAUUUGAUUACUUGCAAUUGGAGGCUGCUUGUUUGGCUCCUUCACUUUUGUUAUCUUAGGUAAUGUUAAUGGAUCUUUAAUCGUUUAGUUUUGGGGUUAUGAGAUGCUAGUGGUGUUAUUAUUUUGUAGUCGUUAAUUAUUUAGUUCUGUGUUUAGGUAAAGGUCGUGAGACAUUUGGCACUCCUUCAACAUCGUACUUUCGCAUGGUUGUGGUUUGAUUAACUGUAAGACUAUGGAAGUGUUUUGGUGUUGGAAAAGUUUAAUUCUUAAUUGCCUUGUGCCUCGUUACCAUUAUAAUCUUUUUAUUUAUUGUAUUUCGGUCUCAGGAGUCUUGUGGUUGCAUUCCCGUCGAAAUCAAACCAAAUGGGUAACGAGAAACUCGAAAUCUAUGAACGGCGAAAGCCAAAAUUGGGGCCUGUCGACGCCACGUGGCCGUGUACGACACAAGGUCUAGGCCAUUUUUGGUCGUGUGGGCCUAAUUUUAAGAAUUUUUUCCUAAGGUCGUGUAAGUCAUCCCGAUUGACUGUGAGCCUUCUGAGGGGUUGGUAUGUGUUUAUAUAAGCCUUAAAGCAUGAAAUUUGCUAAUUUGUUAGUAUGAAUUUUGACGUAAAUAACGCCUAAAAAUGCAUGUAAUGUGAUAUGUGUGAUAUGUUAUUUAUAGGCAUGUUCAAUAUCUGUUAUACGAGCAUGCAUGAUAUUUAAACUCUGGUAUCUGUUAUUUCUAUUAUUUUCGGUGUUCUGUUCAUAUCUGGCAAUGGGGCGAGUUAUGUAUUAUGAGGAGGAAGUGUUUUGCUUAAGAUGUUAACUCGCCAUUAUACUAGUAGCACUGCUGUGAUUAUUCUGAAAAGUGUCAUAAGGACACUAAGUGGUGUGUAGGGAUGGGUGGGUGUUUUAUACCCCACAUGGUGUGCUGGGAUGGUCGGAGCUGAGGUGUAGAGGAUGGGGGUAGGAUUAUAUUUAUCUACAUCUAUACUACUCUUAUACGAUUCUGAUUCUGUAUAAGAAAUAUGAUUGUAUAUGUUCUUUUAUGUGAUUAGAUUUGAAUUUUUGUUUCUUUUGAGUUAUACACUAAGUUAUAAAAACUCACACUUUGUUUGUCUGAUAAUUUUAGGUAACCCUCUGACUUAGGCGGGUCGGUGCGACGGGAGCUCGGUUAUGUCCACAAUUUCAUAAAACUUUAUUUAAAUAAAUUUGGCUUAUUUAAAAUUUCUGAUUUGAGAGUUUUGUAAUUUUUGGACUCUCUAAACAUUUAAGUUUGUUAUUGGUUUGGAUUUUGUUUUGGGUUUUUGCUUGACAUUUGAUAAAACGAUUUUUUUUUUGAAAAAAGGCUAUGUUUUUGUGAUUAACUAUUUUUAAGAAAACAAACUCGGAUUUUCAAAAUAUAACGCUUUAAGAACUUUUGUUGCAACUUAUUUGAUUUAAUUUAGGAAAUGAAAUCAACUAUCAGUUUUAACUAUUAAGUAUGACAAACGUUUUUCAAUUAAAACGGACUUUUAAAUUAAAUAGCAAAGGUUCACAAUAUUUUUCAAAAAUCGAAAGUUAGAUUUAUAAUUAUUUUACGUAAUAUUCUAGAUUCAGCCAUAACGUCUAGGCCGGGUUUUAAGUGUUAAAACAUUGCUUGAACAAAAAAUAUUCAUAAUCUCCACAAACAAAUUGCAAAGAGUAUCGACAUCUAAAAUCAUGUUGAAUGCAUUAAGGGAUUUGAUGAAGCAUAAUCCUUUAGGACAAUACACUAAAAGAGUGGUUAAUGACUUUUGUUUCAAAUCUUUCUACCCACCUCUCAUUAUGGUGCAUCCACGUUUCACCCAAAUCCUUUUGUAGAAUUCAAAUAGCCAUAAAUCCCUUUUUAGAGUAUUCUAGUAGAUUGGUUAACAAUGCAUGAUAUGAUAUAGCUUUGUAUCCCAAUCCCAUAGAUGCUAUGGCAUCAAGGCACAGUUGAAACUUUGCGAGACCCUUUUUGCAUUUCUUUGAUAUUUGAUUAAACUUUUUAAAAGUCUAUUUGGGUGAGAGCUUGGGAAGAAAACUUUCAUUUCUUGCAAGGUUUUAGAAAAUAUUCUAAACAUAUAUUUACUUUUUGGGGUAAACAUAAUAAAUUUUUAAGAAAUUUUAAAAAGGGUUUUGAAUAACCCAAAUUCCCCGUUCAAAUUCCAGAGAUAGUUUUUUAAAAUUCCAUUCAUUUAAUAGAUGUGAUCUCACAAUAAAAUAAGAAAAAUGGCUAGCAUUUGGUACAUAUGCAAUGUACUUUUUUUAUUUCAAGCAUCCUUAAAAAAUUGUCAUGUCUCUUUUGUAAAAUUAUAUAUUUUUUGGGUAUGCAUUUGAUAUAUUGGUAAUAUAUUUUUUUUCCACAAGCAGUAUUGAAAAAUUGACAAGUCUCUUUUUAUAAAUAUCUAUUUUUUAAUAUUUUACUAUACUUGACACUUGUCAACUCUCUAACUCUGCUUGUGAAAUCUAAAAACUACACUGAUGGUAUACCAAAUAUUUUAUAUAACUUAAAAAUGUAAUAUUUAUUUAAUUUCAAUAUUUUUAUAUUUUAUAUUAUUAAAAAUAUUUACAUAUUUUUAUGAAUGUAAUGAUAUCCAUCUUGCAUAUUUUCAUAUUAUUUUUCUUUAUAAUUAUUUUUUAACUUAUUAAAUUUUAUUAACUUUAUUUUAUUAAAAUUGUUUUUUGAAACCAAACAAUUAAAAAUAUUAAAGGAUGUAUUUUAAAAUGGUAGCAUUUUUAAAGGCUUGAUAAAUUUAAAUUUUUAAAAUGUUUUAUCCACCCUAAAAGAUGAAAAGAUGAAGCAUAUAAUUGUAGUGGCCCGAAGCGAUGGCGGAGGAGACCAAGACGAAGGGGGAAAUGACUGAUGAGAUCAGAAAACCCAUCGAGUCACUUACUAAGUCUUUUCUUUUGGAAUUUUCGCCAUUUAACUCAGUGGUAAUUAUCUGAUAUUGACCUUUCAAUCCCCUUUGGUUUAUAUGCAAUUUGCUUUUAAAAUUAUUGUUUUCCUCUACUUGCACAAGGAAUAUAUAUAAAACCAAAUUAGCACAAUAAUAAAUAAAAUCAGUAAAAGAAGUGAAAUCCAUCUUCAUAUAGUGGAUUCCAUCCUCGUAAUAAAAAGUAUAUUUAUCGAUGUUGCAUCUAGAGUUGUCCAUUGCUUGGGCCUUGAAUAAAAUUUUAAGCUUGAGCCUAGCAUAAAAUUUUGUCCAAAUUCAGUCCGAAUAAAAAUUUUAAAACUCAAGUCCAGCCCAUAUUAAUUUUUUUUAUAUAAAAAAUUGAAAAAAAAUAAUACAUCAAAAAUAAAACAUUAAAAUAAUUUUUCCUAACAAAUUGAAAAUAAAUUAAAAAAAUCUUUAUACUUAAAUAACACUAAGAUAUGUGCAACUUAACUAGUAAAUGUUUCUAAAAUAGUAGCAAAAUUAACAAUAAAACAAUAACAACAAAAUAGUAGCAAUAUAAUAACGAAAUGGUAGCAAAACAACAACAAAAUGGCAGCAAACUAUUGGGAAAACAACAAAUUUUUUUUAAAAAAAUUUGGGUCGGGCUUGGGCCGAAAAACUUUACUCGAUGCUCGGCCUAUUUUCUAAACAGGCCUUAUUUUUUUAUUCAAGUCUAUUUUUAGAUCUAUAUUUUUACCCAAAUCCUCUUACUUUUUGGAAGAGAUUUCAAACCGGAUUGGGUUAUGCACAAGUCUAGUUGCACCAUAAUAGCUCUACUAUACGAUAAAUGUGUUUUUAAUAUAAUAAUUUGGUUGAAAUAGUAGAUUGUAUGAUAUUAAACUCACGGAAAUUAAUUAUUGUGCAUCAUGGAGAAAACGAUGAAGUAAAAUUUGCGUUUGUUAAUUAUGCAUCUAAAGAGUUGAAGUCUAUGGUUUUAGAAUUAAAUGAGUAACUCUUACGUUAUUCUUACUCCAUUAAAAGAAACCUUAAAAAUAAAAAUAAAACAAAAAAGGUGGUGCAUGGAGUAAUUGAGCCUAUUUUACUUGGUUAAUCGAUCUUGGAGUGCAGUGAUGUAAGAGAGUAUUUCACAAAAUCAUUGUAAUCUUUCAUGGCAUGUAUUAAUUUCUUUAUUAUGUUUGUGGAAUUAAUAAUAUAUAAUUUAUGAAACAUGAAAAGUUUAUAAUGUUAAUAAAAUUACUAUAUAUGAGAUUAUAAGUUAUUAUUACUAUUAAAAAAGAAAAAAGGAAAAUGAACAUCAAAAGAGAAGCAGCUCCCCAGUUUGUCCUUAAAUACAAAAAAAUGAAUAAGUUAGAUGAAAAGCCCACUCCUUAAGUCUCAAACCAAUGGCCCAACUAUAAUUUUAUAUUAUUUUUAAAUGAAGCAAGUAUAUUUUAAUGUAAUUGAAUCCCUAAUUCAAUCUAGUGAGUUAAAUAAAUAAAUUUUAAAAUUUUCACUAAAAAUUGAAAUAGUUAUAUAAAUUUUUUAAAAUUUUACAUAAAUAUUUUAUGUAAAAAUUAAAAUAUAUAAAAUUAUCAUAAAUGUAAAUAUUAUUUAGUUAUCAUUAAGAUAAGUAUUAUUUAUUGUAAUAUUAAAAUUUGUUAUCAUUAGAUUUUUAAAGAAUUAACAUUAUCAUUUAAUUUAAUUUAAUUUUUUUAGAAUUUUAUUUUUAAUUAUUUCAUUAAAUUUAAAAACUAUCACAAAACAUGUAUUUGAAAUAACUAGAUAUAUAAAAUUUCAAUUUUUAAUUAAAUUAUUUCAUUAGAUUCCAUUCUCGUAAUUAAAUUAUAAUUUUUGAGAAAAUUAGAAGAUUGAUAAAAUAAUUUAUUUAUAUUCAAACUUAAAUGAAGAUAAAAUAUGAAUACAUAUCCAAAAUAAAGAUAUUUAAUUAUAAAAUAUGAAUACAUAACUAUACAAUUCUUACAUUUAGACAGACAUCUAAAACUUGAUAGCAAACAUCCAUGUACGAAGUUCUAAUAAGUGGAAAACUUAGGUCUUUUCACUUGGUUUUGCAUGCAAUACAAGUAGAUUUUAUGAUUUUUUUUUUACAUGAUAAUAUAAUGUAACAAAGUGAAGUUAAAAAUAAUUGAAAUGCAAAUAAAUUUGAUGUGAAAAUAAUAAUAAAAUUAUAUAUUUUAAGUUAUCAAGGUUGACUAGGCUUUAAAUUAAGUGUUAUAUAUAUUAGCUGCAAGAUCUAACCUGAAUUCUUUAUUAAUUAAUUAUCAGAUGAAUAAAGAUAUCCUAUGUGAAUGACAUUAAAUAAUUAAUCAAACAUAAAUCAAAUCAAAGCAAUUGGUAAAAGUAUUUUAGCUUAAAUUGAUUUGAUUUGAUUUGAUUUGAAUGUUAUGUUUGGAGAUGAAUCGAUUAGUUUGAUUUUUAAAAAAUUGAGUUCCUAUAAGUAUGUUUACUUUUUUUUAAAUAAAGAAAAUAAAAGUCAGAAAUAAAUAGUGAAAGAAAAACUAAUCAAAUGAAGAUUUUUCAUUUUUAGAUAGAGACGAGCUUCCAUCAAAAUACUUGGUGGAAAAUUUGUUAGGAAAUAAUAAUAGUAUGAAUGAACCACAAAAUUAAUUACAUUCUCUUUUAUUAAAAAAUUAUUAAAAAGUCCAAAAUCUAAUCUUUAGAGUCCAAUUGUAAACUCAAAUGAAAUAAAUAAAGUAUUGUAAUAGCCCGAUUUUAGGCCUAGUCAGAACAGUGGUUUCGGGACUAUAAAUUCGACGAGGAAAAAUUUAUUUUUUAUUAUAUUUUUAUGGUAUAAAAUUUCACAAACUGAAUUCAUGAAAAUUUCGUUCAAAAAUGUUGACGUUUGGGCACUCAAUUUAGCCAACAUAACUAAAUUGUAAAAAAUUGCAAAAGUUGAACUCCACAUGUUAGAAGUGUCCAAUUGUUAUGAAAUUUUAAAUUGGAGCUCUUUAAAUGGUAAUUAGACCAUUGGUUAACUUGUUGGACAAAAAUGGACAAGAGAUAAGUGAAAUAGGAUUUUUUUUUGUUGGGGACAUUUUGGUAAUUUAGUAAUUAAAAGAAUUAAAAAGGCCAAAAUAGCCAAAAAAUUUUCCAUCUUCAAGCUAAGGCCGAAUUUAGCAAGGGGAGAAGCCAUAGUUAGGGUUUUCAAGCUUCCAAGCUCCAUGGUAAGUGAUUCUAACCCCGUUUUUAAUGUUCUUUACGUUUUUGGAGUCCCGGUAACUUGUUUUAGCUAUUUCUAGCAAUAAUUUAACCUAGGGUUUAUAUUUGGAAAAAUGCCCAUAGGUGAAAUGUGUUUAUUUUGAUGUUUUACGGUAGAAUAUGAAGUUAGAAAUUAUGUUUAAACAACUUUUGCUAAGCGAUUUUAAGUGAAAACGAGUAAAACGACAUAAUCGGUAAAAAUACCUAAUGUUCAUAAGUGUUAGAGUGGGAAUUUGAUGUUGCUAUAGAAGGUAAAAAUGUUAAGUAUGUCACAAAACAUAAGAAUAAGAGAUGAAGUUUAAUUUCCGAGCUUUGGGGCAAAAGUGUAAAUAUGUAAAAAUUUAGGGGCAAAAUUGUAAUUUUGCCAAAGUUGAGUUAAGGACUGUUUUGAUGAAUGUGCAUGUUAAAUAAGUUAAAUGUGUUAUUAUAGUUCAAGAAAGAAGUGGAAUCGACCUUGAUCGGAGAAAAGAAAAGAUUAAAGACUAAAUUGCUAAAUUUCUAUAUUGUUGCACCAAAGUAAGUUUGUAUGUGAAUAAUGCAUUAUUUUAAUUUUAUUUAAUAUAUUGAUGAGAUAUGAUUGAAUGUAGAAUAAAUAUUUGGUGUUGAUUACAAAAAUGUGGUUAAAUUUGAAAAAGUUGGUAAAAUAUUGUGAAAUAAGGUUUCCGAUUGAACACUUGGAAUAGAUCGGAAUACAUUGAAUAAAAAGGGGUCGCUAAGUGCAGAUUCCCCAAGGGGUUGCUAAGUGUUGAUUCCCCGAAUUAUUGACUCUAAAGGUGGUUGCUAAGUGCUAAUUCCACCGUAUCUUUGAUUGUGAAAGGGGUUGCUAUGUGCUGAUUUCCCGUAUCACUGAAUAUAAAGGUGGUUGCUAAGUGCUGAUUCCACCGUAUCUUUGAUUGUGAAAGGAGUUGCUAUGUGCUGAUUCCCCGUAUCACUGAAUAUAAAGGUGGUUGCUAAGUGCUGAUUCCACCGUAUCUUUGAUUGUGAAAGGAGUUGCUAUGUGCUGAUUCCCCGUAUCACUGAAUAUAAUGGUGGUUGUUAAGUGCUGAAUCCACCGAGUAACGGAUAAUAUUCCGAAGUGUUCAACGGGAAAAUUGGAAAAGUGAAAGUACAUGUAAAAUGGAUAAGAUUAUGUGAGGAAUAUUGGGUUUGAUACUUAAUCGACCCAUGAGUAAGGUGAUACGAAGUAUCAAAACUACUAAAGAGUAAAUUUAGAAAUAAAACAGUUUUGAACAACAGCAGUUGUGCAGCUUUGAAAAAUCACCAAAAAUGGUUUAAAUUGAAUUAGAGGCUGAAUAAUAUAUGAAAUUGAAGAUGAAUGACUCUAUUUUCACAUGAAAGAAACAGAGCAAGCAAAGAGUUAUAUAUUUUGAAAUAUUUGAAUUUUAGUGAAACAGGGCUGAAUUGAUUUCGAAACCCCCUGUUCCAGAUUUGGAAAAUCAUUAAAAAAUUUUAAAAAUAAUUAUGGAUUGUAAUUUACAUUAUUGAACUCCUAAUUGAGUCUAUUUUCAAGAGAAACAAACAAGAACAUCAUUUGAAUUCUGUACAAAGAGUUAAACAAUUUUUAGUGAAGAGGGUCAGAGCUGUUGAGCAGUGAAAUAUGGGAGAGUUUAAAGAAUAAACUGUACUAAUUGGCUAAACCAAAAAUUCUGAAAAUUUUAUGGUAAGAAGGUAUAUGAGUCUAGUUUUGGGAAAAAUGAACAAAAUUUAAUUUGGAUUUCUGUAGCUCCAGAUAAAAAUAAUUUAGUGACUGUAACUUGACUAGACAGCUUUAAAUUUAAAUAUAGGUGGAUAAUAAAAUUAUGUAUAAUGCUAUUUAAGCAUGUUAUAUACAUAAAGGAUGUGGAAUGGAGAGGAGGAGGAGGAAAAUAAAAUGUAUGAAUGAAUUGUGUAUAAAUAGUUAUAUGCCCGAUUAUAAUUGGUAAAUGUUAAAUUGAAUGGUAAAUAUGUAUUGGUACUGAAGGAACUAUUGCGGUAUUGAAAAGCAAUUGAUCAAAUGUUUAAGAAAUUUAGUCAUGAUAUAUAUAUGUGUGAUAAUAAUGAUAUAUGGAUGAUUAUAUCAUUGAGUUGCAUUGAUUAAUUCGGUUUAUGUGAUGGAAAUGUCAAGAACAUUUGUCUUUGAUACGUGAUGAUGUAAUGCCAUGAAAAUUUGUUUAAUUGUGUGGUUUAAAAUGUAUCUAUAUUUUGUUUUAUAACUUAUUUUGUAACCUAUUUGACAAAUGAUAAAAAUUAAUUCAGUUACUAUGCGAGGUGAAUUAUGAUUUGUGAAGCAUAUCUAUAUUUGGCAAUAAUGGAUAAAAUAUAUUUAUGUCAUGGGUGAAUGGUUAAACACUUGGGUUAGUAUAAAGUGUAUAUUUAGUAAAGUUUGUUGGAAAAGAAAUAACAAGUUUUGGUUUAUAUCGAAUAGAGAAAAUUUGUACUAUCUUUGUGGCUAAUUUUGUUAGCUGUAUGGGAGAUAAAUGGUUAAUGUAUGUAUGUGACAAUUAGCUUACCAGAUAGUGAACUAUUGAUAUACUACAAUAGUUAAAAAGGAAAAUUUGACGAUAUGAGAAUAUGUAAUGAUACGGAUCAAUUCAGGUACUCAGGACGAAUUCAACAAGUAAGUGAAAAUUUAUAAAUUCAUACGAAUAGGAAGUGAAAGAUUGUGAGUAUAUUUAGCUAAGUAAACCCUAAUUAACGACUCAAGAAUAACAAUUGGAAAGUUUUAAUUUGGAUGGAAUUUUAUAACUCGGAUUAAUAUGUCAAUAAGUGUAUUUAUUCUGGUAAUACCUCGUACCUUAUUCCAGCGUUGAAUACGGGUAAGAGGUGUUACAAUGUGACACCACCAGAUUCGGCCCUAAUGUUAGGCCGGGUUUAGGGUGUUACAAGUACAACACAUUGAAUAGUCUUUGUUAACAUUCGAAUUGUCUUAAUCAUCACAGUUGUACUUGUUGACUAACAAUCUUCAUCAUCACCAAGAAAUUACUCCAAAAUUUGUCGAAACUAAUAUUAAAAACAUUCUUUACCUUCCCUAUUUUAGACCCAUUCUAGGCAAUAAACUUCUUGGAAGUGAUCAUGGCUUGCAAAUGACACUUAUAGUCACGCAAAUUCUUAAAAGUAAUAAUAGUAAUAGCAAAACAUUUCUCACUAGGACGAUAAUAAAAGUAAUAAAAGUAAUAAAAGUAAUAAAAGUAAUAGCAAAACGUUUCUCACUAGGACGAUAAUCAACCCAAAGUCCAUUUGUGAUUAUACACAAAAAUUGUAAUAGAAUAAGCAUGCUAAACUAAACUCUUAACAUGAGAUGUUUUACCAACAUCCUUCAGAAUUAAAUUGAUAAAGGUGCUACACAUGGUGAACAAAAGACGUUACGAUACUUCUCAUUAAAAAAUUUCCUAACGGCUUUAUAAUUUGGAGCAUUAUAUGUAAUUAGCUAGACCACAUUGCUCAAACCAAAAAUUUUUACAAUAUUCGUAAAUAAAUUGCAAAGAGUAUCAAAAUCUAAAAUCAUGUCUGAUGCGUUAAAGGGUUUGCUAUAGCAUAAUUUUUAGGAAAAUACACUAGAAAAUUGGUUGAUGACUUUUGUCUUGUAUCUUUCUACCCACCUCCCAUUAUGGUGCAUCCACAUUCCACCCAAAUGUUGUAAAUCCCUUUUUGAGUAUUCUUGAUAACACUCUAGAAUAACAUAUUUUUAUGUAUUAAUUAUGUAUUUAUUCUGAGUAUGAUCGUGCUAAUUUGAGCUAUUUAUGAUCUUUUAUCUCAUAGGGACUAAAUUUGAGGCAAAAGCAAAAUUAAAGGCCAAAAGCAGAAUUAAAAGCCAAUGAUUGAACCCAAGGUGGAACGAGACAACUGGAGGCUGGAACCUCCCGUAAGAAUUUCCUUUCUCUCAACUCUAUUUUUAAUUUCUCAAAUUUUUGAUUCAAUAUUCUUAAUUCUGUAUUUAUUUUAUUUUUCAUUUCCAGAUCCAAAAUUUUAAUUUUGUUAUUUUUUUUUAUUUUUUUCAGGAAUGCAGGUUUUCUUGGGUAAGAUUCUGCCCGAGAUUUCACAGAAUAAGAUAUUGUGCAAAUCUAGUCCCUAAGGAUUUGACCUUAAUUCCCUUUUACUAUUCUUUUUCAUUAUUUAUUAGGGAUAGGAUUUUUUGGUGCUUUCAACGACUGCAUCAAAUUUUGGCAUCGUUGUUGGGGACUAGCAACGUACUAAUCUUGUUUUUUGUUUCUGAUAAUGAGAUAUGCUCCAGGUACUCUUGCGUUCAAUUCAGAAAUUGAAAAGACUGCUAGAGCCAAUCGCAAGGGGACAAAGUUACAGAAAAAGAAGUCAGCGGUGGUUGGAACUCAAAGUAACCCAUCGCCAGAAAUCAAAGUCGACGACAAAGCUAAGUCUAGGGUUAACGAAAACCUGACUCGAACACUUGAAAGCAAAAAAGUAAAAGUCGACUCACUAGAAAAAUUGUUUAACGCUAGGGUUAACGAAAACCCAAAUCUAGCACAACAACCAAUGGCUCAAACGAUUCGGCAAUUGGCCAAAUCUCCGACAGAAAAACCACCAUUGUGCAUCGCGUAUCCUACUAUGGGUUUAAUCCAGUUACUGCCAACUUUUCAUGGGUUGCAAAAUGAAAAUCCCCACAAACAUCUGAAAGAGUUUCAUAUGGUUUGUCUUAGCAUGAAACCUUAGGGGGUAACUAAGAAUCAGAUUAAAUUGCGUGUUUUCCAUUUCUCCUUAGCAGAUUCUGUUAAUGAAUGAUUAUUUUAUUUACCCCCUGGAUCUAUUACAACUUGGAAUGAUCUAUCUCGUUUGUUUCUGUAUAGGUUUUUUCUAGCGUCUCAAGCAGCUGAGUUAAGAAGAGAGGUUGUUGGAAUAAGGCAAAAAGAAGCUGAGUCCCUUUACAAUUAUUGGGAGUAGUUUAAGAAGUUGUGUGCAAGCUGCCCACAACAUGGUAUAACGGAGAAAUCUCUCCUCCAAUACUUUUAUGAAGGUUUGAAGCCUAUGAAGAUGAAUAUAGUAGACGCUGCUAGUGGAAAAGCAUUGGUCAACAUGACUCCCCAUCAAGCGAGAGACUUGAUCUCCAUAAUGGCUACAAAUCUCAAUAGUUUCGAGCCAAUCUUGAACCCCUAGAAGGGUUCACUAGCUAAGUAAUUCAACUUUAGAGGAUAAAUUUGAUAGACUUACUAAUAUGAUGAACUCUUUUAUUACAAAAAAAAAGUGAAGACAGCUUGAUUAUGCAGAAUAUGUACUACACCUGAUCAUGCAACUGAUACAUAUCCCAGUUUGUAUGAUGAUACCAUGGCUCAUCUGGAUGUUGUGGGAAAUUUUCGUAGGCUGCCACAAAGGUAAUACAACCCCUACGCUAAUACCUACAACCUAGGGUAGAGGGACCAUCCUAACUUAAGCUAUGGGGCCAAUCCACGAAAUAACCAACCAUACCAAAAUCGAUUUUCACAACAGCCGCAAGGUCAAGGUAAUCCUCUAGAAACCAUGGUCAAUAAGUUAGCAGUUAAAGUUCUUAUUUUUAACAGCAAAUCCAACAACAAACUCUUAAUUUCCAAAAAGAGAUGAAGGGUUUCCAAUAGAAAACUGAGGCGUCCAUCAGAGAGUUGACUACAUCGAUCGAGAAAUUGACCUCUCAAGGAAAGCUGUCGUCACAAACAGAACCAAACGCUAGACAAAAUGCGAAUGUAGUAAUGUUGCAAAGCGGAAAAGGUACUACAACCGAUUUCUGACAGGAAUCUUGACUAAAAAAUAGCCCAGGAAAAACUCGAGAAAGACGAACAGGUCCAACCGAAGCCUCUAUUGCCUAAAAUUCAUCCUUCAUUUCUAGAACGAUUCAACCAAUGUCAAAGAGGUAAAGAGGAUAAGGAAAACCUUGAAACAUUUAGGAAUGUCGAGAUCAACAUUCCGUUGUUGGAUGCCAUCAAGCAAAUACUGCGAUAUGCUAAAUUUCUUAAAGAUUUUUGCACCAACAAGAGAAAAUUAACAGGUAAUGAAAGGGUGAAUGUUGGUAAUAAUAUAUCCGCAGUGUUACAGUGAAAAAUGUCGGUAAAAUGCAAGGAUAGCGGUAUGUUUGAAAUACCGUGCAAAAUAGGCCAUCUGGGAAUUAAGAAGGCUAUAUGUGAUCUAGGGGCUUCUAUAAAUGUAAUGCCAUGUUCUAUUUAUGAAUCAUUUAACGCGGGUUUUUUGACAAAAACAAGUGUUAUCAUUCAAUUGGCGGACAGGACUAUUGUGCAUCCAGAAGGAGUCCUUAAGGAUGUUCUGAUAAAAGUUAACGAGCUUAUUUUCCCUGCAUAUUUUUAUGUGAUCAAAAUGGAUGAGGAUAGCACUCUUGAAUCUUCAGAUCUUCUACUGGGUCGACAGUUCCUUAGGACAGCUAGUAGUAAAAUCGACAUUCGAAGUGGAACUCUCACGAUGGAGUUUGAUAAAGAGAUCAUAAAGUUUAAUGUCUACGAUGCCAUUAGCCAUCCAAGCGAAAUCUUGAGCGUAAAUCGUAUCGACAUAAUUGACACUUUAGUGGAAGAGAAUUUUGAGUCAAUUUAUGGUGAUAAUUCUGAACUUGAUGAAUUUGAAUUUGUUAAUGAGUUAUUAUCUCCAAAUAUUAAACUGUUACCUUCUGUUCUACAAGCAUCAGAGUUGGAGUUGAAACUGCUUCCUGAGCAUCUAAAAUAUGCAUUUUUGGGGAGGGGUAAUACCCUACCAGUCAUAGUCUCCAAUAGACUCUCCACACAUGAAGAGGAAAGUUUGGUUCAUGUACUAAAAAGUCAUAAUGAGGUGAUUGGCUAGACCAUUGUAGACUUAAAAGGGAUAAGCCCUUUGACAUGCACACACAUGAUUUAUUUGGAAGAAGACACAAAACUGAGGCGAGGGGCACAAAGAUGGCUAAAUCUGAAUAUGAUGGAGCUAGUAAAAAAGGAAAUCAUCAAGCUUCUGGAUGCUGACGUAAUUUACCCUAUUUCUGACAGUAGGUGGGUAAGUCAGGUACAAGUCGUGCCGAAGAAAACGGGCGUGACAGGAAAGAAAAAUGCUAAAAGUAACUUGGCACCUACCAGAGUACAAAAUAGGUGGCAUGUUUGCAUUGAUUACAGGAAGUUGAAUUCAUACACUAGAAAAGAUCAUUUCCCUCUUCCUUUUAUAGAUCAAAUGCUUGAAAGAUUAGCCGAAAAAACUCACUUUUGUUGUCUUAAUGGAUACUCAGUUUUUUUUUUUAAAUUCUAAUCGCAUCGGAGGAUCGGAAAAUGACCACUUUUAUAUGCCGAUUUCAUACAUUUACGUACAGAAGGAUGCCAUUUGGUCUUUGCAAUGUGUCGGCCAUCUUUCAGAGAUGCAUGAUGAGUAUAUUUUUCGAAUAUGUGGAAAAAAUUAUCUAAGUUUUUAUAGAUGAUUUUAUUGUAUAUGGGAGUUGUUUUGAUAAAUGCCUUAAAACUUAACGAUAAUUUUGAGUAGGUACAUAGAAUUUAAUCUUAUCUUGACUUAUGAAAAGUGUCAUUUUAUGGUAGACAAGGGUUUAAUUCUGGGUCAUGUUGUUUCAUCUAAAUGAAUUGAGGUCGAUAAGGCCAAAAUUGACAUUAUAAAUUCUUUGCCUUAUCCCUCAACUGUGAAGGAAAUUCGUUCUUUCCUUGGCCAUAUAGGGUUCUACAGGCGCUUCAUAAAAAACUUCUUGAAGGUAGCUGAACCAUUGUGUGAGUUUUUGCAGAAGGAUAAGAAAUUUGAGUUUGGCCCAAAAUAUAAGGAGACAGUUGAUACCCUCAAGCAAAAGUUAGUCUCCGCUCCUAUAGUGCAACCGCUAGAUUGGAAAUACUCGUUUGAAAUUAUGUACGAUGCCAGCGAGCACAGUGUAGGAGCCGUGUUAGGGCAAAGGAUAGACAAAGAACCAUAUGUUAUAUGUUAUGCCUCGAAAACCCUAGAUGCUGCGCAGAGCAACUACACCACUACGGAAAAAGAACUCUUAGUCAUUGUAUUUGCUUUAGAUAAAUUUCGACCUUACUUAUUGGGAUCUAAAGUAAUUAUUUUUUCUGAUCAUGCAGCCCUCAGGUACUUGAUCGCGAAGAAGGAAGCAAAAUCGAGGCUCAUUAGGUAGAUUUUGCUUCUCCAAGAAUUUAACAUCGAGAUUCUAGACAAAAGGGGAGGCGAGAAUUUAAUGGUUGACCACUUAAGUAGAAUAAAAGUACCUUUUGACGACAUCCCUAUUAAGGAAGAAUUCCCUGAUGAGAGCCUAUUCUCGACUGAGGCACGUCUCUCAUGGUAUGCAGAUAUAGUAAACUUUCUAGCCAUAGGAUCGUUACCCACUGAGUUAGCACAUUCCAUGAGGGACAAGCUUAGACGCGACCCUCGAUAUUACAUUUGGGAUGACCCAUACUUGUGGAAACACUGUUCAGACUAGAUAAUACGAAGAUGUGUUCUAGAAACCGAGGUAACUUCUAUCCUUAAUUUUUGUCAUACUAAAGCUUGUAGAGGUCACUUUGGCCCUAAGCAGACCGCUCAUAAGGUGUUAGAAUGUGGGCUAUAUUGGCCCACAAUUUUUUCAAACACAAAUAACUUUUGUAAGUCUUGCGAUAGGUGCCAACAUACAAGUAACAUCACUAAAUGAAAUCAAAUGCCCCUUUUCCCGAUUCAUGUAUGCGAAAUCUUUAAUGUAUGGGGCAUCGAUUUCAUGGGCCCAUUUAUUUAUUCAUUUAGCAAUGUAUAUAUACUUCUUGCAAUAGACUAUGUUUCUAAGUGGAUAGAAGCAAAGCCUACUCAAAAUGAUAAUGCCAAAACUGCUGUGGAGUUUCUAAAACGAACUAUUUUUUCCAGGUUUGGCACACCUCGAGCCCUAAUCAGUGAUCGUGGCACCCACUUUUGCAAUAAACUGCUGUGAAGUUUCUAAAACGAACUAUUUUUUCUAGGUUUGGCACACCUCGAGCCCUAAUCAGUGAUCGUGGCACCCACUUUUGCAAUAAGGUCAUGGGGGGCACUGUUGGCAAAAUACGGAGUCCACCACUGUAUAGCUAUGGCUUACCAUCCCCAAAUGAACGGUCAAGUUAAGGUCUCGAACAGGGAAAUCAAGACUAUUUUAGAGAAAACAGUUCGUCCUAACCGAAAGGAUUGGAGCCUUCGGCUAAAUGACGCACUUUGGGCCUAUCAAACUGCGUAUAAAAGAUCAAUUUGCAUGACCUCGUAUCGACUUGUUUUUGGUAAAGCUUGCCACCUUCCGGUUGAAUUGGAACAUAAAGCCUAUUGGGCCGUUUGACAAUGUAACGUGGAGUUAGAACCCAUAGGAAAGGCAAGGAAAUUAGACAUCCAAGAGUUAGAAGAAAUUCUCAAUGAUGCCUACGAGAAUGCUCGCAUUUGUAAAGACAAGACAAUGUUGUUUCACGAUAAAAGAAUAGCUCAGAAGCAUUUUUCGGUAAGAUAAAAAGUUUUACUUUAUAACUCCAUGUUAAAGUUAUUCCCAGGUAAGCUUCGAUCACGAUGGCAAGGAUCUUUUAUUAUUACUGCAGUGUUCACACAUGGAGCGAUUGAAAUAGAUAGUGAAGAAUAUAGAAAGCAGUUCGUAGUUAAUGGCCAGUGGUUGAAGCCGUUCUAUGAGAAUUUUCAAGCCCACACGAUUGAGAAAACCUAUUUGGAACCACCAUAGAACCAAUAACGGCGUCGAGCUAACGACGUUAAUAAGUGCUUGUUGGGAGGCAACCCAAUUUUUCUUAUUUUUUAUUUUUUUAUUUACUUUAUUUAUUACCUUAUUUUAUUUUACUAUUUAUUACUUAUUUGGAUAUUAAUAAAUUUCUCUUUUUUUGUUUAGAUAAAACAGAGCGAAAAUGCAACGAAAAAGGAAAAAUCUAGAAAAAUAGAACCAAACAGCCCUGUCCAUGGUACCAAACAUCCUCUAUUCUUGAUACUAUUCCAACCCAGAAUGCCUGCAGCCAAACAACCCUAUUCCUUGUAAUACCCCCCAAAAAAUUACUAUCGUAAGAAAGUAAGAUAAUAUUCCUGAUAUAGUAAAAUAAGGAAAUAAAGUGAUAAAAAGGGUAAUUUUGAGUUAUGUCAACAUUGAGAGGUAUAUUAUGACUUAUUAAUUCAAGAAAGGAUUAAAUCGCAAAAGUGAGAAAAGUUUUGUGGCCCAAGAGUAAAAACUCUAAAUUUAAGGGGUUAAAGUGUAAAUAUGAAAAGUUGAAAGACCAAUAGAGUAAAUAUUUUAAAGGUAGAAUAAUCUAGAAACCAAGGAAAAUGGAUGAAUUAGGACCAAAUUGAAAAGGUGAAGAAUUUUGAGGGACUAAAUCAUAAUUUUACCAAAUUAAGUGAUGACUCAAGGAUGGAAUUUUAAAAGAACAUAAAUGGCAAAAUGAUCAAUUAGAAUAGAGAGAAAUCGAGAAGGCAAUAAUGAUGUUGGUGAUAUUUUAGAUUAAUUAAUUAAAUAAAUAUUAGUUUAUUAAUAUUUUACUUUGAUUUUUAAAUGAUAUUUUAUUAUUUUAUUAUUAAUCUAUUUAGUAUAUAUAUAUAUGGAAAGAAAGAUGAAAAACCACCAUUCCACAAUCUUUCCAUGCAUUUCACGUUAGAAGGGAAGAGAAGAAAGAAAAUUUUGCUUUCUUUACAAUUUGGUCCUUUUACCAAAAAUUUAUCAUUUUCACCUAGAUAUCAAAAGAAUUUAAGUUUGAUAUUAUUGAAAAAGCAUAGAAAUGAUGUUAUAGUAGAGCUUUCUUAUAUAAAGUCUUAUUUUCUUGAUAUAUUUGUGAAGGGAAAUAAGUGAAAGUGGUGGGAAAUAUUAUAGAGAAAGGGAAUAAGGGAGUUAUAAACUUAGUAAUCAACAUCUUGCACUAAAACAAUUUUGGACAGAAGCAAUAGGUUAAUUUUGAAAAAUCACCAUAAAUUGUGAAAAAAAUUAGAGGAUAAAAAAAAUUUGGAAUUUAAGCUUAUUGACUCUAGUUUCUCAUAGAAGAAACGAUGUAAGUAAUGGAAUUUUAAAUCAUGAGAUAUAAUAAAUUUUGUAAGACAAGGUCAGAAUGAAUUCGGGUUCCCCUGUUCUGAAUUUGGAAAAUCAUCAAAAAUUUGAGAAAAAUAAUUAUGGGCUUAAAUUUAUAUUUUUAAAUCCUUAAUUAUUCUAUUUUCAAUAUAAACUAACAUUAACAUAAUUCAAAUUUUGUACGAGGAGAUAAUCAAUUCUUAGUGAAGAAGGGUCGGAACUGUUAGACAACAGAAUAGGGAUGAAUUUAAAGAAUAAACUGUACUUAUUGGCUAUACCAAAAAUUCUAAAAAUUUUAUGGUAAGAAUAUAUGUGAGUAUAGUUUUAGAUAAAAUUAACAGAUAUCAAUUUGGAGUUCUGUACCUCAAGAUAUAAAUAAUUCAGUGACUAUGACUCAAGUGGAUAGCUUUGAAUGAAUAUAGAAAUAAAUGGUGAAAUUAUAGAUAAUGUUACAUAUAAGCAUGUUAUAUACAUUAAGGAUGUGGAAUGGAGAGGAGGAGGAGGAAAAUAUAUGAUUAUUCAACUAGCAUGAGUUUUCAUUAAAAAUGAUCAAUUUAAAUGUUUUAGGUUUAGGAACUAAAUUGAACAAAUGUGAAACUUUAAGGGUAAAUUUGUAAAAAUAUCAAAAAGUAACCAAAUUGCAUAAAUGAAUUGUUUUAUUAUUUAAAUUAGUAAAUUGAAUGAAAUAUUAAUUUAGAUCAAGAUUGGGUGGAAAUUCGAGAAAAAUAGAAAUUUUCCAAAAUGUCCCUGAAUUUUGGUAUUUCUGCAAUUUGGCCUGGUAAGUUCGUAUGAGCUAUCUUGUAUAAUUUUAAUUGAAGUGAAUGCUAUUUGGUAAUGAAUAUUAUAUAUAUGUGUGUUUUAUUAUUGGAAUUGAAUUAUUAUUGGUAAUAUGUAUAAUUAUUAGAUGUUUUGAAAUGAUUAUCGAAAACUCGAUUGGGUUGGAAGCUAGUUGGAGAUAUAUCAAAUUAUCCAUUGGCUUUAUCGGUAAUUUUGGAUGAUUUGAUUCUGGUUAUAAUGACUUGUAUAAGUUAAAUUGGUUAAUGUUAGCUCAUAAAUGUUUUGAUUUUGAUUGGCUAUAAAUAUGAGUGCCUGAUGAAAUGAAAUGUCUGAAAAUUAAUUUGUAAACUCCAGUAAUGCUCUAUAACCCUAUUCUGGGGAAGGAUACGGGUUAGGGGUGUUACAUUUAUUGGCAUUAGAGCUACGGUUUAGUCGAUUCUUAGACCGAAUGUAGCAUAUGUGAAGUUUGGAAUAUACAUGUCAUUAUAUAACCUGUGAUAGUGUGAUAUCUCCCAACCUUGAUGAGAUUUAUUUUACUUAUAGAUAGAGAUUCUUUUCAACUUAGCUAAUUUCGAUAAUAUUGAAAGCAUUAUACGAAAAGUGUAAAAGUGAUAUGCAUGUAUUUUGAUGUUUUAUGGAAGAAUAUGAAUGUUUGGAGUGUGAUAAACGACUUGAACUAAGUGAUUUUCGAUAAAAACACCUAAAAAGACUAAUUUGGAAAAAUUAUAAAAUAUGCCAUAAGUGUGUGAAUAAGUGAAAAUUGUGGAUUGAAAUUGUCAUAAAAUGGUUCAGCUAGUCCUAAAAUUCAAGGAAAUUGAAUAAAAAUUAUUUUACGAGCCUAGGGGAAAAAUUAUAAUUUUGUGAAACUUUAGGGGCAAAAACAUAAUUUUUCCAAAGUAUGACUUUUGGAAUGGAAUGAAUAGUGUGAAUGUUAUAUAAGUUAAAUGUAUUGUUAUAAAUCAAGAAAGACGAGAAAUUGAAAUUGAUCGAUAAAAAGAGAAGUGAUAAAAAGGGGAAAAUUCACUAAUGAACCUUCGGAAUAAAAAGGGAUACGUAUGAAGUUACAAAAAUGAUCACAUGUGUGGCACAGAUUGUGUGUAGGCCACUAUGUAAAUGUGAAAGUGAUGGUCACGUGUGUUGUACUAUGUGCAGGCUACUACGUGUACCGGAAUAAUGGGUUGCAUGUGUAGUACUAUGUUCAGUCUACUAUACGUACCAGAUAGCUUCGAUCACGUGUGUAGUACUAUGUGCAGGCUAUUACAUGUAUCGGAUGAAAAUGAUCACAUGUGUAGUGCUAUAUGUAGGCUACUAUGUGAACCAGGCACUAUUGACUAUAAAGGUGGUUACUAUGUACUGAUUCCACCGUGUAUCUAUUAUUAUUCCGAAGUGUUCAUCGGGAAAUUGACUAAGUAAAAAUACAUGAGAUAAUGUAAUGACUAAGUGGAAUAUAAUUUGAAAAUGUGAAUUGAAUAUGAAAAUGUGAAUAGAAAGCAUGAACUAAAUGUUUAUGAGACAAAUAAUGGCUCAAUGUGAUAGUAUAUCAUAUUAACUAAUGAAUGACUUAUUAUUAGAAAUAUAUUAUUGAAUUUAAUACUUAGCUUGGAUUGAACGCAGGAUUGAGUAUAAUCGUUCUGUGGCAAAAGAUGAAUUUACGGAUAAGACCAUAACUGGGUUAUGGCACCUGAACGUAAGACCAUGGUUGGACCAUGGUAGUAUAGAUACAUGUGUAAGACCAUAGUUGGACUAUGGCACAAAAAGAACAAUGUACUCAUAUCCGUAAACCGUUCUUCAAUUCAGUAAGAAAUGUUAAGAAACUUAUGUGAUUGAAAUGAAACAUUUCUAAAUUAAUAUUGAUAUGGUAUUUGACAAGGAAAUUAUGUAUGUUGAGACAAGUAAUAAACUCAAGUGUGACAUAUUGAGAAAAUAAGUUUAUCAAAGUUGAAUUUAUAUGUAAUAUGUGCAAGUACGCUAAUCAGUGGUGUUGCUUGAUGCUUAGGCAAGUGCCAAGCUAUUGGUUGAAUGGUAAUAUGAUUAUUUAUAUAAUGCAUUGAAUUGGUAAGUAUUUAAGUAAAAAUAUGCUAGCGCUCACUAAAAAGUGGUAAGGUUUAAAUUAUGCAAUUUCUUAUGAAAUGAUUUAUCAUGUGAUCAAUUCGAAAAAGAUUUUGGUUAAAUGCAUUAGCUUGUGACCAUGGUUGAAUGAUAUGUUUAUGACUUGUGUGUCAUGCAUAUGGAAUAAGUGUGGAAAGUAAAGAAAUGCAAAUGAAAAUAUAGAAAUUCGGAAGAGUAUAAAGUUGUUUAAAAUCCUAUAUUGCUAGGGAUAAAAUGAACAGGUAAUGAUGUGGAUUUAUUUACCUUGUAAGUUGAUGAAUAUAGCCACAUGAGCAUUGUGGUAUUAAUAUUAAAUUAUUCUUGAUAUUUAUAAAUUUCACAUUUGAAAUGAAUGGACAUGAUUAAAGUUUAUACGAGCUUACUAAGCAUUUAUUGCUUACAUACUUGUUAAUAGGGGUAAUCAACUGAUAUUACAAAAUGAAUGAAAUUGAUCGAUUGAUUUAUUAAAGAAAUGAGAAAGUUGAAAUUGUGAAUUAAAUGGAGACUGAAAAUAAAGGACAUGAACUAAAGGUUCACAAGAUGAUUAAAUUCAGUUUGAGGAUAUGCGAUAUUAAUUUGAUUAAUUGUUAUUGUUGAAAAUUUGAAGUUGAAGUAUGAAUUAAUAUAUAUACCAAUAAAUCAUUAUAUGUUUGAUAUUUAAAGGUAAUUGAGAAUGUGUAUUAAUUAUGAAUUUCCUUGUAAAUUGAGCAAAAAGGAAACAUAAGAUUAUAUGAAUAAUUCCAAAAGUAAUCUACUAAAGGUCUUCUAUUCUUAUGGAAAGGAAAAUGAAGUUCAUGAUCAAAAGAAAACAAGGAAAUUUCGAGGACGAAAUUUAUUUUAAGGGGGAGAGAAAUGUAAUACCCCCCAAAAAAAUUACUACAGUAAGAAAGUAAGAUAAUAUUCCUGAUAUAGUAAAAUAAGGAAAUAAAGUGAUAAAAAGGGUAAUUUUGAGUUAUGUCAACAUUGAGAAGUAUAUGAUGACAUAUUAAUUCAAGAAAGGAUUACAUUGCAAAAGUGAGAAAAGUUUUGUGGCCCAAGAGUAAAUACUUAAAAUUUAAGGGGUUAAAGUGUAAAUAUGAAAAGUUAAAGGACCAAUAGUGCAAAUAUUUAAAGGCAAAAUAAUCUAGAAACUAAGGAAAAUGGAUGAAUUGGACCAAAUUAAAAAGGUGAAGAAUUUUGAGGGACUAAAUAGCAAUUUUACCAAAUUAAGUGAUGACUCAAGGAUGGAAUUUUAAAAGAACAUAAAGGGAAAAAUGGUCAAUUAGAAGAGAGAGAAAUCUAGAAGGCAAUGAUGAUAUUGGUGAUAUUUUAGAUUAAUUAAUUAAUUAAAUAUUAGUUUAUUAAUAUUUUAAUUUGAUUUUUAAAUGAUAUUUUAUUAUUUUAUUAUUAAUCUAUUUAGUCUAUAUAUAUAUAUGGAAAGAAAGAUGAAAAACCACCAUUCCACCAUCUUUCCAUGCAUUUCAUGUUAGAAGGGAAGAUAAGAAAGAAAAUUUUGCUUUCUUUACAAUUUGGUCCUUUUACCAAAAAAUUAUCAUUUUCACCUAGAAAUCAAAAGAAUUUCCAUAUCCCUCAAGAGAGAAAGAUAACAAGGAGACUAUCGGGAGCUAAAAUAUCAAGUUAGAUUCAAGAACUAGAAGAUGGACGAGAGAGAAAAUCAAGUUAAAUAUUGAAACCAAUAGGACAAGGUAAGAACAUCAAGAUUUCAAUAUGUUUUUAAGUUUGAUUUUAUUGAAAAAGCAUAGAAAUGAUGUUAUAGUAGAGCUUUCUUAUAUAAAGUCUUAUUUCCUUGAUAUAUUUGUGAAGGGAAAUAAGUGAAAGUGGUGGGAAAUAUUAUAGAGAAAGGGAAUAAGGGAGUUAUAAACUUAGUAAUCAACAUCUUGCACUAAAACAGUUUCGGACAGAAGCAAUAGGAUAAUUUUGAAAAAUCACCAUAAAUUGUGAAAAAAAAUUAGAGGAUAAAAAAAAUUAUGGAAUUUAAGCUUAUUGACUCUAGUUUCUCAUAGAAGAAACGAUGUAAGUAAUGGAAUUUUAAAUCAUGAGAUAUAAUAAAUUUUGUAAGACAAUGUCAGAAUGAAUUCGGGUUCCCCUGUUCUGAAUUUGGAAAAUCAUCAAAAAUUUUAGAAAAAUAAUUAUGGGCUUAAAUUUAUAUUUUUAAAUCCUUAAUGAGUCUAUUUUCAAUAGAAACUAACAUUAACAUCAUUAAAAUUUUGUACGAGGAGAUAAUCAAUUUUUAGUGAAGAAGGGUCGAAACUGUCAGACAACAGAAUAGGGAUGAAUUUAAAGAAUAAACUGUACUUAUUGGCUAUACCAAAAAUUCUAAAAAUUUUAUGGUAAGAAUAUAUGUGAGUAUAGUUUUGGAGAAAAUUAACAGAUAUCAAUUUGGAGUUCUGUAGUCAAGAUAUAAAUAAUUUAGUGGCUACGACUCAAGUGGAAAGCUUUGAAUGAAUAUAUAAAUAAAUGGUGAAAUUAUAGAUAAUGUUACAUAUAAGCAUGUUAUAUACAUUAAGGAUGUGGAAUGGAGCGGAGGAGGAGGAAAAUAUAUGAUUAUUCAACUAGCGUGAGUUUUCAUUAAAAAUGAUCAAUUUACAUGUUUUAGGUUCAGGGACUAAAUUGAACAAAUGUGAAACUUUAAGGGUAAAUUUGUAAAAAUGUCAAAAAGUGACCAAAUUGCAUAAAUGAAUUGUUUUAUUAUUUAAAUUAGUAAAUUGAAUGAAAUAUUAAUUUAGAUCAAGAUUGGGUGGAAAUUCGAGAAAAAUAGAAAUUUUCCAAAAUGUCCCUGAAUUUUGGUAUUUCUGCAAUUUGGCCUGGUAAGUUCGUAUGAGCUAUCUUGUAUAAUUUUAAUUGAAGUGAAUGCUAUUUGGUAAUGAAUAUUAUAUAUAUGUGUGUUUUAUUAUUGGAAUUGAAUUAUUAUUGGUAAUAUGUAUAAUUAUUAGAUGUUUUGAAAUGAUUAUCGAAAGCUCGAUUGGGUUGGAAGCUAGUUGGAGAUAUAUCAAAUUAUCCAUUGGCUCUAUCGGUAAUUUUGGAUGAUUUGAUUCUGGUUAUAAUGACUUGUAUAAGUUAAAUUGGUUAAUGUUAGCUCAUAAAUGUUUUGAUUUUGAUUGGCUAUAAAUAUGAGUGCCUGAUGAAAUGAAAUAUCUGAAAAUUAAUUUGUAAACUCCAGUAAUGCUCUAUAACCCUAUUCUGGGGAAGGAUACGGGUUAGGGGUGUUACAUUCCUGUAGCCAAUCACCCUUAUCCCUACACCCAAACACCACCUCUUAGUAUAAAUUGACCCCCCAACCCUAAAAUUUUAAAACAUUUUUCCCUUUUCCUACUAAACCACCAUAACCGCCGCUCUUCCCUCCACCAUUGUCCCCCAUGCCAAACGACCCUACCAACAGAGGCACCCACACCUCAUCAGCCUUGAUGACAGCCAUCCAAACCCUCGGCCCAACCUCUGCAAUCCUCCGCUCCUCCGUCCUCCGACCUGACUUGAAACCUUUGGCCAGUAACUGAGUGAGCUCAUUGCCAUCAUAUACGAUUGACAUUAAAUAACAUGGGGAGUUUUUCUAAACUUUUCUACCUAUUUAUUUCUUUUCGUCCACAAUGAGGACAAUGUGCUUUCAGUAAGGGAGGUACUCUUCGUUAUUACUGUCAUUUUUUGCUCUGAUUUUGGUUGUUGUUGCUAUUGCUGUGAUUAUUUUUGGCUUAUGUUGCUGCUUGAGGCUCCAUUUUGUCCAUAUUUAUUUUUUAGAAUCUCCUGCCUCUUUUCAUGCCUAAGAUUUUUACCAAGAAUUGCAUACUGUUUGACCUACAAACAUGAUUCUUGUUUUUUAAAGAAAUUAUGGAUUUUCCAUAAUUGAUGUCAUUUCCACUGUUUUAUUCUUAUUAGGCUAAAAAUAAUUUUGAUUCAUAGAGUUAACUUUAUAUUGCUUUUCGUAAAAUUGAUCAAGUUUAAUACAAAGUGGACUCUUAAUAUGUUUACAUGUUAAAAUAUGUUCAUGACUAUUAAGGUAAUUACUGAAACUUAUUUUUGGCACUUGAUUGUUUUUUUCUCUAAAGUCCUCAUAAAAAAAAGUUAUUAUUAAAAUGUCAUUUAAUGUUUCCGUGGUUAUGAGUGCAGCUUAAAAACGUGACUGAUUGAGUAACCGGGGUAGGGUGCUUGGGUUGUCAUCCUAUUUCGUGUCAAAAGGUUGUGUGACGUGUUAGGUAAAACUCCACUAACCAAAAUUAAUUUUUAAGAACAUGUUAAGCUGAGUAACCGGGGUGGGGUGCUUGGCUGUUAUCUCUCUUCGUGUCAAAAGGUUCGAUGUGUUCUUAAGAAAAAAAUAUAAUAAAUUAGGAGUUUGUUGGGCUGAGUAACCGGGGUGGGGUGCUUGACUAUUAUCUCUCUUCGCGUCAAAAGAUUCAGUAUAUUCCUAAAGCAUAAAAAAUAUAAAUAAUAAAUCAAAAUCAAAAUAAAUAAAAAAGAAAAAAAUAUAAUUUGGGGACUAAAGGAGGAAACAAAUAGUGUGUCUUGGUAGGUUUGGUAAUUUACCUAAUUUUCAUUAAAUAAUUCAAGUCGAUUCUAAUUUUUGUGUGUAUUAAUUGGAAAACUUUUUCUGUUUUACUUAAAGCUAACUUAGGGUUCUCUUUAUUUUUCAUAUGCAUUUUUGACUGAUUUUUAUAAAACUUUGGAUUGGUAUUUCUUUUAUGGUAGAAUCUAACUUUCACAGUAGAUAGGAAUCAUAUUUAAGGGCAAGCAUGGGCUAAGUAGGGGGACUUUGAUAACACUCUAGAAUAACGUAUUUUUAUGUAUUAGUUAUGUAUUUAUUUUGAGUAUGAUCCUGCUAAUUGAGCUAUUUAUGAUCUUUUAUCUCAUAGGGACUAAAUUUGAGACAAAAGCAAAAUUAAGGGCCAAAAGCGUGAAUUUAGAGAUAAAAUGGGCCAAUGUACGACACAAGGAAAAGUUGGUGCCAAAAAUGCAAGCAUGGAGGACACAAGGGUUGAAAUGCAAAAAGAAGAGAUUUUAUUCUAUCAGACUCUAUUUUAAUUAUAUUAGGAUAAUUAAUAUUAAGAUAAUUAUUAAGGAUUAUUUAAUUUUAGGAUUUUAUUUUAUUUAUCUUUAUUUAUCUUCAAUUAAAUGUAUUUAUCUUUUGGGAGUUUAAGCAGGAUUAAACUAUUAUCUUUUGGGAGUUUAAGCAGGAUUAAACUAUUUCCCCUAGCACUAUAAAUAGGGGGUGAAGUGAUCAAAAGGGAUCCACCUUUUUCUAAAAACAUUCUCUCCCCAAAAGUCUAGGCCUUUGUUCUUCUCAUAUUUCCUUUCAAUAAAAUCUCUAUUUUUAUUAUAUUUAUUUUCUUUUCCACCACAACCAUGAGCCACUAAACCCAUCUAGCCAAAAGUUGUCGAUAUUCCUCAAAAAGGGUUUUUGAGGCUUAGAGUCCGUACUUAGCCUCCUCGCUGAGUAUUCAUCGUUUCUCCGCACUACAAGGCUGAUCCUUCCGUCCAUGUCCCUUAAGAAAUAAGCUUUUCAACGUAUGCAAAGGCGACUGCUUUGUAUGUUUUGGGAAGGUUGCAUAGUCAAUUCGUUAGCUUAUUGCGUCAGAGGCUGGCGAGCCCAAAAGACAAAAUGGCGUGGGAUUUGCCAUUGAGAAGCAUUGAUCUAGCAUAAGACGAUCCCACAGAAGCAAUUGUUGGCUAGAGUCAGGUUCCACUAAAUAGUAAGUCUAAAUCCUUGGAGCUGGUGGUCGUAGGCAUCCUCUUCCACUAUAACUAGCUUAUUCCGUUUGGGAAGGAUCAUCUAAAAGCUAAGACUUGAACCCAAGGCGGAACGAGACAACUGGAGCCUGGAACCUCCCAUAAGAAUUUCCUUUCUCUCAACUCUAUUUUUAAUUUCUCGAAUUUUUGAUUCAAUAUUCUUAAUUCUGUUUUUAUUUUAUUUUUCAUUUCCAGAUCCAAACCUUUAAUUCUGUUAUUUUUUUUUAUUUUUUCAGGAACAUAGGUUUUCUUGGGAAGAUUCUAUCCGGGAUUUUACGAAACAAGAUAUUGUGCAAAUCCAGUCCCUGAGGAUUUGACCUUACUUCCCUUUUACUAUUCUUUUUCAUUAUUUAUUAGGGAUAUGAUAUUUUUGGUGCUUUCAACAACCGCAUCAAUUCUAGUAGAUCGGUUCACAAUGUAUGAUAUGAUAGAGCAUUGUAUCUCAAUCCCAUAGAUGCUAUGGCAUCAAGGCACAGUUGAAACUUGUCAAUCUUUGAUCCUAUUUAUGGAGUCUAAAAACUCCAAUGGCAAUAGACCAAAUAAAUUAUUUUAUUUUUUUAAUAUUUUACUAUACCCCUAGAGAACACUUGUCAAUAUCUUGACGUUGCUUAUAGAGUCUAAAAACUUUAUUGGUAAUGUACCAAAUAAUAUUACAAAUAAAAAAGCAUUAACUUGGCAGUGUAAUUUUUUUAUGGCACAAGCAUUCUUAAAAAAUUAACAUUUUUUUAAUAUCUAUUUUUUUAAUAUUUCACUAUACUCCUACAGGACAUUUGUCCACCCUUGAUCAUGCUUAUGAAGUCUAAAAAUUUCAUUAAUCAUGUCUUAUUAUAAAAUAAAGAGAGAUGGAGAGAAUAAAGAACAAAGAAAAUAUGAAAGCAAUAGAGAAUGUACUUUAUUGAUCAAUUUGGAUGAUUACGAUGCUUCAUGGGAGUACUAUUUAUAGACAUAAGAAGUAUAAAAGAAGUAGAGAUCUAAUUCUAAUAACUAUUAGAACUUAAAGUACAUUAUAACUUUAUCCUGAUCAUGAUGGACAUCCACGUAAUAAAAUAUUCAUAACACUUCCCCUUCGAUGUCCAUUGGUAGAUAAUGUACCUUGUUAAAACCUUAAUAAGAAAAACUCUAUGAAAUAAAAACCUAAUGAAGGAAAAAGAGUACACGGUCUAUAAUACGCAUAAUAUGCUGCCUUAUUAAAAACCAUACCAAGGAAACUCAAUUAGAAAAAACCUCGGUUAAGGGAAAAAGAGUACAACGUGUAUUUACUCACCCUCAUGAAAACAUCACAUAUUUACGUAUUCAAUCUUGAAUACUAGUUUUUCAAAUGACUAUUUGAAUGUAUCACUAAUAAUUUAUAUCACCAUUCUUUUAAAAGUCAUAAGUGAGGGAAAUUUGGGGAAAUAUAUUUUGAUCUCUUCAGGAGAUUCAACAAUAAUCAUAACAAACUUUAACCAUGAUUCUUUUAUAAAAACACAAAUAGGUAUUUUGGAUCAUUUUAUAGUCCUUCUUUAAAUCACUAUUCACUGAGCAAAAUUUACCACUUAUAUUCAAAUUUUCUCGAUUCAUAUAAAUGAACAAUUUCUCGAGAAUUUCAAUAUGCUUCUAGCAUCCUAAAUCCUUUAAAGAUUUUACUAUAAACUUUACUAUAUAGUGAUUCAUAAAAGGUUGUAACAAUAACCAUUAGAUGCAAGUUAAAUCUUUUAAGAAUUGUCAAUUUAAUAAUAUAUGUAAAUAUUAUUGCAUCCACCACAAAAGAAUAUUAUAUCUUUUCAUAAUCAAUGCCAGAACUUAGCGAAAAACUUCAUAUUUUUAUUCCGCUUUUGCAGAACUACUUCAAUUAAACCCUCACUGGCUUUAUAUUUGGACUACUGGUCCAAAAAUUACAGAAAUUUAAUUGUACUUGAGUUAUGUCUUUCUAUUUUGAUCAAUUUAUUCCAUAUUUAUAUUUCUUAAUAGACUUAUUCAAGAUUCUCCUUUUAUCUCAUUAUUUCAAUAGUAAUAUUGCAUUCAAAAUUGUUGUCGACCAAUUUUAUUAUUCAGUUCCACAUUUUCUUGAAUUGACAUAACUUAUCGAGAUCUCUUUUUUUUAUUAUUUUAAAAUUCAGUUUCAGGUACCUAAAUUUCUAGAGCACCUGCCUCCACUAUAUGACCAUUUAGAAGAAUUUUUGUUUUUGGAACCGAUCAAUCUAUUAUUUAUUCUAACUGACUCUCCUACUGGGACUUUGAUUCAAAUUAAAAUAUUAGAUAGUAUAUAACACUUGGUUAUUCUCAUUAAGUUUGUAAAUACAUCUAUAAUUUACUUGUAAUGAGUUAUCCUUAUUGAUUUUCUGGUUCAAAUUACUCUCCCCCUAACUCAAUACAGGUUAUUAUUUCUCCCCUCUAAUGUCGGGAAAACUAUCAAAUCAAAACUGUAAUAAAAAAUCAUGUCCUAUUUGAAUCUCGAAUACAUUCAAAACAUCUAAUAAUAUAAAUAAACUUGUAAUUAAUAUAUAUUCUCAACUUUCUUUGAGGAUUCACUCAUCUUUGUGCGUUGUGGUGGAGCAAUUGGAACAUAUACACACAUACAAAAAUUCAAAGAUGAGAAAUAUUUAGUUCUUAAUCAAAAACCAAUUAUAAUGGGGAGUAUUUAUAACUUAUUGGCUUGAUGCGUACAACACACAUAAAUCAACAUAAUCUCAUGUUGAAACAGAAAGUUUAAUUCUCAUAAGUAAUGGUUUAGACAUUAAUCAGAGGAAUUUAAUCAAUAAUUUCUCUAAACCAUUAUGCACAAACUUUUACAAAAAAAUUUCAAACUCAUGAUCUGAAAUUAAUUAUUUAAACAAGCAAUCUUGCGAAUGAUAGGUUGCAAAUUGAUAACACAUAUGUGAUUAUUUUGUAGAUGCAUCUACCAAAAUCAUAUCAUAUUAAAAUCAUCUACAUGGUGGAUGAAUGAACCCGUAUUCAGUUCAGAAAUGUAAGACAUUAAAUCUCAAUUUUAGCUAGUGAGUUUCUAAGAAUCAAUUUUCAUUGAGAACAAGCAAAAAUGAAAAUUUUUUAAAUUAAAGAAUCUUCUGGUUCUUUAAUGAAUAUCCAUAUGAAUUCUCAAUUAAUUUUCGCAUCAUAUAUGAUUUAGGAUGGUCUAACUGGUCAUGCCAAGUAGUAAAUGCAUUUGUAUCAGAAAACUUCUAGUUUACUUUAACAUGUGUUUCAAUUGUACUAAAUUGUAACAAAUUAAUAAUUUCAAUUGUACUAAAUUGUAAUAAAUUAAUAAUUUUACUAUCAUUCCUUUGACUUUGUAUCCUCAUAAAAGUACUAUUGUGACAUAAACUACUGAAAAUCUCUAAAUCAAUGUGAAUAUUAUAAUGUCACUAAUUCAACAAAAUAAAAUAAUUUCCAAAUAAUUAUAUGCAAUAUUUGCUUCAAGGAAUAUGCCAAAAUCUUCAAAUGUAGGGAAUUUACUACAUCCACGUUAAAGAUCAUGUCUUUCAAAUUUAUUAUAUAUUGCUACAUUCUCUUCAGGGAAUGGUUAGGUUUCAUGGUUAAAAACUUUUUUUUAAUUAUAAGUAAUUUUUUUUCAUGAUACUACUACUGUAAGAGCACAUUUGAUCAUGAAAAGUUGAAUAAGUUCUCUCUUGCAAGGUUCUCAUCAGUUAUAUUUUUCCAAGUAAUAUUAGUUGAGAACUUAUUUUGAAUACUGUAAAGUUAUACUCACAGUUUUAAAAAUUUGCAACUUCAGGUGCAUCCAACCAUAACGAGCUUUAGAUAGAAUUACCAUAUUCUACUACUCACAUUUUUCUUUUAAAUUAUUCCAGAAUUUAUUUAGAUUUUUCACAGUCAAAUAUUUUUCUUCCAACCCUUUAUUAGGGAUGAUGACAAAAGAAGAUCACAAAGAUUAUAAAAUAAAUAUAAAUUAAUAACUCAAUCCUCUCUUUUUUAUCCUUUCAAAAUAGACAUCUGAUACCAAUUACAGGGUAUAAAGGAAAAUGCAAAAGUCUAUUGAUUUAUUUAUUACAAAGAAAAUUUUUAUAAGGAGAGAAUGAUAAAAGAAAAAGAAAGAUUUCUAAACUAUUUUUCGAUGCCUUCUUUAGGCUUCCUCUUUCUCUAUUUAUAAUUGAAUUCUAAAACUCUAUUUAAUUUUCUUUGAAUCUCGCACAGUUUUUUGAUAAGGAUCUCGUCUCAUCAUGAACAUGGUUUGUUUCACGUUGCAUUGUCUUGUCAAGUCAUUGAUUUAAUGGUUGCUUCCACGUCUUGUCACAUUAUUGAUUUGAUGGUUGUUUCCACGUUGCAAUCUCUUUUGUUUGCAUUUGGAUGCCUUCUUUUUCAAGUUGCUUCUUGAGUACUUUCUUUCCACUUGUCUACAUGUUUUGGCUUUAUCCCUCUUGGAUAUUAUUUAGAUUCAUUUCUUCUAUGUCAUCUAGAUGUAAUGAAUGUAAUUAAAGUCUUGGUAAUGAAUUCCAAGUCUCCCACAUGCUUUUGAGUUCUUCUAUAAUAUGAUAUAGAAAAUCUUCAAUCUCCAUUUCGACUAUCUUUUUUAAUAAUCUUAUAGAUUUUUCAUCUCUAUCAUUCUAGAUGUUUCCAGUGUCAUAUGCUAAUAUUCUUCUUCCAUCAGUCCAACGUUUAUAAAUUUAUUGUUGAAGUAAAUAAAUUUCUUGAGAGGUUUAUUUACAGAGUUAGUUGAUAAAAACAACAAGACUAUUACAUAUUUUGAUAGUCAAUGUGUCAUACAUCUCACCAAAGAUCAGAUGCAUCACAAUAGAACAAAGCAUAUAGACAUUUUGUCUCAUUUUGUUCAGGAAGUGCUUGCUCAAGGAGAUGUUCAGAUUCACAAAAUCAAUAGAGAAAACAACCUAGUCGAUAUGAUGAUAAAAAUUCUUCCAAUUUUCAAGUUCUAAAAUGCUUGAACUUGGUAAGCAUCUGACAAAGAUCAAGUUAGGCCCAUAACAGGGUUCAAAAAAGAAAGUUUUUUAAAAAAUAUGAGUUAAGGUGGAGAUUUGUGGGAUUUGCCUCACAUUUCAUCCGAAACAGAGUCGAUGUCGUGAUAAGGAAUAGCCAAUGUCCUAGCGAUGCAACAAAUGAUGUCCCUACGAGAAGAACCCGUCGUCCCGAAGAUGCAACAUGUAAUGUCCCGACGAACUAAUAGCAACAUCACGACAUGGCGACGUGUUCCCUACUAAAUCAGAUUUCUUCUCAUAAUUAUACUUUGAUAUCUUUUCUAGUCGAACUCUAAUAACUCUAGGGAUAUUCUAAUCAAGUUGGCCACGAAUUUUAACCUAUAAAUAGGGCUUUUAAAACACUAGAGAGAUUGAUUCAACAACAAAAGUAAGAGAGAGUUUUUGUGGGAAUUUUUGGAGAACUUUGUAUUUUUGAGUUCAGGCUUUUUUGUUUCUCCAUCUUGUACUGCUCUUCUGUAAUUUUCCUAUUUAGUGAAGUGUUCUUUGCCCAUGGUGUUUAAUCCUCUUCGGAGGGGGUUUUCCACGUAAAUAUUUGUGUGUAAUUUUCUCAUUUUUCGUUCUUGAUCAUUACACAAUGUAGGUUUAACCCAACAUGAAUCUUGAUUAUGACAUGGUGGAAGAAGUGUUGGAAAUUGAUUUGAGAGUUUUACAUAUGUAUUGAAAUAUUUGUCAAGUUUAAAUUGCAGGUCAGUUUGAAUGAAACUAGAGGAGGUGCUAUCGAAAUUUUUGUUAAAAAUAAAAAUUCUAUAUUCUUAAAUUGAUUAAUGAGAAUUAAGUUUGAGUUGCUUCGGCAACGGAUUGUGACAUUCUAUAUUCGGAUCUACCAACUAGAUCGAUUGUAGGGUGUCACAAAAGUAAAAACUUUUAAAGAUAUUAAAGAUGCACUUUAGUCAAAAGUAACUAUAAAAAAAUUGAAAAAGAAAAGAAACAUCUAAAGGAGGAGAGGGUUGCGCACAAAAAACAUAAAAUAAACAUGGAUGGUCAACAAGCUCAUUGAAUUAUUAGCAAAUUGAGAUGAUCAUGUAAAUAAUCAAGGAACUAAUAAAUCUUGAAACCAGGGAUAGUACUAGGGUAAAUAAUUAAUAUAUAACAAUAUUUAAUUAAUUUGUAAUAAGGUUUUUGUUUGUAAAAAAAUCAUAUACAUUAUUUAAAUUACAACUCAUCAAAAUUAUAUUUAUAAUUAAUUUAAUAAUUUUAAAUGUAAAUAGUUUAUUUUUAUUAUUUAUUAUGAAAUUAUAUUUUUCUAUAUUUAAACAUUUUUUAAACAUUUUUAUUUCCAAUUAAUUAUUUUAUUUAGUCAAUAAUUAUGAACGAAUCUUAUAUAUUAUAAAUGUAACACCCUUAGCUCGACCUGAUCGUUGGGUCCAAGCUUCGAAAUGCUACAGCCAUUGCAAGAACAACUACGAAUAGUUAACAUUCAUAUUAAAACAUAAAUCAUACAAUCAUAAUCAUUUCAAAACAUAAUCAAGUUAUAUGAUCUUUCUCAAGUCUUAUACUAGCAUACUUAUGAUCUAAAGUUAACAUGGAAUCGAAUUAGGACCAAAAUUUAACAUUGUCAAAAUUCCAACUUGACAUUGCAACAUGAGGGGGUUCCUCAUUGCAACGUAACAUAAUAACUUGGGCCUCAUUGUGGAGAUGAGGUUCCUCGUCACGCUGUACCUAAAACCCAAGUCUCAUCACGAAAGCCUAUGCCCACGUCGCGACGUCGACUAUUUUCUUGGCAAAAAAUAGGCCUUUUAGUGCUUAAUCCGGAUCAACUACACCAUUAAGACAUUUAGUGCAUUAUUGCACUUUUGUACCUACUCAAAACCAACCAAAAUACAUACCAAUACAUCCAUUUAACCAUUUCACACAAUCAAACAAUACCUCAAUUUGGCAACAAAGCAUAUUCAACAACUUGUUUAAAACACAAAUUAGCAUUCAUGCCCUAAAGCCAUUCAAAACAACAUUCAAUCAUGCCAUUUCCAUGUUAAACUCAUACUAUUUGUACAUUCAAAUAAACCAUUCAAACACUAUACAUAUGGUCCAAACACAUGACCAAAAUCAUGCCUUAAUAUAAGUGUAAACAUUAACAUCUCAUGAUUUAUGUACUAUCCCAAAUUCAAAUGAAACAUAUAGUUUCAAUCUAACACACUUAUAACACCCAUGUACAAUUUACAAUACCGAGUUGCAAAAUGAGCAAAAGGCUACCGAGUUGAUAGAGGGAUGGUGUGAGCUUUGUGAAGUCCAAUCAAUAAGUUCCACAAACCAACUAUCUACAGAGAAGGAAAAACAACUAGAUAAACCUUUCUGAUGCUUAGUAAGUUUGAAGGUAAGAAAAUGGUAAACUUAUCUCGAUUUAUAAAAUAACAUAUCAAACUAAAUAAUUUUGGUAAAGAUGACCUAACAUAACAAAUCAUAAUAAUAAGGUCAGUUUACCAAAAUCCAUCACAUAUGUACCAUUUUAUAAUAUAUAUAUAUAUAUAUCAAUACCUAGUAUUUGAGUGAUUAUACAAGAAUACUAAAACUUAAUAUUCAAUUCAUACAGUAAUACACGUUUGAUCGUCAAAUAUAUUUCGAAUCAUUUAUAUUUCCCAUUACUUAUUUCCCAUAUUACUUGAUGAAACUCAAUAAACAAGCUCAAAUACAUAGGUACAAAUCACAUCGGAGGCUUAUUUGAGCUAAACAUAUAAUCAUCUUAGGUUACCAGUUCGGGCUAAAUCUUUAUAUCGACACAUCAGAGAGCUUGGCCAGAGCUAUACAUAUCGAUACGGGAUUGAAGCGGAAAAAGCAGAUCAGGACUGAAUUCAAGUUGUUUGACUCAAGAAGGAAAGAUUUGGAUAUAGUCUGAAAAGAAAAACAUAAACAAAUGUAGUAAUAAAGAAAUUGAAAAUAGUAAAGAAGAAAUUUGAGAAUAAAAAAAUAAAAAUCAUAAAUAAAUAAGAAAUAGAAAUUUAAAAAAAGAACAAAGUGGAAUAUGGACGAGUAAACCUAUGGAUAUGAUGGAUAGAAGGAUAAAUGUCUAAUUGAACCCUUUGAGAUAUAAAUCCCAAUAGACUAAAUUAAUGGCUCUAAUCAACCCUUUAAGAAAUAAUCCUUGAAGAAUGAAUUGAAUGAUGAAGAAUGAAUUCCCAUGACUUCUUGAAGAAAAUCAAGAAUAAAACUACUUUUAAAAAUCACAAGAAAGAAAUCUUGCACAAGAAAAAAACUCCCAGAGUUGAAAACUUUAUUAAUGAAAACAAUUGUCUCCUUAAUAAAAAAUGAAGAAGCCUUUAUAUAAGCUAGCUAAGUACAUCCAAAUAAAACUCUAAAGUAUACUGAAACUCUAAUUAAUCUAAAGAAAAAGUAGUUUUAAACAAAACUUUUUUAUUAACAUAAAACUUCUAAAUAACUUAAAAUACUUAAUAGUUAUAAAAAAUUCGUAAUAAUCAAAUAAUAAGAGAUGAUAAAUACAAUAUUGCACUCAUAUAUAAUAAAAAUUAAGCAAAAAAUCUGAACCAAAUAUGAUUUAAACUUGAGUUAAAAGCACAAAACUCAUAAUUCCCGUCAUAAUCCUGUCCAAAAAUUUUGCUCUUGCAGUCUUCACUAAAAUGGUCAUAAUUUGAGCUCCUGGACUCAAAAUCGAGUGAUUCAAAGUGUGUUUUAAAGCUAAGAGAUAGAACUUCAAACGCCACGAAAUUUCAACCCAAAAAUGCCUAGAUCCCAUUCAAAAAGUCGAUGCAAGUAUGCUAAUUUCCCAAACUUAAAAAUUGAUAGUUUUGGUGAAUGCAAUUUAAUAAAUUUCACCUCAUCCGUGCAUGUAUCACAUAUAUAUAUCAGGUUAUUCGUUUGAGCUAAACCUUUAAAACAAAAUCAGGUUACCAAUCCAAGCUAAACUUGUGUCACAUGUAUAUUCAAGUUCGCAACAAAUGUUGGAUUCUUGAAAUUAUCAAAAAUCAACCUGUAACCAUGUGUAUGAUACAUUUACAAAGUUGCAUCAUUGUAAUUUGUAUCAUGCAAGUUCAUAUUUAUUUUUUUUUCAAUUUAGUCCAAAUCUCACACUUUAGUACUAAAUUGAAAAUAAUCCAAAGUUCAAUAAAACAUACAUGUAUUCACAAUAUUGCAUACAUAAGGGUCUAAACAUAAUUGCACCAUAUGAACUUACCUGGUAAAAUAACAGUAAACACAACUUUGAGGACUAUUCUACAAUUUUCUCUUUCUCGCAACUAUCCUCCGACUGGUUCAAAUCUCGGUCUACUUCAUAACUUAAUUCAAAUAUCAAUUCCAAACUUCAUUUAACAACCUACUAUAACUAUGUAUCAAUUCAAUUUCAUCUAUCCAUGUUUUUUUAUUUUAUUCAGUUUAGUCCCUAAAAUUAGAAUUGUCAUAACUUUCAAAUUAAAGCUUGAUUUUGAAACUCAAUCUCGAUUUCAUCCUUCUACAGUCCUAUAAAUAUCUAUAUUUACAAAAAUUUCAUGUUAAAUUCAAAAUAUUCACACUUUAGUCCUUAUGUUCAAAACUAACAAUUUUCACUUUACAAACUAGUCAUUUGUUUCAUAUCUAAGCUUAGAAUCUAACAAUUUAACACCAAAAGUUUCAAGAUUCAAUAAUAGAAACUUUUAAAAACUUAACAUUUUUGCAAAUUGGUCCACAGGUAGCUCCUAAAACCUCAAAAACAUAAAAUUACAAUAAAAUGACUAAAUUAAGCUUACCAAUCAAGGACCUGAAGUCUUUUAAAGCCAAACCCUAUCUCUCAUUUCGUUUUCAUGAGAAAGAAGAUGAUGAAUGAAGAAGAAUAAAAAUUUUAGCUUUUGUUUAAUUAAUUUUAAUAUAUAACGUAAUUUAAUUAAAAAUUUUAACAUAUAUUCACUUAAAAGAAAACACCAACCAUCCACCACUACUUAAAAAUGGCCUAAUUGUCACUUUCAACUGUGGUUCAAUAUUAUGUAGCCCUUUUAUUAAUAAAAAUCAAUAGUGAUUAAUUUUUUACCGCUUUAUAAUUUAGUCUUUGUACCUAAUUAGUCACCAAAUCGGUGAAAUUACCUAUCCAAAAUUCAAUUCACAUAUACAGUAACUCCAUAAAUAUUUAAUAAAAAUAUUUAAGGGUUCGAUUUACAGAAAUGAGGUCCCAAUACCUCAUUGUUCAACACCACUCAUUUAAGGGUUGAAACACUUGUACUUUAACUAACAUUCAAUUAACAAAUUUGUCAAACCAAAAUUUAAUAUAAUAUUAUAAUCUUAAUCAUCAGAGAAUGGGGUUCUAAAACCACCAUUUCCAGCACCACUAAAAAAUGGAUUGCUACAAUAAACAUCAAUUAAAUUAUUAUUUUUGUAUGUAUAGUUAUUAUUAUGUCAAAUUUUUAUUUUAAACUUAUGGUCAAUUAAUUAUUUAGAUUUAAAAUAUCUUUCAAAUGAUAGCAUUUUUUACUUUGGCAUAAUGAUAAAAAAUUAACCCCUAAAAGUUGUUGCUUUGUCACUUUUGUUAUAUUUCUUUUUUUUUUUUGGACCACUUUGUCCCCUAGCAUUCAAAUUUUAGUUAAACUGCAUUUCUUUAGGUGAAAAUUUUGGUUAAACUAUUAAAAUUUUAAUGGCAUCAACAUGACAAUUUGCAUAUUCUUCAUAAAAAUUUAAAAAAUUAUUAAAAUUAUUAAAAUUUUGAUAAAGUUUAAAAAAUUCAGUAAUUUAUACUCUAAAAAGAAGUACAAGUAAACUAUUAUGUAGGGUACAACAUUAGUGUCAUUAAAAUUUUAAUAGUUCAACCAGAUUUCCAUCCACAAAAAAUAAUUUGACUAAAAAUUGAAGGUUGAUGACCAAGGUGAUCCAAAAAAAUAAGGUUAAAGUAACAAAAUGGAUAUACAUUAGGGGUUAAAUUUAUCAUUAUGCCCUAAGCUUUUUAAAAUAAAGAUAAAAUUAUUUUAAUAUGUAGUGGUUUGAAAUUUUAUAAAUUAUAUGAAUUCUUUUAUGUUUUUUUACCAUAAAAUUAUUUUAUAUUAUUAAAUAUUGCUAAUAAUAAAUAUAUUAUAUAAUAUACACAGUAAUAUCUUUCACGUGAGUUAAAACUAAUUCCAAUUUUCAGAAAAUGAGACAUGUCCAAAGCAAAUUCAAUUAUUUAAUCAUUUGAAACUUGAGUCUUCAUCCUUGCAACUUAUGUUAUGCUUCAAUAAAUGAACCCCACUUUGAGACAUUUUGAGGAGACAAAGUAGUUAUAGAAAUAAUUAUAAAAUGCAUAAAUAAAAUAAAACAAGAUCUCAAGAAAUAAAUUGAAACAACGCAUACAGAUUAAGCUCCAUCUAUUGUAAUUUAACACUAUAUUUCUCUCGAAACUAGGAAAUUUAGAAGCAAACUAUUUAAAAUCAUACACCAUCGGGCUGCUUUAGGUUCAAAUGUGAUUAUGUACAAAUGAUAAUCUGAUUACAUACUUAGCGAGCACCUUCAAGUUCAAAUGUGAUUCUGUUAUUUAUGCUAUCAUACCCCAUCCCUAUCGAGCUGCUUGUCACACCAUCGUCGUAAGUGCUGGGAAACUUACCAAGCAAGUAUUCAGAUUCUUCGCUUACUAAAUUACUUUUACUCCAAGGAUGUUUAGCCAUUGCUUGCAGUCCUGCUAAUUCAUGGGCAACUUCCUUCAUUGUUGGCCUUUCCUCUCCCUUCACUCUCACACAUCUCCUAGCUAAAGUUGCUACUUCCAUAAGCUGCCCAACAUUUUCAUCAUUAAGCACUCGAGGAUCGAGAAUGUCAAGCAAACGGUCUUCUUUCAUCAAAGAGGUGAAGUACAUUGGCAAAACUCGAUUUUCUUCCGGUCUUUUGAAACAUACCACUUUUUGUCCUGUUAACAACUCCAUAAGCACAACCCCAAAGCUGUAGACAUCACUUUUUUCAGUAAGAAGGCUUGAAAGCAUGUAUUCAGGAUCCAACUAACCGAAAGUUCCUUGCACAAUUGUAGUUAUUUGUGCUUGGUCGGAUGGGAUCAAUCUGGAAGCCCCAAAAUCAGAAACUUUUGCGGUGUAAUUGUCAUCUAACAGUAUGUUCGCCAACUUGAUGUCUCGGUGAAUGAUUGGAAUGGAAGCUGCAGAGUGCAAAUAAGAAAGGGCUUCUGCUGUUUCAGUGGCUAUUCUCAAACGGGUCUCCCAUGAAAGAUAAGAG
rnacentral:lncRNA from 1 species